AAGGAGGAUUAUUUGUUGAUAAAAGGAUGCUGCGUGGGCCCCAAGAAACGUGUGGUAACACUGAGGCAGUCUCUGUUGAAGCAGACAUCUAGAGUUGCUAUGGAGGAAAUUAAACUCAAGUUCGUUGAUACAUCCUCCAAAUUUGGCCACGGACGAUUCCAGACCACUGAGGAAAAGGCCAAGUUUUACGGGCGGCUCAAGACUUGAUUUGCAAUGGAGAGAAUCAGCUUUGCUAGAUUUCUAUUACUGUUCAAUGGUCUUCAACUGUUGGUUUGAUUCUGGAUUCACUUGUCAUCCUUGUCUUCUUCAAUUUGGAAAUUCUUAUUUCUAAUAUAUUUUCGGUGCUAAAUUAUUAUCUUAAACCUUUCUUUUUACACCUUGAGCCAAAAAAGACCUUUGUUGGAGGUUAUUGUUGAAUACAAUUAUAACGUUUGGUAUCGUAAUUUCACAAAAUAAUAAGAAAAUCAAACCCGAAGGGGUAAUUUAUUAUUAUUAUAUUUUGAAAAUAAACACAUGCAUAUAAUAGUGGCAUCAAGAGGUAUUUUACCGAGAGUUAUAAGAAAAUUACCCAGGCUGUUGAUAUUUUACCGAGAGUUGUAAAACAAUUACCACCCAUGCCAUAAUCACUAAUGGAUUUAUUCCAUAAAAAAUAAAUAUUAGUUAUCUACUUAUACUUUGUCAUGGACAUAAAAAAUAAAUAUACAGAUUUUUUAAACAUAUUUUUUACAUUAAAAAAAUUAUAAUAGUUGAUAAAAAAGCUGAUAUAUAUAUAUAUAUAUAAUUUGAUAAUCCACAUUUAUUAUCAUUAACCUUCAUUUUUACCCCUUCUGAGGGGAAAAAAAACUUCUGCUGCAGUUUAUAGUUUAAUAUCAUUUUAACAAUUGGUAUCAUCAUGUCAAAAUAAUAAGAAAAUCAAACCCUAAGGGUAAUUUAUUAUUAUUAUAUUUUGAAAAUAAACACAUACAUAUAAUAGUGGCAAUCCUCUUGACAAUUUUAUAUUUUUUGGCCACUUGAAGAGAGAAGCAUGUCUAGAAUCGGGCGAGCUCUACACAUGAGCUCUAAGGGCUCAACUUUUGACAUGGUUAUUGCUGUCUUCUCUGCCAUGUCAAUCUUGUUUUCACCAACCCUUUCCCACUCAAAACACUGUAUCAACGAUCCCAAAGUUAAGAUCAUUGCUCUUUUUGCUAGGCCAUCUCCAGGACAAGCUCUCCUUCCCAUCCCCAAGGGGAUGAAGUUGCAUGCAUCAAUUCUGCCUGCAGAUUCAAAUCUCUCAGGCUUGAAACUUGUGGGCUCAUCCCACAGUGUAGGGUCUCUAUGGAGAGACCAUGCGUUCACAAAUAAUAUGGUCCCAGCUGGGACGUGGUAUCCUCCAAUGGUACAGUCGGAGGAUGGCAUGUGCGGUGGUAUAAGCGGUGUCACCGGACAUAAACGCAGAUUCUCGGAGAUGAUGCUCUGAAGGUAAUGUAGUUUUGCAAAAUCUGACUCUUCUAUCAAGCGGUCUCCAACUUGAGCGUCCAGUUCUGCUUUAGCUUUCCUUAGCACGUCUGGAUGGUUGAGUAGAUUGGCUAAUGCCCAUUCCAUAGAUGUAGCAACAGUCUCUGCUCCCCCAAGAAACAACACCUGCACAAAAUAUAUAGUGAAUUAACUCAAGCCAGCUCCGACCUCAAAGCUAAGAUGAGAAUGUUGUGGUAAACUCAAUCAGCCACUUGCAGCCAUCAAUUACCACCUGUAGUCACCAACUAUCAACCAUUCCAACCACCCCUUAAAAUUUAAAUUUUCUUACUUUCAGUUUGUGUAUAAAUGACAGCUAAGUUUAUGUUAUUAAGUGUGGAAAAUAGAAGAAAGAAACACUAGAGAGAGAGAGAGGGUGUGUAUUAAGAGUGUUUUGCUUGUAUUUUAUAAGCUUGUUGUUUUGAAAUAAAACCGGGUGUUUUAUCCCCUCUAAGUGUUCCAAAGCCACCACCAAUGAUUUCUCCCACCAACAAUUGGUAUCAGAGCCCCGUUCGUUAGAAAACAUAAGAGUUUUGGGAUAUACCCGAAUUUUUAAAGUUGUCAAAAACACAUUUUGAUCACUCCAUAGUAUAGAGUUCAUCCAUACGAACUCACUGGUGCAAAAAUCAUCUUCAUCGGAGCCCGCGGUAUCCAACACGCGUCGCCUGAAACUCAGGUACAAUAGCCCACACGCAGCCGACGCGCCUAGAGGAAGAAGACGACUGAGCCACACGCGUGCCAUAUUUAAGUCGUGCCGAGCCUCCAACCGAGCCGACCUCCAGCCGCUAGCCGAGCUGAAGAAUAUUCCUUAGAAUAUUCCCGGUUCAACCCCAACGAACUGCCCGACGUCCAGAAUCAGUUUUCUGACCGGUUCAGCCCAUUUCUACCCCAUUUUCAACCAAGUAUGACCAAUUCCCAACUGUUUUGAGCAUUCCGGAUCGAUUUACAGUGUCCAUUUUGCCAAAUUCAACUCCCAGAAGGUGAUAUAGUCAUUCAAAGAGCAAAAUGACUAUAGAAAAGGCACAAACACUCAUCCCAAAGCUAACCAAAGACAACUAUAAUAAUUGGUGUAUCAGAUUGAAGGAAUUUCUUGGUUCACAAGAGUGUAUAGAGAUUGUGGAAUAUGGUUAUGAUGAACCAGAGUCCAAAAAAGCAGAAAAUUCAUUACAAGAGGCACAAAAACAAGUCCUGAGAGCCAAUAGAAAGAAAGACAAGAAAUAUGGGAGGCUCUCCAAUAAAAUCAUAAAGGUGCUGACAGAAUCAAGAAGAUUCGUCUUCAAUCUUUGCGAGGUGAAUUUGAAUUAGUGCAAAUGAAGUCAUCAGAAUUCAUUUCUGAUUAUCAUAUAAGAAUUAUGGUGAUAGUCAAUCAGAUGAGAAGAGAUGGAGAAAUCCUCUCAGAUGCUUGAAUUACUGAGAAAACUUUGAGAUCCCUAGAUCCAAAAUUUGAUUUUGUUAUUGUUGGUAUUGAAGAAUCCAAAAAAGUGGACAAGUUGACAGUGGAUGAGCUUAUGAGUUCUUUGCAAGCUUACGUGCAAAAGAUUGUGAAAAGAAAUGGAGAUAAGGCAAUUGAGCAUGCCUUACAAUCAAAGUUGUCUCUCAAGGAGGGCAGAGAGACUUCAACAAGUGGAUAUACCACUCAAGGAAGGAGUCAACAAAGAUGAGGAGGAUUUCAACAAUUUCAAGGAAGAGGGUCUUGGAAUAAGGGAUUCAGAGGAAUAGGAGGUAAAAACACUACUAGAGAAGGCUGGGGACAACCUGCAUUUACUCCUAGAGGAAGAGGAGGCGGUUACAAUAACCGUGAUAAGAGAAAUAUCUAGUGUUAUAGUUGCAAUCAAUUUGGGCACUAUAGCACUGAAUGUAGAAGGAAAGCUCCAUCAGAGGUACAUGAACAAGCCAACUAUGCAGAGGAGGAUGUCAUCAUCAGAGGACCAGUUGCAUUAUUAGUCCAACAAGGACUAGGUGAGAAUCAUGAUAAUAUUUGGUAUCUAGAUUCUGGAGCCAGCAAUCACAUGUGUGGCCAACGGGAUCUAUUUGGUGAUCUAGAUGAGACCAUACAAGGUCUAGUCACAUUUGGAGAUACCUCAAAAGUUCCGGUAAAAGGUAAAGGCAACAUCCCAAUCAAGUUGAAGAAUGGCGAUCAUAGCGACAUCGUAAAUGUUUACUAUGUUCCAGCCAUAAAGCACAACAUGCUGAGUAUAGGUCAACUUAUAGAGAAAAGAUAUACUCUUUACACGAAGAAUUGUCAUCUAAUAGUCAAAGAUUACAAUGGGAGAUUAAUUACCUAUGUGAAGAUGUCUAAGAAUAGGAUGUUUCCUUUAAACAUUCAAUAUAAUGCUGCAAAGUGUUUGAGUGUCAUCACCAACAAUGAAGAGUGACUCUAGCACCUAAGGCUUGGACAUAUGAAUUUCACAAGUCUGAAGAUGCUAGCAAGAAAGAAGAUGGUCAAAGGUAUGCUCCACAUUGAUCAUCCAGAUGAAGUCUGUGAGAGUUGUGUCCUCAACAAACAUCACAGAUCCAGUUUUGCCAAAGAAGUCAACUGGAAAGCAAAUAAGCCACUAGAGUUAGUGCACACAGAUGUGUGUGGUCCUAUAAAGCCUAUGUCAACUGGACAAAAUAGGUACUUCCUUACUUUCAUUGAUGAUUUUAGCAGAAAAAUAUGGGUAUACUUUCUGAAAAGGAAGUCAGAAGUAUUCAAUUGUUUUAAAGAUUUUAAAGUAAUUGUUGAGAAGCAAAGUACUAUAAGAUCAGAACUGUGAGAUCUGAUCAAGGUGGAGAAUAUACAACAAAUGAGUUUGAAGCCUUUUGUACACAACAAGACAUCAGACAACAUCGACUUAUACACCACAACUGAAUGGUGUAGCUAAGAGAAAGAAUCGAACGAUUCUUGAUAUGGCAAGAAGUCUACUUAAAGCAAAAAAGCUGCCCAAACAAUACUUGGUUGAAGAUGUAUCAUGUGCAGUGUAUCUACUGAAUCGCUGCCCAACCAGAAGUUUGCAAGUUGUCACUCCGGAAGAAGCAUGAAGUGGUCACAAACCAAGUGUUACUCUUCUUCGAGUCUUUGGUUGUGUGGCAUAUGCAAAGAUUCUAGAUGCAAGAAGGACCAAACUCGAUGAUAAAAGCGAGAAAUGCAUCUUUGUCGGAUAUGGUGAUAGAAGGAUGGGAUACAAGCUAUAUAAUCCUAUCACAAAGAAUAUGAUAAUGAGUAGAGAUGUUAUCUUUGAAGAAGAUAAAUCUUGGCAGUGGAAUGGUGAUCAAGAAGAAGCAAAAUGCAUCAGUAUUGAUUUGAUCCUUGAAGAUAAAGUGGAAGUACCAACAGUACUUGUAGAAGGUUCGAUGUUACCAGCAGAUGAGCCACAAAGUCCGGCACACAGAUUCCCUGUAUUCAACAGGAGAAACACACCAGAAUCAUCAUCAACACCACCAUCAACAUCCUCAUCAGAAGGACCAAUAAGGAUGAGAAAUCUAGAAGAGUUGUACGAUGCCACUCAAGUAAUGGAAGAUACAACUCUAUUUUGUUUCUUUGCAAAAAGUGACCCACUUAGCUUCAAUGAAGCUAUCACAGAAGAGAAAUAGAUAAAAACAAUGGAUGAAGAAAUACAUGCCAUUGAGAAGAAUGAUACCUGAAAGCUGACUAAUCUACCAGAAAAUAAAAGGCAAUAGGUGUCAAAUGGGUCUAUAAGACGAAGAAGAAUGCAAAAGGAGAAGUAAAAAGAUACAAAGCAAGAUUAGUGGCAAAAGGCUACAAACAGAGAGAAGGCAUUGACUAUGGAGAAGUAUUUGCUCCAGUAGUCCAGCUAGAAACAAUCAGACUGAUGAUCUCACUAGCUGCACAACAUAGAUGGAAGAUCUAUCAACUCGAUGUGAAGUCAACAUUUCUGAAUGGCUUCCUAGAAGAAGAGAUCUAUGUUGAACAACCACUUGGAUACAUUGAAGCUGAAAAUGAAGGCAAAGUAUACAAGUUGAAGAAAGCCCUCUACGGUUUGAAGCAAGCUCCGCGUGCUUGGAAUACCAGAAUUGACAGGUAUUUUCAAGACAAUGGAUUUGAAAAAUGUCCAUAUGAACAUGCAAUAUAUGUGAAGAAAGAAGCAGAUGGCAGCAUAUUAUUUGCGUGCCUAUGUUUGAUGAUUUGAUAUUCACCGCAACAAUCCUACCAUGUUUGAAGACUUCAAGAAAAGCAUGGUACAGAGUUUGAGAUGACAGACAUUGGUCUAAUGUACAUUUUCUUGGCUUAGAAGUAACGCAGAAAGAAGAAGGGAUUUUUGUAUCCCAAAGCGGUUACGCCAAAGAUAUUCUUGAAAGGUUCAAGAUGGAAAGCUAAUCCGGUAUCAACUCCAGUUGAGAAUGGAGUAAUUGAGGAAGAGUAAGUUGGAAAUGUUGAUCCAACUUACUUCAAAAGCUUAGUAGGAAGCUUAAGGUACUUGACAUGUACCAGACCGAUAUACUCUACAGAGUUGGACUUAUCAGCAGAUAUAUGGAGACACCAGACCAGUCUUACUUGAAUGCAGCAAAGAGAAUUCUUUGCUACAUCAAAGGAACAAUAAAUGAAGGUAUGUUUUAUACCUCAAGUAAAACUUUAAUCUUGUUGGCUACUCGGAUAGUGAUUGGGGUAGAGAUCUGGAUGAAGAAAAGCACAAUUGAAAUUUGUCUUUUUCUAUGGGAGAUACAUCUUUCACAUGGUCAUCGAAGAAGCAAUUGAUAGUAUAACGUAUCAAGCUGUGAAUCUAAGUAUGUUGCUGCCAACUCAGCUGUAUACCAUUUAAUAUGGUUAAGGAAUAUGCUGAAGUUUUUGGGAUUUCCUCAAGAAAGUCCUACAAAUAUUGAUAAUCGAUCAGCAAUUGCAUUAGCCAAGAAUCCAGUGUAUCAUGAAAGAAGUAAACACAUCGAUACACGUCAUCAUUUUAUCCGAGAGCAUGUGAAGAACAAAGAAGUUGAACCGAUAUCCUGCAAACAAAUGAUCAAGUUGUAGAUAUCUUUACAAAGCCAUUGAAGGGAGAAAUAUUCAUCAGAUUGAAGUUCAUGCUUGGCAUGACAUCCCUCGAUUGUGUUUAAAGGGGGAAUUUGUUGUGGCAAACUCAAUUAGCCACGUGCAGCCACCAAUUACCACCUGCAACCACCAACUAUCAACCACCCAACCACCCCUUGAAAUUUGAAUUUUCUUACUUUCAGUUUGUGUAUAAAUAGGCAGCUAAGUUUAUGUUAUUAAGUGUGGAAAACAAAAGAAAGAAACACUAGAGAGAAAGAGAGGGUGUGUAUUAAGAGUGUUUUGCUUGUAUUUUGUAAGCUUGUUGUUUUGAAAUAAAACCGUGUAUUUUAUCCCCUCUAGGUGUUCCAAAGCCAUCACCAAUGGUUUCUCCCACCAACAGAGAAGGGUUUACCUGCAUAAAAUACUCAUAUUUCUUUGAAGUAUUUAGUGAGACUUGCAAGUAUGCUAGUAGUUGUUGCACCAAAUUCAUCAUAUAGAAAACAUAGAUUCAUCUACAUUAUACAAAGGCUUAAAUCAAGAGAAAGAUGCCCACCUGCGAUGAACAAGUUUGUUAUCUGAAAAUGGCUUAGAAUCUCCAUGGCAAUAUUUUUUUUUUCUCUUUUUCUCCCAUUAUUUGGCAUGGCAAUAUUUUUUUUCUCUUUUCUCCCAUUAUCUCCAUGCCAAUAUAUUUUUUCUCCCAUUAUUUGGCAUGCCAAUAAUUUUUUUCUCUUUUUCUCCAGUUAUUUUUCCUUAUCUUUCUCUUUCCUUAAUUUGGCUAAUUUAAAAACUGAAAUGAAAACACACAAGGAAAACUAUCUAGCACGUGUUUGCACACGUGUUAAAAAAGACAUCAUCUAAUGGCGAUGCAUGUCAUGCUACUAUCGAUUGUGAUCUUUAUUUUGUUAAUUUUAUCUUGUCAAAAGAAAUUUAUUAGUUUAAUACGUUGGGUUAGGUUGGGUUGAGAAAAAAACUUGAUGAAUUGUUUAAUACGUUUACACAAAAUUUGAUGAAGCGGUGGAGAGAAAAACAGGUGGCUUUAGGCAUCAUUUGUGGUUUUGUUCCCUUUUUAGUGAAUGAAACUCUAAGAAAUUGAAAGGGGAGAUGAUACCAAAAGAUCAAACCGUAAGAAAAAUUGAGUGAAUCAAAACAAAAACAUCAUUUUCCCUUAACAAGUUAAAUGAUUGAAUCAACAUAAAAAGGGUUAGGUUUGACUAACCAGAACAUGACCUUUGAUUAUGUCAUCAGUGUAGUAUUCAGGCUGUUCUUCUUGCAAAGCGAGAAACCGGUUUAUCAUAGUGUUUCUGUCCCUGUCAUCUCGAUGCUCAUCAACCAGUCCCUGUAAGAACACAUCCAUCUUCUUACUUAGUCUAUCCAACUUCUUCAAGAAGCCUGUAAUAUCAACCCACUGCAACAUUGGAAUCAGAUUCCCCACAUUUAUCAUGGAAAUAUAUGCAAAAAACUCUUCCAAGAUCUCCCUAAAAAUCCUGGCCUCUUCAAUUUCCUUAACAUCAACACCAUAAUACGUCUUUCCUGCAACCAUUCUCAAUAUAAUAUUACUCGUCAGGUCCAAGAGCAUGGAUCUCAACUCUACCUUAGCAUAGUUACCAUGCUUGGAAACACUGUGAAGUCUACGCAGUAAGACCAUGACUUCCUCUCUUCGGAUGCUAAAUAACGAAGUGAGGCGAGCAGGGGAGAAGAUUUCAAGAGCGCUUAUGCGGCGAAGUUUGCGCCAAUGGUCACCGUAUUCGACUGAGGCCAUGGUGGUGUUGCUGUAGUUUAAGUACUUGCUGACCAAAAAGUGAGGACGGUUGGCCAACACAAUAUCGUUCUUGGUGAAACAUUCUUCCACGGCCGAUGGUGAAGAUAUGACAACGGCAAGGCGGGAUCCGAGUUUUAGAGAGAAUAUGGGACCGUGUUUUUCUGAGAGGGAGUGGAGUGUUCGUUGGAGAGGUUGUUUGAGGAGAUGGAGAUGGCCAAUAAUUGGAAGAGCAAAAGGGCUUGGUGGGAGAUUACUGAUCUUGCCUUGCUUUCUUUUCUGGAGCAAGAACUUGGUUGAAAGAGCAAGAAACACAAAGCAUGGAAGAAGAAGAGAGUAGCAAAGGCGUUGCAAGGUACUGUAGUCUUCUUCCAUGCUUAACUUGCUUGAUUGUUGAUCAAGCGGCGAUUCUUCCAAUGCUUGUCUGUAAGCUUUGGAAACUCAAGGUCCACUUAAUUGUACCCGUCAAACAGGGCAGCUGAAGAUCCGAGUUCUUGGGUUCCUCAUGGCAACUCAUAUAUCAAUAUAUAAACUCUAAUAUUCUUUCUAUUAUUUUUAAUAGCAUUUUAAAUCCUUUUACGUUGUUUUCAACAACUGUACUCAGUAGGUUAUCAUGUUGACUUUGCACAUUUCAUAUGGUUUUUUUACAUAGAAAUUUCAGUAUCUGUACCCAGGAGCGGAGGCAGUGAAGCAGGGGCCGGCGCGAGGACAUUUUAAAACUUUUCAUUAGAUAAUUAAGUGUAAGCUGGAGAUGUUAACUCUUCUUACAAUCUUGCCAAACAGAUUUGAAUACACCACCACCAUCCCUUUUGAGGAUUAUCCAGUUUAUUUCCUUUAGCUACUUCUCCCCACAUUAGGAAGACUAUACCGACACUAACGACCUCCAUUAGUGUUUUUAGUUUUCCAUCCUGUGGUCAACUAAUCAAAUUCACGAAAAUGCCGACACUAACACGACUGUUGGUGUCAUUAAAUAUUUUUGGACCGAAAUAAUUAAUCACUGUUCUAUGCUACCUUGGGAGGUCCUCGGGUAUGCCGAUGUCAAGGAUUCUUGACAUCAUUAGCUUUCACCUCCGAAAGCUAAUCAAGUCUAUAAGUUUUGCUGAUAUCGACGGCACCCGCCGAUAUCAUUAACUAUUCUGAAUCUGAAUAGUUAAUCAAGUCUAUAAAUUUUGCCGAUAUUGACGUCACCCGACGAUAUCAUUAACUAUUCUGAAUCCGAAUAGUUAAUCAAGUUUCAUAUUUCUCCCCCCACGUACAGGUAAUGCCGAUGUUAACCAGCUUGGCUAACAUCAUUAGCCUCCCAUAUCAGGGAUAGGCUAAUCAAAUUCGAGAAACAAUCAUUAUCAAAAUUCGUUGUCACUGUUUGUUUCCUCCAAAAGGACCUAUAAUUUAAAUUUAGUCCUCCAUUUCUAUUUUCCCGUCAUUUAACCUUUCAUUUCUCCCUUUUUCUUUUCCUCGUCAAUAUGCACCAAGUCUUUUUUUUUUUUUUUUUAUAGUUCAAUAAUUAGUUAAAAUAAUUAUUAACAAGAGGAGAUAUAGGUACCGAGUACCUACCUGUUGUAGAUGCUCGACUUGCGUUCCCCUAUUGUUGUUGUACUCCUCCCGCGGUUCCUCCUGAAACCAUAAACACCCAUCAUUAUUCCAUAUUACUCCACAUAUCACAACACAAUAGUAAAAAUGGCAAUAAUAUUCAUUUCUCUUUUAUCAAUCUUUUCUUUCUCACUUACAUUCCUCAUUAUUAUCCUUUUACAUUUUCGGUCCAUUUGUAGUCCAAGUGGACAUCAUGAAUUUAAUUUUGAUCACAGUUUUAUUCUUCUUCUUCUUCUUCUUGUUUUUUUUUUGAAGAUCAAGACACACUUUAUGAAGGGUGAGAAAACAAAUUCUACCCUUAAUACGACUAAAUUUCGUUGUUUUAUCGACUUGGGCCGAAACUGCCAACCGGGGUGGUAGCUUGACCUCUCCUCAGAUUUUCAUUUGUAUCUAGAGUUCCAAGACUCCAAAUUAGGCGGGGUUGGACUCGUUGGAAAGCUAACACUCCCAGCUACAACUUCUAUGAAUGGACCCUCCCUAAAUUCUAUCAUCUUCAGGUCUAGAUUCCUUUAGGAACCAGGGAAAUGAACCUGCCCUGUUCUGUCAAUAAAGAAGGUACCUACAAUUUUUAUCUCCAAUCCUACUUCCCAUCAAUUUCAGCCAUGUUUUCCUUACCUGGAACGUAGGUUCCUCUCCCUUAUAAGUUACAAUUUGUAACUACAAUACAUCAACACACUUAAUUAAUUAUAUAUAUAGUCAAACACACACACACACACACACACACACACUCAAUCACCACAUUAAUUUCCUUAUUAUUCACCUCCUGAAACCUGUUUUAAUUUUUGCAUUAAGGAAAACAACGCAAAUUAUUAAAAUUUCCUUUCUUUCCUUACAAUCCCAUGGCCGGCCACUAUUUCCCCAUAGUCUUUGAUUUUGUUGAAAUCUUCUUUGCAUAAUUCCAUCCUUUUUAGGCAACUUAUGCUGCUCAACUCAUUUAAUUCCAAUCAAUUCCACAUUUCCCCAAAUUUUACUCAAGGACCCUGAUGCAACCAUAUUAUUCGAUAGUUUCACCCACAUUUAACUAGUGUGUUGCCUAUGUUUUAUAUAUAAAAUGGCUUGAUAUUCUUUGUUUUAUGUUUUGAAGGCACUUUUGGAUGAAAGAUGCAAAAAGGAGUAAAUUGAAUAAGGUAAUUGGCAGAUUUGACAUUCAGUCGAUGUUUUGUGCAGAGCGUGAGCUCUAAAGGUCGAAAUGAAGUGAUUCCAGUGGAAUUAAAAAGCUAACAUCCAUACCUUUCUGGAAAGCUAAGGCAAGGCAAUAAAAUAAGGAAGAGCAUGGACAUCGCAGCUUUCAAAUUCAAAUCUCACAAUCUGCCAAUAUUGACCUUUGAUCAUUCCAACUUGAAUAUCUAGAGCUACAAAAGUCCAAUUGAUGCAAACUAAAUUUUUUUGGAUUCCUGACUCAAAGGAAUAUAAACAAUCCAAAUUUCAUCUAAAAAAGAUAUCAUAUGAGGGAGAUAUGAUUUUUGAAAGAUGACAACUGAAUUCUGCCAGCAAACAGGUUUCGUGAAGAAACGAGUCCAAAUUACGUUCGGAAGUAUCUAAACCGACAUCCAAGUUUUUAUUUCAGCAAUGUAGCUCCUCUAAGUCAAAGCUUGAAGAUUUCAUGCAAAGCUAUUUCUCUUUUUUUAGGAAAAUAGUUAUUGAACUACUUAAAUGUAAAUUGUCUACUUAAGGGAGGACUAUUUUGUAAAAUAGAGAUUAGGGUUUCCUAGCAUAUAAAAAGAAUGAGAGAAGAGAAGGGGGGCAUCCACCCAAGAGGAGAAAAAACACCCUCAUCUAAGAAACCCUAAAUCAUGCAUUCUUCCAUAUUUUUGAUUAGUUGUUCAACAAACAUGCAAGGCUAAACCCAAGAGGAGUUGGAUGCUGUUUUGAGCUUUAAUGGACUAGAGAAUGUUGAUGAAGAAGAUGAUAAUCACAUUAAAGAUUGCGAUGAAGCUGACAAUAACAAUUCAAUUGAGGACGAAGAUGAAAAUUCUGACUAAACAUGUUGUAAAGUGUUAUUUUUAUAAUGUAAUAUUAAUGAUGAUAUUUUGGAACAUGAAAUAUUUAUUCUUCUUUAAUUGUCAGCUCUUGUUAUUGCACUGUGCAUGCUAUAAGUUUGCAAUUCAAGAUUUUGUGCAGGAGGAUAGACAGAGAUACAUAAAGAAGCUAUAAAAAUAUUGACAGUUUUACCGACGACUAUACCGACGACAUGGAACCUGUCGGUAUUAUAUGGAAAGUUGAAAAACAAUUACGAAAUUUUGCCACAACCACCGACGGGUAUACUGACGGAUUGGUACCCAUCGGUAUUUUAUAGAGAGUUGCAAAAAACUUAUGGAAUUUUGCCACUCUCACCGACGGCUAUACCGACGGACUGGUACCCGUCGAUACUUGACAUAGAGUUGCAAAAAAAUUACAGCCCCUGCCAUCAUCACCAAUGUAUAUACCAACGGAUUCACCAACGGUUGGUGCACAUCCAGAAGUGCACAGCAGUCAAACCGCCUAGUCGGUCGGCACAGUUACCGACAACAACGGCAAAUCCAAUGCUCUUGUGCUCUGAUACAUGUUUCCCGAUGGACCAAAAAAUCUGGUACGAUGUUCAAAACUUUUGGUGUGAAUAUCAAUUAAUUAUUGAUGGAAUUUAAUGCCACUGACAAAAAAAGAAAUUAUUCAAUGUUCUGUCGGUAACCCUGUCAGAAAAAUUGAGAUAUAAAACCCUCCCCGCUUUUCUGGUUCAUUUUUUUUCUCGACUUUUCAUUUCUAUUUCUCUUCUCCAUUGCCCACUCUGUUUACAUUUGGUGAUUUGCAAGAGGUUUUAUUGUUUUGUUGGUAGUUUUCAACAUAUUAAAAGGUAUGUAUUAUCUUUCUUUAUCUUUGUAUUUUCUAUUUUAAUUAUGAUUAUUUUUUUUAGUGUUCUUUGUUUUAUGUAUUGUUUGUAGAUAAAAUCUUAAAAUCAACACACUAUUAAGGUAAACAUUUUUAUUCCUAAAUUUAUUUUGAAUUUAUGUAGUGUUUUUUAGUUUUGUGUAUUGUUUGUUUUGUGUUUAUGAUGUUUUGUGUAGUGUUUUUUUAGUUUUUUCUUUUUAUUUAUUAAUUUUAUGUUAUUAUUGUUUAUAUUGCCAUAAUAAAGAAUGUUAUUAUUGAAUUUAUUUUUAAAAUGUUAAUUGAAAUAUAUAAUUAAUUUAAUUAGUUUUCUUAAUUUUAUGAUAUUAUUGUUUGUAUUGCCAUAAAUGUUAUUGUUGAAUUUAUAUUUAAAAUGUUAAUUGAAAUAUAGAAUUAAAAUUAAUUAGUUUAUCUUAAUUUUAGGAUAUUAUUGUUUGUAUUGCCAUAAUUGUUUUUAUUGAAUUUAUGUUUAAAAUGUUAAUUGAAAUAUAGAAUUAAAUUUAAUUAGUUUAUCUUACUUAUAGGAUAUUAUUGUUUGUUAUGUUUUUAUUAUUUUGAUUAAUUUUAAUAGUUAUUUAUGAAUUUGUAUUGAUGUUAGUUGAAAAUAUAUAGAUGUUGAAUUUAUAUAGAUGUUAGGUUGUAUAGAGUUGAUUUUUCAAUAUUUGUGUAAUUAUCAAUAUUUGUAGGUAUGAAAACUGUGGGUAGUCUCUAAUAUAGGGGAGCUGCUGUCGAAUUUUUUUAAAUGAUUGAAUUUCUAUAGAUGUUAGGUUGUAUAUAUGAUGUUGCUGGAGUCAAUUGGAUUGUGGUUAUUGUGAAAAUUGCAGGUUUGAAAACUGUGGGUAGUCUACAAUAUAGGGGACGUGGUGCCAAUUUUGUUUUUAAUUAAUCAAAGUUAAUUAUGUAAUUAUUCAUAUACAUUUGUGUAGAUACAUCGAAUUAAAUCUACGACACGUCGUCAGCAGACGGUUGCAGCUAGUUCUUCUAGUAGCGACGAGGACAUCACCUUAGGUGCUGAUCACGGUGAGGCAUCUGCGUAAUUGUGAUGCUGCCUCUUCUAGCAUGGUUCACAGCGCAUAGACGGUGUGCCUUCAUAGCGGGGUCAAUUCACCUGCAAGUACCAGGUACAAUGGAAGGAUGACCUCUCAAUGUAAGUUUGUUUAGGUUUUAGUUUAUUUAUUUAUUUAUUAAACUUAUAACAUAAUUUAUGAACAGCUAAUUAAUAUUUUAUUAAUUUUAUUUAAUUUCAAGCUCACAAACAUUGAGGCUGCCAGGACAAUAACAUCGACGUUUAAAUCGUUGAUGGAGAUUCCAUUGUUUCUAUGGAGUCAGGUCUCCAGAUAUCCUGAGUGGAGACCUAAUAUCAAUGUCUGGUUUCGGCGGUUUCAAGUAGGUGUUAACUUUUAAUUUCCAAUUUAUUUUUAAUAAAUAAUUUUUGUAAUUUUAUAUCUUGUACUAUUUUUAUUUUAAAUGAAUUAUUUAUAUACACAAAAUAAAUUUGAGUGGGAUAGCGCGGACAACAAUGUUGUCAGGAGGGUAUGGGAGAAUCACGCGGCAACUAGGUAACAUCGAAAAUAAUAUUUAUUUUUGAUUUAUAAUUUUAUGUUCUAAAUUCUAAUUAGUUACUAUGGAAGUAGGUUGCGUGAUUUUUGGUAUGACACCAAAAAAAAGUGAAAAGAUAUACGAGGGACAACGCUCUUGAAGGAUGGAAUGAGGUGGCGGUUUGGCGGGAAUUCAAACCGCCAUUCAUCUCGGGAGGUAUAUGGGCCGCAUAUAUUGAGCACUUGACAUUUGAGUGGUUCUUACGGUGCUCAAAGUUCGGAGCUGACAACCAGAACCAACAAAUUCAUGGUUCAGUGACCACGCACACUGACGGCUCCGUCCCGUUCAGCACACAUGCGAAGCGGAUGGUAAGAUUAAUUUAAAUGAAAUAUAUCGUUAAUUAAUUUGUUGUUGUUAUAAAUAUAUUUAACUUGCAACCUUUUUUGUUUCCUUAAUUACAGGCUAUGUUUCUUGAACGUGUGCCGAGUCCAAGUAGAGAUGCACAUGCGGAGUCAAGACCGCCAAAAGGGGGUGCAAUAGUACGUGGACAACCAUGCUCAGCAUUUCAUGGUAUGUUAGUUCAAUCAUUUUAUUUUGUAAGUUAUUAUUUUCUUGAAUUGAAUAUGAUGAUUUUUUUUUUAAAUUUUCAGGAGACCUAUAAUAGCCGGUUGAGGGAGAGAUAUGGGGACGAUCCUUCAACCCAUCCGGAUUUUGAUCCGGAUUUAUGAAUGGAGGUCGGAUCGUCUAGUGGACUUGAUAAAAAUCGGGUCUAUGGGCUCUUCAACACUACGGCCAAAAACUUACGGUCGACCUGUAGUGUCUCGUUGAGAGCUUUCUAUUAGUAUCGAGUACCCAGUCAGAGGAGUUCAUAGCCUUGAAACAACAAUAUGAACGUCUCUCGAAGGAUUAUGAUCAACUACGUCAAAUGGCCAUGGAGAUUAGAUCAAAGAUGGGUGAUGAUACAUGUGCAACUACUUUUUCGCCGUACGUUCCCGAAAACAACUAGCCUCCUCCUCUUCCUCCUCCUUCAGCUCUGCCACUAUUUUAGUUUAAUUUUGUUUUUUAAAACAUUACAUUUGUAAUGAAUUUUUGGAUGAAUAUUAUUUAACAUUAUUUUUACAUUUUUAAUGUUUAAUACAAAUUUAUUUGGUUAGUAAGUUUUUUUUACUGUUAAUAAAUAAUUUUUUUUAAAUAUUUUAAAUAAAUACCGAUGACUUUCCAAACGGAACCAGGCUGUUGGUAUUUUACCGAGAGUUACAAAAAAAUUACCACCCAUGCCACAAUCACUAACGGAUUUAUUCCAUAAAAAAUAAAUAUUAGUUAUCUACUUAUACUUUGUCAUGGACAUAAAAAAUAAAUAUACAGAUUUUUUAAACAUAUUUCUUACAUUAAAAAAAUUAUAAUAGUAGAUAAAAAAGCUGAUAUAUAUAUAUAUAUAUAUAUAUAUAUAUAUAUAUAUAUAUAUAUAAUUUGAUAAUCCACGUUUAUUAUCAUUAACCUUCAUUUUUACCCCUUCUUGAGGGGAAAAAAAAACUUUUGCUGCAGUUUAUAGUUUAAUAUCAUUUUAACAAUUGGUAUCAUCAUGUCCAAAAAUAAUAAGAAAAUCAAACCCUAAGGGGUAAUUUAUUAUUAUUAUAUUUUGAAAAUAAACACAUACAUAUAAUAGUGGCAAUCAAAUAAACUCUUGACAAUUUUAUAUAUUUUGAUCACUUAAGAGAGAAGCAUGUCUAGAAUCGGGCGAGCUCUACACAUGAGCUCUAACGGCUCAACUUUUGACAUGUUGACUGCUGUCUUCUCUGCCAUUUCAAUCUUGUUUUCACCAACCCUUUCCAAUUCAAAGCACUGUAUCAACGAUCCCAAAGUUAAGAUCAUUACUCUUUUUGCUAGGCCAUCUCCAGGACAAGCUCUCCUUCCCAUCCCGAAGGCGAUGUACUUGCAUGCAUCAACUCUUCCUGCAGAUUCAAAUCUCUCAGGCUUGAAACUCGUGGGCUCAUCCCACAGUGUAGGGUCUCUAUGGAGAGACCAUGCGUUUACAAAUAAUAUGGUCCCAGCUGGGACAUGGUAUCCUCCAAUGGUACAGUCGGAGGAUGGCAUGUGCGGUGGUAUAAGCGGUGUCACCGGACAUAAACGCAGAUUCUCCGAUAUGAUGCCCUGAAGGUAAUUUAGUUUUGCAAAAUCUGAAUCUUCUAUCAAGCGGUCUCCAACUUGAGCGUCCAGUUCUGCUUUAGCUUUCUGUAGCAUGUCUGGAUGGUUGAGUAGAUUGGCUAAAGCCCAUUCCAUAGAUGUAGCAGAAGUGUGUGUUCCCCCAAGAAACAACUCCUGCACAAAAUACUUAGUUAAAGUCAAGCCAGCUCCGAUCCAAAAGCAAAGAUAAGAAGGUUCUACCCGAAUGACUUGACAGGUUGAUACACAACCCAGAGCCCCGGAUUUUAACUUGGGUUAGGUCAGGUUGAGAAAAAAACUUGAUGAACUGACAUAGUUAUGUUUAGUAGGUUUACAUAAAAUUUGAUGAAGUGGUGGAGAGAAAAACAAGUGGCUUUAGGCAUCAUUUGUGGUUUUGUUUCCGUUUUUAGUGAAUGAAACUCUAAGAAAUUGAAAGGGGAGAUGAUACCAAAAGAUUAAACCUUAAGAAAAAAAAACAUUAUGUGUUUCCUUAACAAGUUAAAUGAUUGAAUCAACAUAAAGAGGGUUAGGUUUGACUAACCAGAACAUGGCCUUUGAUUAUGUCAUCAGUGUAGUAUCCAGGCUGUUCUUCUUGCAAAGCGAGAAACCGGUUUAUAAUAGUGUUUCUGUCCCUGCCAUCUCGAUGCUCAUCAACCAGUCCCUGUAAGAACACAUCCAUCUUCUUACUUAGUCUAUCCAACUUCUUCAAGUGGCCUGUAAUAUCAACCCACUGCAACAUUGGAAUCAGAUCCCCCACAUUUAUCAUGGAAAUAUAUGCAAAAAACUCUUCCAAGAUCUCCCUAAAAAUCCUGGCCUCUUCAAUUUCCUUAACAUCAACGCCAUAAUACCUCUUUCCCGUAACCAUUCUCAUUAUAAUAUUACUCGUCAGGUCCAAGAGCAUGGAUCUCAACUCUACCUUAGCAUAGUUACCAUGCUUGGAAACACCGUGAAGUCUACGCAGUAAGACCAUGACUUCCUCUCUUCGGAUGCUAAAUAACGAAGUGAGGCGUGGAGAGGAGAAGAUUUCAAGAGCGUUUAUGCGGCGGAGGUUGCGCCAAUGGUCGCCGUAUUCGACUGUGCCCAUGGUGGUGUUGUUGUAGUUUAAGUACUUGCUGACCGAAAAGUGAGGACGGUUGACCAAGACAAUAUCGUUCUUGGUGAAACAUUCUUCCACAGCCGAUGGUGAAGAUAUGACAACGGCAAGGCGGGAACCUAGUUUGAGAGAGAAUAUGGGACCGUGUUUUUCUGAGAGGGAGUGGAGUGUUCGCUGGAUAGGUUGUUUGAGGAGAUGGAGAUGGCCUAUAAUUGGAAGAGCAAAAGGGCUUGGUGGGAGAUUACUGAUCUUGCCUUGAUUUCCUUUCUGGAGCAAGAACUUGGUUGAAAGAACAAGAAACACAAAGCAUGGAAGAAGAAGAGAGUAGCAAAUGGUGAGGGGGGGUCUAAGGAAUGUCUCAGAAAUCAGUGUUGGUGGCUAGUAUGAAGCAGAGGGAUGCAAAUACAGGGAAUAAGAUGGUUUAUGAACUCCAUCCUGUGACGACACUCACAUCCAGUAAUCCUAAUUGUAUGCAGGGAUUAUGAUGGGAAAGUUACUCCUGAGGAGGUGGCAGCUGCUGCGAUGUACUUGAAGGAUACAUCAGGCCAGGAAGGCAUCCAAGAACUCAUCAGCUGCUGCGAUGUACUUGAAGGCUGUAUCAUUUUGAAUGUGUCUGCAUGUUUCAACAUUCAUCACUUUCUUCUUAUUAGAGGAUUAAUGCAUUUGUUCUCUUGAGCUCAGCUCCUACAUGCAAACUGGUUUUGGUUCUAAGAAGCCACAUCUUAUUUUGCUGAAUUAUAGAAGACAUCUUAUCAUCUUUCCUCUUUUUACCAUGCCACAUGAAAAAAUAUUUCUUCGCCGCUAAAGCAAAUAAUUUUCUCAAUCCAAUUGGGUGUUUUGAGUUGCUUAUGAAAAUCUAUCAAGGGUCAGAAAAUUAACAUGAUGCUUUUCUUCUACCUUGUGGUUUUUCUCUGCUUCUUGUCAUUUUGACCGAAAAGUGAGGACGGUUGGCCAAGACAAUAUCGUUCUUGGUGAAACAUUCUUCCACAGCCGAUGGUGAAGAUAUGACAACGGCAAGGCGGGAGCCGAGUUUGAGAGAGAAUAUGGGACCGUGUUUUUCUGAGAGGGAGUGGAGUGUUCGUUGGAGAGGUUGUUUGAGGAGAUGGAGAUGGCCAAUAAUUGGAAGAGCAAAAGGGCUUGGUGGGAGAUUACUGAUCUUGCCUUGCUUUCUUUUCUGGAGCAAGAACUUGGUUGAAAGAGCAAGAAACACAAGGCAUGGAAGAAGAAGAGAGUAGCAAAGGCGUUGCAAGGUACUGUAGUCUUCUUCCAUGCUUAACUUGCUUGAAUAUUGUUGAUCAAUGCUUGUAUGUAAGCUUUGGAAACUCAUAUAUCAAUAUAUAUAUCAAUAAAUGGAACCCUGUUUGAGAGGGAAUAUGGGACCGUGUUUUUCUAAGAGGGAGUGUUCGCUGGAUAGGUUGUUUGAGGAGAUGGAAUAUGUCAACUCAUAUAUCUGUACCCCCAAGACAUUUUAAAACUUUUCAUUAGAUAAUUAAGUGUAAGUUGGAGGUGUUAACUCUUCAGAUCAUACUUACAAUCUUGUCAAACAGAUUUGUUUUCUAGUUUUUUUCUUUGUAUUUGUUCUGUCUUCUAUGGUUGCGUUCCAUGUAAGGUUCCUUUCAUUGACCAAGAUACACACACUCAUAAAUUAUUUUCCAAAUCAUUUAUAAUAAUUUUACUUUAUUUUUAUGUUAAAAUAAAAUAAAAAUGACAUUGGCAAAAUUUGAUUGAUAGAAUUUUUUAUUUUUAAAAAGAUGGUUUUAUUAAAGUAAUUAAAUGUAACUUUAAUUUUAAUUUUAUAUUUACUCUUUACCGAGAAAAGAAAAAAAAUAUAAGGUCAUUAUCUUGUGUAGCCCUAAUAUCAAUAUUGCAGUUUAUAAAAACACAAAUCAUGAAUAAAAUUUUUCUUUUAAAAUUAAAGUAAACCAAAUUAAUUUAUCUUCAUCAAAUAAAAUAAGAUAACUUAAUUUAAAAUUUAUUUUUGUUUUAUUUUGAGAUGUUUGUUAAUAAUUUGAUGAGGUUUUUAUUUUUAUUUUUUAUUUCUACCAUUUUUGCUCAUUUUUUUUUCUCAAAUCUGCUAGUUCUACCAUUGUGUUUUUAAAUUCUUGUUAUGGUGAUUUUUUUAAUUAAUUAGAUAUAUUUUAUUGGUUUUUUUUAUUAUGCUUAGAUUUUUUUUUAUGUUUUUUUAAUCAGAGCCACCAAAAUUAUCAAUUUUUUUCUCACGAUAUAUGUUUUUGAAUUUUAGAACAUGUCAUCCAAUCAUGUACCAAUCAUCCAAAGUUAAAGAACAUGUCAUUGAUUGCUAAUUUACAUCAAGGAUUGGUUGAAACAGAAAAAUCAACAAUUUAUCCGCUAGUUGACAGGUUGAUUCGGGUUAUUUUGAUUUUUCCUGUUUCGACAACUACUUAACGAGUUUUUCAGCGAUAAAGAUUGUUAAAACAAGAUUUCACAAUCGGUGUUGUUACUGUUCAGACUUUUUAAAAGGAAAGACACAUUCAUGAAACGAACAUGACGGGAGACAUAGACACGACCAGACUCUAAAUCAAGACACCGAUAACCAAGAUGAGACGAGCUAUAGCCUAAAAACACACAAGGAGAAGACCGAAAAUCUAUUUUGAGCAUGAUAUGGACGUAAAAUGGAAAACAAAGACGCCCAAAAGUGCGUAGAAAGUUAUAAUCAGGAGUGCGAUGAAACAGACACGCAAAAGGAGAUUUAUUUUGAAGAACAGGAGUAGGCAUGUGAUUAUUAAGAUAGACCGAUGAUUCCAUAGCAUAGUUUCAAAAACGCAAUGGGGCAUUACACUGGCCUAAGAGGGUUAGGCCAGUUUCAACAAUAUGUCUAUGACGACGUUCAACUAUGCCAUUUUGUUCAUGAGUAUGAGGACAAAUUAAUCGAUGAUGAAUACCAAUUGUUUGAAAAAAUGUAUUUAAUUUACGAUAUUCACCACCCCAAUCAGUUUGAACAUAUUUAAUUUUAAGAGAAAACUGACGCUCAACAAGUGUCUGAAAACGUUGAAACGUGGAAAAUACAUCAGAUUUCGCAACAAGCGGAUAAUACCAGAUAUAUUUGGUGUGCGCAUCAACAAAGAUAAAAAAAUAACGAAAACCAUCAGAAGAAAACAUUGGAGCAGGGCCCCAAAAUCACUAAAAAUUAAUUCAAGUGGGGUAGAAGUUUUGUGACCCGUCGGUCGUAAUGACAAACGGGAUGACUUGCCUAAUGGACAUGCUUGACAUUGAGUAAAAGAUCGUUUAGACGUACAAAUAAUUUUAUUAUCAGAAACUAACAAAUUUAGAAUGCGAGGAGUUGGAUGACCUAAACGACGAUGCCACAAGUCGGCAGUCGCGGAAAUGCAAGGAGACCAAAAAGCUUGAGGAACUGACGUAGCCGAGGACUCGGAGAGAACAUAAAGACCAUCAUGACUCCGACCGGAAAGAAGAACUUCCUUGGUGACGAGAUCCUUCACAUAAAACACAGAAUCGUGAAAUUCAAAAUAAACAUGAUUAUCACGACAGAAUUUCUGAACAGAUAACAACGGUUUGGUAAUGUGAGGCACACGAAGAACAUUAGUUAAUGUAAACAAGCGUUUGGGGGAAUAUAAAGUAGUAUGUCCAACAUGGGAUAUGUCAAGGGCCUUACCAUCACCAACAUGCAAGAAAUCAUUACCAAGAUAAGGAGCAGAAUCAGUUAGAGUUGCAAGAUCAGGCGUCACAUGUUGAUUCGCGCCGGUGUCGGGAAACCAAGUCGUUGCAGCAGAAUCAUUCGCAACAGCAAGGUGAGCAGAGGGCUGUUGUGUGCUGCUGCGAAACUGAUAGCAUUGAAGAGCUGAAUGGCCAGGAGUGGAACAUAAUUGGCAGCGGACAUGUCCAGACCACUGCCCCUGAUUUGGCCGAAAUCUGCAGCAGAGGUGCGCCUGUUCUGCCACUGAUUUUGCCUCCAAUCUGCAGCGGAGUGACCUCUGUUUGGGGCCUGAAAUCGGUUGGUGUUUGAGCGCCAAUUACCUCUAGAACGUCCCCUGUUUCGGCUGUGAUUAGUCAUGGCAUAAUAAGCAGAAUUCGGAGGUGUUGGCAGCAAUGGUGGCUGCUGCGGCAGAGAAGAAGAAGACAGCAGUGAUGAAGAGGAUGAACCGACAGCCAUGGAGUGAAAGGAUUCUUGUGCAGAAACUCAUGGGUAAGGAGAUGGCUAUGAAGAUCAGCAUACGAUAGCGGUUCAGCCUUGGUUAUGAGACUAGUUACCAAGUCUUUGAACUCACCGCGAAGUCCAUGAAACACAUAGAGAUUGAAAUCUUCAAGGGACAUUGGGCGACCAGCAGCAGCCAAUUCGUCAAAUAACGAUUUGGCUUGCUGCAUAUACAUACUAACCGAUGCAUCACCUUGCCGAAGGUCUUGAAAGGAGCCAUGUAGUUGCAUGAUCCGGGAAUUAGAUGGAGAGGCAAGUGCCUUCUCAAGCGUGCGCCAAACACAAUGUGAAGUAGAACAAUCUACUACAAGAUGCAACACAUCCACGGAAAGAGAGGAGAAUAGAGCACUCAAAAUAAGUUGAUCUUGUUGCUUCCAACGAAGAAAAGAGGGGCUGAUGGCAGAAGAAGAAUCAGCCAAAGCAUCAAUCAUAUGAGAUGGAGGACACGACAAGGAGCCGUCAACAAAGUGAAAAACACCUUGACCAAGGAGAUAUGGCUUCAUUUGCAUUCUCCAAUAAAGAUAGUUUGUGUUCGUAAGUUUCAACGACACAAGAUGGUGGGUGUUGAUAGAGGAACCAUUGUUGUAGAUGUGUUCCAUGAGAGGCAAAGGAACAGACAGAGCCAGCAAGAGAGGGCUGGCCGGUGAUGAUGCAGCACCGGUGGAGGGAGAGAUUGGAUCAACGGCAGCAAGAGGAGAGUCCAUGGGGAGAAAAUUAGGGCCGGCUGCAAGAGAGAAAAAAUUAGGAGCUCUGGUACCAAGUUGAGAAUAAUUAGGAGGCUUAACCUAAUAGGUUAGCCAACCCUUUUAUAAUAUGAGUAGGGCAAUAUACAAUAGUAAAGGUGGAGUUACCACAUAAGAAUAUGACUACAAUAUUUCCUAUAUAAUUACAUUCUAUAAUAGAUGGAAGAUGAUUUUCUUGUAAAUUAUUUGAUUGUCUAUAUAGAAAAAAAAAUUGCUAAAAAAUUCACAAUUGAUAUGAUAAUCGAUGAUUUCUAUUUUAUGAAAGAACAACGAGUACAAUUAAAAUAAACAUGUAAGUUAUUUGAUAGAUAUAAGACAACAACAUUAAAGUGAUGGAUACAUUAUGAAGAUGAAAUUAACUUCAUUGCUUAAACUUAAUUUGAUAUUGCUUCAAACUUCUUACAUUAUAAAACUUUUUAUUAGAUAAUUAAGUUUGAGCUGGAGGUGUUAACUCUUCAGAUCAUGCUUGCAAUCUUGCCAAAUAGGUUAGCCCUUUAGUUUUUAUCUUUGCAUUUGUUCUGUCUUUUAUGGUUGCGUUUCAAUUAUGGUUCCUUUCAUUUUAUGGUUGCGUUCCAAUUAUGGUUCCUUUCAUUGACCAAGAUACACACACUCACAAAUUAUUUUCCAACUAAUAUAUAAUAAUUUUAUUUUAUUUUUAUAUUAAAAUAAAAUAAAAAUGACAUGACAAGAUUUGAUUGAUAGAAUUUUUUAUUUUAAAAAGGUGGCUUUAUUAAGAGUAAUUAAAUGUAACUUUAGUUUUAAUUUUUUAUUUACUCUUAAAAAAAUAUAAAAGACCGAUGUGAAAAGAAAAAAAUAUAACGUCAUUAGCUUGUGUAGCCCUAAUAUAAAUAUUACAGUCGAUAAAAACACAAAUUAUGAAUAAAAGUUUUCUACAAAAAAAUUAAAGUAGAGCCACCGAUUAAUUUAUUUUUCAUCAAAACAAGGUAACUUAAAUUUAAAAUUUAUUUUUAUUUUAUUUUGAGAUGUUAGUUAAUAAUUUGAUGAUGUUUUUUUUUUUAUUUUAAUUCUACUAUUUUUGCUUAUAUUGUUUUCUCAAAUAUGCUUGUUCUACCAAUUAUAUGUUUUUGAAUUCAGACUGUACCCAUUAUUGUUAUUUCCUUCAUGAUGGAAAAAUAGAAAUCUUUGCAAAAAAACUUAUUAAAACACCAAAUUCCAAGUUUUCUAUCGUCCAAUAAAUAAUUUUUUAAAUUAAAUUGCAAUAUUAUUCAGUCAAUGUUUAACUUAUUCAAUAAAACGGGAGAAUAAAUUGAAUAUUUUUAGUUGUCCAUGAUUUGAUGAGAUUAGUUCCUUUAUAUCACACCAGUUGUUCAAUCAACAAUAUCCCAUUUACAUCUUCACUAUCAACAUGGAUUGCGUUACACAAUGGGUUACAUUAAAAAAAAUGUCUAGGUUACAAGAAAGCUUUUUAGUGGCUAAUGGGUUAAUCCUGAAACCUUCCAUGCUUAAGUUGCUUGAUUGUUGAUCAAGUGGCGAUUCUUUCUUACUGGUUUGGUGAGGUUCAAUGCUUGUAUGUAAGCUUUGGAAACUCAUGUCAACUCAUAUAUCAAUAUAUAAACUCUAAUAUUCUUUUUAUUAUUUUUAAUAGCAUUUUUAAAUUCUUUUACGUUGUUUUCAACGUUAAUCAGGAGGUUAUCAUGGUUACUUUGCACAUUUCAUAUGGUUUUUUUAUUGUACCAAUUAUUCUUAUUUCCUUCAUGAAAAUCUUUGCUAAAAACUUAUUAAAACACCAAAUAAUUAUUUUUAAUCAAUGAUUAACUUAUUCAAUAAUUAAAACACCAAAUAAUUGCACUAUUCUUCGGUCAAUGAUUAACUUAUUCAAUAAAACGGGAGAGUAAGUUGAAUAUUUUUAGUUGUCAAUGAUUUGAGAUUAUUUCCUUUAUAUCACACCAGUUGUUUAAUCAACAAAAUCCCAUUUAGAUCUUCACUAUCAACAUGGAUUGCAUUACACAAUGGGUUCCGAUAAAAAAAAAUGCCUACAUUACAAGAAAGCAUUUUAGUGGCAAAUGGGUUAAUCCUAAAACCUCCCAAUUGGUUUGCUUAGGAAGCCCAUGUUUCAAAUCAAAUAGUUCUAGAGUUGUCUAGAUAUGAUGUUGUCGACUUAGCUAGUUUAAAAACAAGUUGGAUAAGUGGUAUAAAUAUAGUUUGAUUUUUAAUAUAAAUCUUGAGGUGACAUAAUUUUUUUUAAAAACUAUUUAAAACUAUUGAGACUAUUAUAGAAUGUAUAGCAUGUAUAUCUCUGAAUAGGAAAUUAAUAUAGGAUUAUUCUAAUGUUGUAAUCCCUACGGUUACUGACGUGUUAUGCCCCACAUAUAUAAAUAGGAAAGGUUGGCUAAGGCCAACCUAAGUCAUUUUAUUAUUCUCAACUUGGUAUCAGAGCUCUAAAUAAACUAAAACACCUCUUCUGCUCUCUGCAAUGGAUUCCUCCCAGCCGGUAGCCAUCUCUCCCUCUACAGCAGCACCAGUGGUGCCAUCCUCCUCUCCUGCCGCAGCACCACCUUCUUCUUUAACUUCGGUUCCGCAGUGGCCACAACCUACAAAUGUUGGCCAUGCUCUUUUCAACCCCAAUAAUGCUCCUCUGCUGCUGUCCUUUUCUGCAGAAGCCAUUGUCGCUUCUGCUGUGGCAAUUGUGUCCCUCUCCCACACUCAUUAGGUCAUCUCUUUGAAACUAACAAACACCAAUUAUUUGUAUUGGCGAAUGUAGAUGAAAUAAUAUCUUCAAGGCCAAGGAGUUUUCAGCUUUGUUGAUGGUUCAAACUCCUGCCCCUCUCCACAUAUUCUUACUAUCGAUGGUGUUUCUCUACAGGUAUCUCAACACUUUCUUCGUUGGAAACAACAAGACCAACUCAUUCUAAGUGCCCUGCUCUCUUCGUUAUCCAUGGAAGUUCUUCAUCUUGUUGUUGAUUGUCUAACCUCAUGCUCUGUCUGGCACACACUUGAACAAGCUCUAGCUUCCACAUUCAAUUCAUGUAUUAUGCAACUUCAUGACUCUCUUCAAGACCUUCGACAAGGUGAUGAAUCGGUAACUCAAUUUCCACAAAAGGCUAAGGCUUUAUUUGAUGAGCUAGCAGCUGCUGGCCGGCUUAUUUCGCUAGCAGAUUUCAACUUAUAUAUGUUUCUUGGCCUUCACGUAGAAUUUAAGGACUUAGUGACAAGUCUUGUUACAAGGGCAGAUCCUCUUCCAUAUGCAUAUUUUCUUAGUAAUUUUCUAACACAUGAAUUUAUUCAUAAAUCCUCCCAUUUGUCCACGGGGUCUACUGCAAUUCAUGCACCCUUGUUGCCCAUGCCAAACAUCCCUCCUUCAGCACUUAUCUCUCACCGUCAGCCUGAUGCUUAGUUUGGUCGAAAUAGGGGUCGUUUUAAUGGCAACUGGCAUCCUUAACAGUUCAAUCACAAAGAGCCUCGCAUUUCUGGUUACAGGCAUGAAUUUUGCAGCUUCCACAGCACUCCCAACAACAAACAAAGCAACUGGUAAGGAAAUUAGCAGCGCAGUAGGGGAUCCAAUUCCUGCUGCUAGUUAUGUCAAGCUUUCGAACAUAUUGCUUCUUAGUGCUCCCAACUUCAACAACGCGGUUAUGGUUAGCAGUAUAAUGCCAAUCUAGUACUGCACAAUCAUGCAAGUACUGCUGAAUGGUUUUCGGACACCGGUGCAAAUCAACACGUCACACCUGACCUUGCAACCUUGACUGCUUCAAAACCAUACAAUGGUAAUGAUAAUUUGCAUGUUGGUGAUGGUAAGGGACAUCCCAAAUCAUAUCAGUCAUACCAAACUAUAUACCCCACAUCGUUCUUUCACUUUAUCUAAUGUCUUGCAUGUUCCUGCAAUCAUGAAACCUCUACUUUCUGUUCAAAAUUUUUGUCUCGAUAAUAAUGUUUGUUUUGAAUUUCACCCUUUUCUGUUUUAUGUCAAGGAUCUCAACACCAUUGAAGGACUCCUCUCAGGACAGGGUAAACAUGGUCUCUAUACUUUGUCCAGGUUCAGGUCUUUUAUCCCAUCAAUUCCUCAAGCCUAUUGGUCUCCCUGCAUUUUUGCUUCUACUGAUUUGUGGCGCAUGGAGAAGACGCGUCGCCACUGUUUCCAUGACCAAAACCUUCCAUCACUGUUCUUGUGACUGCAUAGUUCCUGAUUCUGUUUUAGAGGUUGUUUUUUGUAACUUUUAAAUUGUUUAUUGUAAUUUUUGUUUAGUUUUUGAAUUUUUUAUAAUUUUUAUUGUGGAUGUAAAAAAAGAAGAAAAGAAAAACAUAGUGAAAGUGAAUGUGUUGUUUGUAUUUUUUUAUGAAUGUUUUUUUUAUGAUUAAAUCGUAAAGAAUAAAGAAGAAUUUAAUAUUUUGAUUUGUUCACGGUCAAGAAUUAUGAACUUAGAAGGUUGUUUUCUAGUCCAAAUUAUAGCAACAACGGAGAAGUCUGAAUCUGUCCCGCAACCCAGACAUUGUUAAGUGUUCAGCCCAUAUCUCGAGUUUUAGAAGUCCAAAUGACCUCAAUUGUUUUUUGUUGGAAAGCUAAGACAAUUUCCUACAACUUUUAUGAGAACAAGUGGAUCCAGUUCUGAUGUUAGCAAUAACGUUUUAUUCAACAAGAAGAUAAGGAUUUUCACCAAGUCAAGAGUUGGCCAUCCACUCAACAAUUAGUCAUCAAAUCAAUAGUUCCAAAUUUUGACCUAUAAAAAGAGGUAUUUGCCAUGCAUUUAGGGGCUUGGUUAUUCAGAUCAAGAACUUCUUGCUCUCUCUCUUUAUAUUUUUUUUUUUGUAAUUCUUAAGUUUUGCUUUCAUUAAUAUCUUGUUUAUGCUUUUCAUUUCCUUUCCUUUACUUAGUUAACUUGUAUCUUAUUUAUGUUCUUGUUUUGUUUAUUUAUAUUUCUCUUCUUCAUUAUGUUUAGCUAAGUUUAUUAUGUCAAGGUGAAAAUGUUACAUUAAUGGUGUAAGAAUAAGUAUAGUGUAAACUCAACAUGGACCUUAAUGUUUAAUAUUAACAUGCCUUAUCUUUUUAUCUUACUAAUUCUUAAUACCUUGCUUGUUAAAUGGUUAAUCUAGAUUUGUGUUGUAUAACACUUGGUACAACAAAUGCUUGGCACUCUCAUAGCCCAACUGUAUGGUAUUACCUACACAUGUGCUAUGAAAGGAACUUGAUUUGUUGUUAACAUAAGUUAGCAUCAUGAAUUCCUGACAAUAUUUAAAUUUUGGUGUUACUUAAAUAAGAUAAUUAAUAUGAUCAUGUUAAUAAUUUAUAAUGAGCUAUUAAUGAUAAACCAUCUGAUUGGAACCUCCUUUGUGUGUGGUUUCCAGUUGAAUAAUAAGAGUUUAUAUUAUACUUGUUUGAAAUACCAUUAGUGGAUCCUCUAACCUUAACAUUUGUUUUUAUCAUUGUUUAUUCCUUACAUUAAUCUUCCAUCUCAAAGCUCUCAUUAACUUAUUCUUCAUCUUUAUUAUUAUUAUUAUUAUUAUUAUUAUUAUUAUUAUUAUUAUUAGUACUACUACUACUACUACUACUACUACUAAUACUAUUGUUGUUGUUGUUGUUGUAUUAUUGUUGUCUAUAAUUUAUACAAUUAACCUCCCUAUGGUUCGACCCCGGUCUUGCCAGGUUAUUUAUUACUUCGACACUCUUACACUUAGGAGAAGACAUCAAUCUUUCGGUCAUGUCACGUGCCUUAUGUACAAGAAUCGAACCUUAUGCAUUUUUCUUGAUUCUAUAAACCCAUUUACAACCUACAAGAUUUUUGGCAUGUGGCCAAGUCCUAAAUGCCAUGUGCAUGAAGAACAUCAAUUUCCUCCUGCAUAGCAGACUGCCAUUCAAUAAUUUUAGAAGUAGUCUUGAAUGAACUAGGUUCAACUAGAGAGAAAUCAAUAGACUGGACAGUAGUAGAAUAAGACUUCCUUUUUUAGAUAUUCAUAGGUGACAGAGACAAGACUACAUAAAGAUUCUUAGGAUGGAAAUCAGGAUCCUCAGGGAGAGAAAAUUAUGUAGCAAAAUCCAAACCUGACAGAGUUUGAGAAAUGGUAGGGGAAGGCAAUGUAUCCAAAGAGGCAGCAAUGUUUAUGAUGGAUGAUGAAGUAGAGCAUGCAGGUAAGACAAUAUUGUGCAGAGAAUCAAAAGGUGGAGAAAGAAGGGACGAAUGAGAAGGAGAAGAAGAAAUUGUAGACACAGAAGUGUAUGGAAACACAGAUUCAUCAAAGAUGACAUGACGAGUCACAAAGAAUUUAUUAGUAAGGAGAGAAAAACAUAUAUACCCUUUAUAUUGACCUGCAUAACCCAAAAAAAUGCAAGUGAAAGUUUUAGGCUGAAGUUUAUGAGUGUUGUAAGGCUUGAGUAGAGGAAAACAUGCACAACCAAAGAUGUUUAAAUGAGUGAGGACUAGUAUAGAACCAUACAGUAAAAGAUAAUGAGAUUUUAGCUGAAGAAUUGGACAAGGCAUCUGAUUAAUCAAGUAGAUAGAAGUAGCACAAGCAUGAAACCAAAAUUUAGAAGGGAGAUUGGUAGUUUGCAACAAAGUGAUUGUUGUUUCUAAAAUAUGUCUGCUUCCUCUCUAUAAGACCAUUCUGUUUAGGAGUGUAUGGACAAGACAUGUGAUGAAUAAUGCCUUUAAUAAGGAGAUAUUGCUUCAAGGAAUUAUUGAGGUACUCUCCACCUCCAUCACUCUAAAAAAUUCAAAGAUUGGCAGAAAACUGAGUGACUAAGAAAGCAUGAAAUGAGAUAAAUAUGGAAUAAACCUCUCAUUUAUUUUUCAUUGGAAAAAUCCAAGUGAACCGAGUACAUUCAUCUAUGAAACUAACAUAGUAUUGAAAACCAUCAACAUAAAUAGUAGGAGAAGGACCCCACACAUCACCAUGAAUUACUUUUAAAGGUGUUGCAGACUUAAUUGCUGGAUAAGGGAUAGGAAGUUUUGCAAAUUUGCCUUCUAAACAAGCAAUGCAAACUGAUUUGGAAUGGUCUGAAGUAAAAAGAAUAUGAGAUUCAUGUAAAAGAACAUAAGUAAUUUUGUUAGAAAGAUGGUCAAAAUGCUUGUGCCAGAAACUUGUUUUUACUUGGUGACCAAGAUCGCACAAUUGAUUAUUGGAAAAGGAAAAUGAUUGUGAUAGUCGAGAUUGUGGAAUGGAGAAAGCAAUAGGAUACAAACCAUCUCUACACAUGCCUUGGAGAAGAACCCUCCCUUUAAUCUUGUCCUGAAUGCAAAAGCCAAAUGCAUUAUAGAUAAAUCUGCACAAUCGUUAUCUUUACAUAACCUACAAACUGAUAGCAAGUGUUGUGACAGCUUAGGCACAUGCAGAACUUGUUUUAAUUUGAAAGAGCACCAUGGAACAUCCAGAAUAGAAGAACCAACAUUAGAAAUGCUCAAACCUGAACCUUCUGCAGUGGCAAUAGUAUCUGAUCCUGAGAAAGGAGUAGCUAGGUUGAGUUAAACUAAAUCAGAAGUCAUAUGAGUUGUUGCUCCAGUGUCAGCAACCCAAAAUUACUUAGUAGAAGUAGAAGAAGGAAAAUUUACAUGCAUUGCACUAAGAUUAGUGGAAGGCGGUCUGCCUUGAUAGGAGAAAUUCCCAGUAUGAUAGCACUGAAUAGCAGAAUGCCUAAAUUUACAACAAAUCUGACAUUGGACUGAAGAGGUGGAAGAAGACGAUUGAUUAUGUCAUUGAUAGCAAUCAGCAGUUACAUGUCCUUUCUUGCUACAAAUUUGACAGAUGGGAAUGUCAAUUCCAGGACCAAGAAUACCAGAACUAGAAGAAGGAACUUGAUAAAGGCGUGGACCAAGUUAAUAAUGACCACAGCUCGCAGGCAUCGAAGUGAGAUAAAAUCAUUUUAGAGAACAGAAUCUGGCAGUAAUCUAGUUGGUAAAAAAGGAUCUCUAGGUCUAAUUCAGAAACUAACAAUGUCGAGCAUCCCGAUAUGAUUGAGAGUAUGAACUAAGAACAAAAAUCACAAAAUUUGUGAUGGAAAUAGAGUAUUUCAGUGCAAAUUCGGGUAAGUAUCCUUCUCGCGGUAGAAUUUUCUACCUUCUCAUUAGAUACAGGAAUAUCUUGAGCUUCUGAUAUCGAAAUCAAGCGACCCAAAAGCCCAAAAUUAUCUACACGUCUAGGAAUACAACUUUGAUGAAGGAAUCAAAGUGAGAUAAAAUUAUUUUAGAGAAUAGAACCUGGCAGUAAUCUAGGUGGUUAAAAAGGAUCUCCGGGUCUAAUUCAGAAAAUGACAAUGUCGAGCGCCCCGAUAAGACUGAGAGUAUGAAAUAAGAACAAAAAUCACAAAAUUUGUGAUGGAAAUAGUUUCUUAGUGCAAACUCGGGUCAGUAUCCUUCUCGCGGCAGAAUUCUCUACCUUCUUGUUAGAUAUUGAAACGAGAAUAUCUUGAGCUUCUGAUAUCAAAAUCAAAUGAUUCAAAAGCCCAAAAUUAUCUAAACAUCCAGGACUACAACUUUGAUGAAGAAGUCGAAGUGAGAUAAAAAAAAUUUAGAGAACAUAAUCUGACAGUAAUCUAGUUGGUCAAAAAGGUUCUUGAUCUGACAAUGCUGAGCAUCCAAAUCUAACUGAGAAUCUGCCCUAAGAAAAAUGAUCCCUAGGACCUAAUAAAGGUGUAGGUUAAUAUUUUAACAUAUCAUGAGUGACAUAAUAUAGCUAGGAUGGUCAGAUAUCAUAUGAAACCAAGUCAGAAUCAGAGCCUAAGUUGGAACCAAAAAUUGCAACAGCAGCAGAACCAUUUUUUUUAUUGCAAAUUCUAAGGGAUUUAUCCAUCCUUAAAGACCAUAUAAAGAAAGAACGAAUUUAGCAUUAUUAAGAUUCCUGACUAAUCUAAUAAAACCUUAUGAUUUUGGUAGCAAAGGGGAAGGAUAAAAAGAGCAUAAAAUAGCUCAAACAAGGUUUCAAAAAAAAAUAUUUAUUUCUCUACUUUUGUCAAUCUUCUAGCAAACAUGAGCUAAACUUCUACACUCAGUUCAAAAGAGGUAUACAUCAUCACCAGCAUGUGGGGUCCAAAAUUGAGUAAUAACAUGAGUCAACGUUGAUAUUGCUCGUUUUUAAAAAAUACAAGAAAAAUCAAAAUUUAUAAAAAAAGAAAGAAAGUUGAGGGACCAAUUUUGAGGUCCAAACAACAUUUUACUUUUAAAUAUAGGUCCACAACUCAGAAUACAGGGGGGGGAUUUUGAACAUUUGGAGAAGGCAACUUAAAAACAAAAACCCUAAAAAGCUUAACUCUCACCCGAAGCAUUCGCCGCCCCCAUCAUCCAAAAGCUUUUUUUCUUUCCCUAGCUUCCAGUCGCCGCUCACCAUCACCUCUCACUCUCCCUUUCCAUCUGCCCAAAUAAAACCAGCCGCACAAGUUCCCCCUAGCGGUUACCCGAUCUUCUCCUCCUUACCCGGCCAUUUUCCCCUUUCCUUUUGAAAAAAACCAGAAGACCAAGGCAACCACCCCUGAUCUCCUUCAUCCCUCUCUUGGCUGAAAAUCAGAUAGCCCUUCCUAGCACAAUCCUCUAUUUUCCCCUCUCAACACCGUCCUCACCGUCAGCCUCAGCACCGUCAUUGUUCCUGCGGUUGCAGAAGGCCUUCUUCCCAGCAAUUUUUCGAAUUUUAGGGGCUAUUUUGUAAAUUUUAAAUUACUUAAUGUAAUUUUUUGUUUAGUUUUGAAUUUUUUUAUAAUUUGUAGUGUGGAUGUACAAAAAAAAGAGAACAGAAAAAGAAAAGAAAAAUAUAGUGAAAGUGAAUGUGUUGUUUGUAUUUUUUUUUAUGAAUGUUUCUUUUAUGAUAAAAUUGCAUAAAAUAAAGAAGAAUUUAAUAUUUUGAUUUGCUCACAGUUAAGGAUUAUGAACUUACACGUAAGUCGUAUUUCUAAUAUCCGAUGAAAGAACAAAAUUUUUAAAACUUCUUUAACACAUCAAAGCCACGAAGCAGCUUACCUCAAGUAGGGUGCGUUAGGGGUGUUAAUACCUUCCCUAACCACAACCAGUCCCUUACCCAUGAAUCUCUGACAAGACCAGUAAACCCGGGUUUCCUAGUAGCCCUCAAUUAAAUAUUAAGUGGCGGCUCCCAACGAAUCAAUUAAAGAUAAAAAAUGCAUGGCAAAGCAUAAAUAUUGCUAGAAAAGCUUAUCUAAGAAUGGUGCUGAAUUGUCAAUCAUUUUGUUGUAGAGUUUUGCCCUUCUGCAUUUUGUUUUGGGAUCAUAUCUCAUCGUUUAAAGAAACAUGUCUUUUUCUUGGUCUCUUUGUUGUUCUGAAGUCAGAAGAUGUUUAGCAUUUCAUUUUUGAUAAAAUAUUUUGAUUGAACUCUAACACAUGAUUUAGGCUAAUCAAUCUUAAAGAUUAAAAGUAUUUUGAUUGCAGAAAUGACUCGAUAUUUGUUAAAUUAGCAAGAUAAACAAUUAAUGGAUCAAGGGGAAGGCUUAAAACAAAAGUCUAAGGAUUGAGAGAGGGCUAAGAGAAAAUACAUAGACUGGGGGCAUAUAAGAAAAUUUUGAGGAAGGCUAUGAGAAAGCAAAAAAAAAAAAGAUUGAAAAAAGAAGAAGUUGAAAUUGCCUUCACUUAAAGACAAAUCAAAGAUAAAUGAAGGAGAAUGCCUAUCAAGUCUAUGAAGAGUAAAAGAAAUUUCAAUCAAGGAAAGGCACACCAAAAGUCAAUACCAAAAAAAAAAAAAAAAACUAAGCUAUAAACUUGACUUUUGGUAUCCAUUAUAAAGCCUAUAAUGUUAUCCAAUGAUAGAGGUUGGUUAUUCAUCACGGAAAGGUGGAUUUGUAUUAUGACUUAUGUUAAGAGAAGUCUGAUCUUUGAGGUUAGCAAGGUUAUAUGUCGUUUCCUCUACAAAGACAAUAAUAGAAAAAGAGUUGAUGAAUAGUUGAUGUUGAUCCUGGGUCUUUGAAACCCUCAAACACCUUUUGAGCCUGUGAAAUUCCUUUCUUUCAUAAGCCAUGAACCAUAGCCACAUUACGUGCUUUUAAAAGCCCUUUUUAAUAAGCAAACAAUUUGAACCGAUAAAUGGCGCUCUCUAAACUUGAAGAGCUUUUCUAUAAAGGUCGUGACUUCAUGAAUUAAGCUAUGGGUUAUUAUGCAUGCUGAUAAAAUAAGUGCUAAGAAAAGAAACAACCUUUCUUGAUAAAGCCUAACUGUUGACUUGGGUGUCUUGUUUUUGAAAUUCACGCAAAUGUCACCUCAUCAUAGACCAUCAAAUGAUAUACCCAAUAUCAAGGAUUCAAAUUGAUACAAAGAACUAUGGAAAAAGCCAUUUUAAUCCUACAUUAGGUCAAUUUUUGUUUUCAAAAUACUUGACAAUCAAAGGACUAUAUAUUUUGAAUAACGUGUGUUGAAUCUUUGAUAAAAAAAAAAAAAAAGCUUGAUUUUCAAAAGGUCUUCUAAAACAAGAACAUCUUUGAUUUCAUUUCAACAAACUAGACUUUGAAUAGACAUGAUCUUUGAAAUAUGAGAGUUGAUUCCCAAACAAGAAGAUUAUCGAACACACAAGAACAUUUUUUUAGUCUGCAAAAUCCUUGACAAAAAUGACAUCAACAUUUCUCAACACUCCUUAAAAAGUUGACCACCUGGGGGCAAUAUAGUAGACCUUGAGAAGGAAAACAAACAAUAUUUAAAUCAGUUGAGGAUAAAAAAAGAAUCGAACGAUGAGUUGGCGAAGUCCAUCACAGUCAUUCCUUGCGAUCACAAAAGCCAUUUGGGUAUAGACAAAAGAAAGAGCAUGUUUAGAUCAAUUGGGGGAAUGUUGUUUGAAGACAGUCCAUGAUUUAGUGGACUUCAGCAACCAUUGAUGAGUAAUGCUGCACUUGAAGGAUAUUUUCAUAUCUUCAUCUUGGUUUAUCAUCUCCAACAUGGCUAUGACUUUUGAACGAUGUUAUUGCAUAGUUGAAUUUAAAUGAAUGUUGAAAGGAUGCACCUACCAAUUGACUGUGGGACCAUCUGUUUUGAAGCUCCAAAGUGCACUUCACCGCAUGAAUAUGGGUGAUAAAGUGAACAUCAUUAAUAAUUCCAAUGCAUUUCUUUUCAUAAUCCGAUUAGAUGGGUUGGGAAGAACUUAUUAAGAAACCCUUAGCAUACAAUGAUGAGUCUUUCACUGCAAGCUAUGAGAUGCAUGUUUGGACGAUUGGAUGAUUUCCAAGAAGGCUGAUGAUAACAUGUACUAGAAGAGUACUGUUUUGACUUGAGGCAAGUUCAUGACUGAUUGACAAUUUUGAUGGGCAUUGGCACGAUGCACACAUUCAAUCAAAGAACAAUUCUUGAAAGAAUCUAGGAGCUCAUUAAUGGAAUCAAGCUACAUCACACAUGGAAGCAUGGUCAAGCUUGAGAAGCAACGAGAGCAGUAAUCGUCAUGGAUAACCAAAGAUAGGCACUACACUUACAUCUGAGUGGAAGGCUAGCAAACGACUGAACCAGUGCAUUGAAAGAAUAAAGAAAGCUUUGAAUAACAAACAAAGGCACGCUGUAAUGAUGGAACAUCAAAGAGGGGGGGACCUAUAUUUCAAAUCAGGUAAGGAUACAUGCAUGUCAUCUAACAUCGAAGCAUUGCAAAUAUUUUUUAUUUGUUGCAGGAAAAAUCCUCAAUGUUGUCCAACAAGAUUGGGGACAAAGAAAGAAUCAUUGAGUUGAAGAACAACAAAGAAUCAUGUUUUUGAACCUGGGACGGGAGGAAGAUGAGAUAAACCCUAACAUUAGGGAAAUCUCAAAGAAAUAAGAAGAUCAACGAAGAAGAGUGUUCAAUUUAAACCCAAUGAUCUUGAAGAAGAAACAUAUUUUUUUGGUUAAAGGAGAUUGCUAGAAGGAAUCUCAAGUUAACCACCAAGAAGAUGUUAGCUUUGGUUGAAGGGACUCGCCAGAUGGGAUUCCAGUUUGACCAAGCUACACAUGAUUUUGGUUCUGGUUAAAGAGGAUCAGUGAAGGGAUCUGAGUUUAGCCUAACCACACACAGAUUUUGAUUCUGGUUAAAGGGGAUCGGCGAAAGGGAUCUCAGUUUAACCUAACCACACACAGACUUUGGUUCUGGUUAAAAGGGAUCGACGAAGGGAUCUUAAUUUAGCCUAACUACAAAGGAUUUUGGUUCUGGUUAAAGGGGAUCGGCAAAGGGAUCUCAGUUUAGCCUAACCACACACAGACUUUGGUACUAGUUAAAGAGGAUCGGCAAAUGGAUCUCAGUUUAGCCUAACUACAAAGGAUUUUGGUUCUAAUUAAAGGGGAUCGGCGAAGGGAUCUCAGUUUAGCCUAACCACGCAAAAUUUAGCUUUAGUUAAAGGGAAUCGCUAGAUAGGAUUUCAAGUUCACCGAGCUACACACCGAUUUUGGCUCUUGUUAGAUCGCUAGAUGGGAUCUCAGGUAAACCCAAUCAAACAGGCAGGUCGCCUUUGAAAAUAGACCAAAUGAGUAUGUGUGGGCAGGUCGCUCGUGAAAAUAGACUAGUGUGAGUGUGUGGGCUAGUCGCCCUUGAAAAUAGACCACUUUGAGUAUGGGUGGGCAGGUCGCCCGUGAAAAUAAACCAGUGUGAGUGUGUGGGCUGGUCGCCCAUGAGAAUAGACCACUUUGAGUAUAUGUGGGCAGGCCGCUCAUGAAAAUAGACCAGUGUGAGUAUGUGGGUUAGUCGCCCGUGAAAAAAGACCACUUUUUUUCAAAAGAAACAGGUCGUCCAAGAUAAUGAGAUCGUUUUCCUUUUCUUUUCUUUACAAAGCUUACUAUGCAAAACAUGAAGAGUUUUGCUUCGUAAGCAUUGUAAAGAGGAGGCAUCUGCUGUUACCUAAGUUUUUACCCACCUUUUUGAUAAAAUUUUUGAAAAAUCAAAAAACUAUGAAAAACAACGAAAAUCCAAAAAAAAAAUUAAUAUAUUUGUAUCAUUUUUUUAGCAUUUUCAAUGUCGUCUAAAAAAUAAAUUAAAUUUUCAAAAGUCUUUCGAACACGUUCCACUUUUCACGCGUCAUUUUUAAAAUAAUUGAUUUUCCUCAUUUUGAGCCAAUGUUGAUAUUGCUCGUUUUCAAAAAAUACAAGAAAAAUCAAAAUUUAUUAAAAAAAAGAAAGAAAGAAAGUUGAGGGACCAAUUUUGAGGCCCAAACAACAUUUUACCUAUAAAUAUAGGUCCACAACUCAAAAUACAGGGGGGCAAUUUUGAACAUUUAGGGUAGGCAACACAAAAAACAAAAACCAUAAAAAGCUUAACUCUUUCUUCUCCCUCACUCGAAGUAGCCGCCGCCCCCCAUCAUCCAAAAUCUUUUCUUCUUUUCCCAGCUUCCAACCGUUGCUCACCAUCUCCUCCCACUCUUCCUUACCCUCUGCCCAAAUAAAACUAGCCGCUCAAGUCCCCCCCUGUGGUUGCCCGAUCUUCUCCUCCUUACCCGGCCACCUUCCCCCGCCCUUUUGAAAAAAACCAGAAAACCAAGGCAGCCACCCCUGAUCUCCUUCAUCCCUCUUUUGGCCACGCCUUUAUUUCAGUUGAAAAUCAGAGAGCCCUUCCCCGCACAAGCCUCCAUUUUCCCCUCUCAACACCGUCCUCACCGUCAGUUGCAGUAGCGCUGUCCUCACCAGAGAUCUAGCAGCCGACAAAUAUUCGUUCUUCAACCAGCCUUCAACAAUGCCCACAUACCAGCCUUUAAUAGCACCCACAACCAUAGCCUCUCACUAGAAUCUUUCUCACUCGGCCAACCACAAACUCCAUCUCCACCAGAUGCCGCCCAACAUUUGCUCCUCCUUAUCGCAGACUACCUAAAGUUGAGGAGAAGACGGCGAAGCCCAAAGAACUUAUUUGAGAAAGAAGAAAGUGAAGCAGAAUAGAAUGGAAAGCAGAAGAAAACAGAUCUAAAAAAAUAACUAAAAUAGACUAGUUGUGCGUUUUCUUUUGGUUGCAAGUGACUAGGAUCUUCAUCGCCGGCGAGGAAGGGAAGGAGGAGGGAAGCCAAGCCAGAUCCACCCAUCUUCCCUUUUAUGGUAGCGGCGCGUGGAUGCACACGCCACUAGUGGCGGUGGCGCGUGGAGGAGACGUGCCUCCAUUGUACCUGCAAUUUAGGGGAUACUUUGUAAAUUUUAAAAUAUUUAAUGUAAUUUUUUUUUAGUUUUGAAUUUUUUUUAUAAUUUCUAGUGUGGAUGUACAAAAAAAAGAACAGAAAAAGAAAAGAAAAAUAUAGUGAAAGUGAAUGUGUUGUUUGUAUUUUGUUUAUGAAUGUUUUUUUUAUGAUAAAAUUUCAAAAAAUAAAGAAGAAUUUAAUAUUUUGAUUUGCUCACGGCUAAGGAUUAUGAACUUAUACGUAAGUCGUAUUUCUAAUAUCCGAUGAAAGAAUAAAAUUUUUAAAACUUCUUUAACACAUCAAAGCCACGAUGCAGCUUACUUCAGGUAAGGUGCGUUAGGGGUGAUAAUACCUUCCCUAACCACAAUCAGUCCCUUAGCCGUGAAUCUCUAACAAGACCAGUACACUCGGGUUUUCUAGUAGCCCUCAAUUAAAUACUAGGUGGCAACUCCCAACAAAUAAAUCAAGCGAACAAAAAAUCACCAGCCGACGCUACGCAGGUGACGUGCGACAAUCAUUAACCUUCAUUUUUACCUUAUGGAAAAAAAAUUUGUAUUUUAUUAACCUUCAUUUUUAUUAUUAUGUUUUGAAAAUUAAAAAAAUACAUAUAAUAUUGGCAGCACUCUUGACAAUUUUAUAUUUUUUGACCACUUAAAGAAAGAAGCAUGUCUAGAAUCGGGCGAGCACUACACAUGAGCUCUAAGGGCUCAACUUUUGACAUGGUUAUUACUGUCUUCUCUGCCAUGUCAAUCUUGUUUUCACCAACCCUUUCCAACUCAAAACACUGUAUUAACGAUCCCGAAGUUAAGAUCAUUGCUCUUUUUGCUAGGCCAUCUCCAGGACAAGCUCUCCUUCCCAUCCCGAAGGGGAUGAACUUGCAAGCAUCAACUCUGCCUGCAGAUUCAAAUCUCUCAGGCUUGAAACUUGUGGGCUCAUCCCACAGUGCAGGGUCUCUAUGGGAGAGACCAUGCGUUUACAAAUAAUAUGGUCCCAGCUGGGACAUGGUAUCCUCCAAUGGUACAGUCGGAGGAUGGCAUGUGCGGUGGUAUAAGCGGUGUCACCGGACAUAAACGCAGAUUCUCCGAUAUGAUGCUCUGAAGGUAAUUUAGUUUUGCAAAAUCUGACUCUUCUAUCAAGCGGUCUCCAACUUGAGCGUCCAGUUCUGCUUUAGCUUUCCUUAGCACGUCUGGAUGGUUGAGUAGAUUGGCUAAUGCCAAUUCCAUAGAUGUAGCAGCAGUAACAUAACCUUGUAUAACUGAUGCCUAGAUCAUUUUGAAUGGAACAGAUGGAAAGAUUCUUGUGGAAGACAUUGUCAAAUUAGGCAGUUGGACGCGCUUGCUAGUGCUGUAAAAGUGAAUUCUGAUGAAUAUAUAAAUGAUAUAGGUGCACAGUACAGAACAAGAAAUCGAUAUAUUGGGCGUGACAGUUAUAUCUCGUGCCUUAGGAAAUAAAAUGCUCUGUGCAAGUUUAUUCUUGAGAUUGAGAAAUCAUGCUUUUGAAUUAGGUGGAUCUGUAAUCAAGUUUAUGAUUGAGGCAAACUAAAUCAGCUAAAUAAGAUGCAUUUUAAAGUUUUAAGGCCAUGCAUAUGUAGGCUUUCACACCUUUGAAUCUUUGGUUUCAUGGAACUUCCUUGCAAGUUCUGCUGCAAAUUCCGUAAUAUUCUUAUCAGAGCUUCCGCCUUCAUCCACUGCUGUUUUGGCCAGUUUCAUCCAUUUCUCAGAGUUCCUUCUCAUCUCAUUCCCUCUUUCACCUUCCAUGACUUCCCUUAUACACCCUUCUACGUCUUCUUUAGUGACAAUCCCCAUUUCAUUUUCCUUCACUCUAACCCCUGCAUGCCAAACAUCGGCAAUGCACUUUGCAUUUGUUGGUGGAUCAGUCCACUCUGGCAUUGCCACCAUUGGCACUCCUAAGCUCAACGGCUCGAGUGUUGAGUUCCACCCACAAUGAGUCAUGAAGCAACCAACGACGGAUCACUUGUGAGCCAGAACCUCUAGCUGCGGGCUCCAGGUCACAAGCAGAGACUUCUUUGAUGACUCCUCCACAAAGUUGCUUGGAAGUUUUUUCCUUUCCGAUUCUCUGACUACCCACAGGAAGCAGCAGACACUCCUCUUUAGGCCCCAAGCAAUUUCUGCCAUUUGCUCCUCUCCAAGUGCAGCCAUGCUUCCAAAUGACACAUAAACCACUAAGCCAGUUUCCUUUGAAUCUAGCCACUCAUUGCACCCCUCCGGAUUGGGAUUGAAGCGGCUGAGACCGUACUCUUUAUCGUCCUCCAGCUGCUUGUCCAAGUAAAACGAUGGGAUCAUUGGUCCUAUUGGCUUUAUUGACCUUUGGCUUGCCAACCAGUUUACCGCCUGUGGAAAUCAACAAAAUUUUGAGUGCCACUGAAGUAAAAGGAGCAUACUUUGAAAUAUGGUAUCGUCUUGUGAGCAAAGAAAAGAGAUUGUAAGUAGGAAUUUGAAGCAUUGCUGCUCUCGUUUAUGUUGCUUUGCUUGUCAAUCAUUUGUUGACUGCUUGCUUGUUUGAUCACACUUAUUUUCAAGUAUUAUUUGUCAUAAUACUUGAAAACUUUGUGGACUUUUGUUGAAACUCAAGGCAACUGCUGAGCCACUUUGAGCCCGUUUGGCUCUGCGGCUGCAUUUUAUUUAAAACGCAGUUCGCAACUAUUUGGUUAAGGAAAAAAUCAAUUUAUUGUUCAUUGGGCCCCACUUAAUUUCUGCGUUAAAAACACAGGAAAAGAAAAGCAGCCAUUUCUUACUCUCUUUUUUCACUGUUCAUGUUAAUUGCACUGUUUAUUGGACAGUGCAAUUAACAUGAACAGUGUAUAGUGCACACUGUUCACUUAAAAAAUCGUGAACAGUGCAAUUAUCUUGCAUUGUUCACUUGCCUGCGUAAACUUUUUUUUUUUUUAGUGUGUUAUUUUUUAAACAUUUUUUUAAAAAAAAACUAGUUUAGAGUGAAUUUUAUACCUGAUAAUAUUUUAUUUAAUUUUAUUACAUGCUAAAAAUAUUAUGAAAACUGUAGUUUUUAUCGGAUAUAUUUCGUACGUAAUGGAAUUAUAAAUGGUUUAAUGGAAUAAUAAAAAAUAUUUUAUAUAAAGUAUGAUUUAUUUCAUGAUAUAAUAGCAAUAAUUAAAUCCACAAUAUUUAAAUUAAAAAUCAUCAGUAUUAAUAUAUAUUUUUAAAAUUAUUUUAUAACCUCAAUUUUAAAAGUAUUCUUAACCAAACACAUUAAACUAUUUUUUCUUCAACUUCAAUUUCAAUCACAGUUUUAACCAAAUACCUAUUUUUUCAAAUCAACCUCAACUAAAAGUACUUUUUAUAAAACAAUUUUUUUCAAAUCACAACAACAACAGCUACCGCAAUACCAAACACACUCUUUUUAUACGAGGUGUGCUCAAUAAGUAAGCAUAGAGGCCCAUUCCUCCUCGUGUCUGGUCUUCUUUGUCCAGCUCUCAAUUAUGUACUCAUAUUUGACUACAAGGCUGCUGGCAUGGUAUCUUUAUAUUAACACGAAAACAUUGUUUUUCAUGGGUUUUUCUACCCAGUUCUCAAUAAAUUAGGCCUAUGUUAUGUAGCGAGUACUUUGCUAAUCGGUACUUUGCUAAAGUCACAACAACCACAUGCGAGUGAUGUUGAAAUUGAAAAAUUAUGAGAAGAGAUCUUUCCAAAUUGGUUAAAAAAUAAUGUAAGUAUUUUAAUAAAAUUAAUUUAUAUUUUAUGUCAAUUAGUUACUUUAAAAACAUUACUAAUCUCUUUUAAAUCACUAUUUUUUAUGAAGUUAACUAUUAUGCUAGGUGGAAUACCAAUGUAACAUAAUUGAAAAUUAACUCUUUGGACUUGCUAUGGGCCCUUCAACUUCAGUGAAAUGUUAUAAUGGGUAUUAUGUGAAUGGUUUUAAAUUUCAUACUCAAAGUUAUGGGCGUUUUAAAAAGACAAUGAAUAGUGGAGUUUGUGUGAAGGGAAGUUGUUAUGAUGAUAAUGAACGUGAUUAUUAUGGAAUGCUUAAAGAAGUUGUUCGGCUUAAAAACUUGGGGAGUAAGUGCAAGUUAUUUAUGUUUAAAUGUAAUUGGUAUUAUUAGAGUGCAUCGUUCGAAUGGUUUGAUUGAAAUCAAGCACACAUCUCAACUACACGGAAAUGAAGAUUUUGUGUUAGCACAACAAUGUCAACAAGUCUACUAUACAUAUCCACUUGGUAAUAAAUCAUCUGAAUGGUGGACGGUUAUUAAGACAACUGCUAGAAGUCGUUAUAAUGUUGACAUGGGUGAAUUUAUUGAAGAUGCCAACAAUGUGAGAUCAUUUGAUGUUGAUCAAUCAGAUGAGAUUUAUCAACCAUGUCGUGUCCUUCCUACCCAAACACUUGAUGAUCAAAAUAUACUUGUUGAAUCAUCUUAUUAUGAAGAAAUCAACAUGAAUUGAUUCAACUUGACAUAAAUUGGGGAAACAAUGAAAAGAAGAAGAAAAAGAUGAGAGAAUGAUGAUGGUGAUGAGGAUGAUUGAGGUGAUGAGAGAAAAAACAUGAUUGUUGUGAUGAUUGAGGUUAGGAGUGAUGAUAAUAAUGAGUAGCACAAGUUAAUUAUAUUUCGUAGUAUAUGUAAUGAAUUAUCUUUAUUAUAUGUAUGGAUGAUUUCAUAUUAUUUGACAAUUUAUUUAGGCUUUCAAUGUUUUUUUAUUAUUUUAUUGAAGUGUGUGUUAUGCAUCACAUUACAUAUCAUUUUCAUUGACCUUUGAAACCAUUUAUAACCUUUCAAGUAUCAAUCUUUAAAUUGUGAUUCUGAUGUUAUAGUUUAUUUGUGAUUUGUCUUCUUUUUGAUAGAUGCUGGAGCAUGAAUGAAAGGGUUCUCCUACUCAAUGUUUGGAUUUAUAGGAAAAACAUUAAGGUAAGCAUACUCAUAAAUUUUGAUUUUGCUUAAUUAAUUAUUUAGAUUUUUAUUUUUUAUUGUUUGUGUUAAUUGGCUUUUGACAAUUUAAACUUCAUGGCUGAUUUUUAUUAUUGCAAGGAAUGCUUAAUGAAAUGGUCUUGAUGUUAUUUAUAUAUUUGUUUUUAUUAUAGUAAUUAUUUUAUUUGAAGUAUAAUAUUUUUUGAAGUUAUGGCUAUUAAGUGGACAAUCCAUACUGAUUUUGAAAAUCAUAAACUGGAUAUUGUUUGUAAUGAAUUGAAAAACAAAUGAGAUUUAACAGUUUGUUUUCAUUCUAGUUAUGGCAGUCUUGGGAAAAUAUCUGUGAAUUUUUUGUUCUUGAUAGUUUAACUAUGAGCUAAUUUAUUAUUAUGCUGUAUAUAUUCAUAUGAUAAUGUAUAUGUUUUUUCUGGUUUUUAGCAUGCCUCGACGAGGAUCCAUAUUAGAUUCUAGGAGUGACAGGUCCACUUCAGAUUAUGGGAGGGUUGAAUUCUAGGUCCACUUCAAGGAGUGACAGGUCCACUUCAUCCAAAUCAUUUCAAACUACAUCAAGGCAUAAUAACAAAGGAUCCACAUCUCAUCAACCUGUGUAUCAAAACGCAAAUGAGUAUUAUAUACCUACUUUUGGGAGUACACAUCCUCCUCAACAUGAUUAUGGGAGGAUUGAAGCAUAUCAAUAUUGUGAGGGCUUUCGGUUCCAAGAUUUGCUUCAAACUCAAGGAGGUUUCCCUCAAGAUAACCAACUUGUUUAUGGAGGACGUAAUUCAUAUAUGAGUUAUGGGAGAGUUGAUGGUGAUGAUGGUGAUGGUGAUGAUGUGAACAUUAGAGAUGAAGAUGAGGGAGACGGUAGUAAUGAGAGAGGUGUAUGUGAUGAGGAUCCAGAUGGUGUGCCAUCAAACCACGGUUCAACAUCUUCUCUAUACAAUUAUGAUCAAAAUAUUAAAAUGAAGGGUUUUGACACACCAAUAGAUCCAAUUACAAGAAAAAAAAAGCUUUGUUUGUUUGAGACUCAGUUAACCACUGAGCCACUUUAUGUGAGGUUUGCUUAAUAAGUAAGCAUAGAGGGCCAUUCCUCCUCGUGUCUGGUCUUCUUUAUCCAGCUCUCAAUUAUGUACUCAUAUUUGACUAGAAUCACAACAAGGCUGCUGGCAUGGUAUCUUCAUAUUAACACGAAAACAUUGUUUUUCAUGGGUUUUUCUACCCAGUUCUCAGUAAACCAGGCCUAUGUUAUGUAGUGAGUACUUUGCUAAUCAGUAUACUUCCAUGAUAGGUUUCCAUGCAAAUAGCUUGACUCGUAGCUUGAUCUGGGCUAGUUUUCAAGUUGAAUUGAAACGAACUUUAGCAUAAAUGGCUCGGUUGAAUUCACACGCGAUAAUCUAAUGAUCCAAACUAGAUUUGAUAAUUAUACUUCUCGUGCUAUUAUAUCUAGUUCGAUCUCCAGGGGGGAAAAUGCUAACUUUAAAAGAUUAUAGUAUGAUGGUUAUUAAGAAUGUUUACUAUAUUUUUGGAUUUAAACUUUAGCAACAACGUCCAAAAAAACAAUUAGAUCUGUUAAUAUAUGUAUUAGGCUGGCAUGGGAGUGCGAUGUAAAUACUACAAAAACACCUUGGAUCAAAGAGGAAUUCUUUAAUAGCAGCUUGUUAUCACAUGCUUAGCAAGAUUGCAAGCUACGAAAAACAAGUAGUAGAUUUUUCUCAGCCUUAAUUCACACGAUUGAGAUCAAGUAGAAGCAUUAAUUUCUCCUCGUUUUUCUUCUUGAAGCAGAUAAUCAUAUUUGGUUUAUUGAUAAAAAGAGAAGAUAUGUUUUUUUUAUUGUUGUUAUAUGUUUUAUAUUUUUUUUUGAGAUCAAGUAUAUAAGCUGGAAACUCGUGAUAAAAUCUUAAGAUUAUUCUUAGAUGUAACAAAGCCAUGUACUGAUCUUUGUUUUAUAUUUAUAUUUUUAUAAAUAUUUUUUGUGUUUUAAAAUCUAUUUUUAUAUUCCAAGAUAUAUAUAUUUAAUCACAUUUCUAAUAAUAUUGAUUUUUUUUUUUGAAAUAAUAAUGACAAACCUUGCAAACUUGAGUUCGUGACAUUUUGAUAUUACGGUAAAAGUCUUUUUGGUGCGUUUUGAUUUUUGUCAAGAAGGAUAGAUUGGAAGUAUCCAUUAAUUUUGUGUAUUCUAAUAUAAUCGUCUGUUAAGCUUGGCUUAACAAAAUUAAUGAAGUAGAAGGAAAACAGAGAAAUGAGAGAAGAAUGAUUCUGUUAUUUCUUGCGUGACUCUUACAUAAUCCUCCUAUGUACCAUUAUAUACUUAAACGAUUUAUUAUAUUGUAAACUAACUCUAACCGUAUUAAGGAAAAAGACCCUAUACAAUGUAAUAGUUAUAGUAUGUAAUACAUCCCACCAUUAUAUUGUACACAACCCUACAAGUAUAAAUACAAAGGAUGGCUGCUACCCUUAUGCAACCAACACAAUUAAACACAAAAUUAUCUCUCAAUUAAUCUUAACUUGGUAUCAGAGCUGCGUUAAUUGUUCAACAGCCUUCUUCCGCAACAACUGCAACUCUCCUGCGUAGCUGUUUCAACCAGCAGCCAUCCUCCUUUUUAGCAGUCGUUCUUCCUCUAUUAGAUUCACAAGCAGCAGUUUCAGUUUCUCCUUAGCAUAGAUCACUCAUCUUCUUCCUCUGUCACUUCUCAUGAAAUAAAAACUGCAACUUCUCCUCCCUAGCAACAUGGACAAUCAAGAACUUCAACAGUCUGCUGGCUCUGCAUCAGCUCUUCAAUCUUCUUUCUCCCUUGUGGCACAAUCAGUUAUGUAUGGGGCAUCGCCUACUGGCUCCAUUAUUCCUCUUCCUAACACACACCAGGUAGUCUCUUUAAAACUCUCCAACCAUAAUUUCCUGUAUUGGAGGAUGCAGAUGAAACCUUUUCUCUUGGGACAAGGCGUUUAUUCAUUUGUUGAUGGCACAUCACCAUGUCCUCCUUCACAUUUGGCAUCUGCUGAGACACCUACACUCUCUGUCAACCCUGCAUAUUUGUCAUGGAAGCAGCAAGAUCACCUAAUCAUGAGUGCCUUCUUAUCUUCUCUCUCGGUGGAAGUUAUGCACUUACUUGUAGAUUGUAACACUUCCCAUGCCAACUAGACAACGCUAGAAACAACUCUUGCCUCUCCCUCAAAUUCCAGGAUUAUGCAACUCCACGGAUCAUUCUGGGAUUUACGACAAAAUGAUGAUUCUACCAGCAUUUACUUGAAGGCUAAGGCCUUGUUUGAUGAACUGGUUGCCGCUGGCAGACCAAUCUCCCUGGCAGAAUUUAACUUGUAUGUUUUUCGUGGAUUGCGUAGUGAGUUUAAGGAUCUUGUCACCAGCUUGUCCACUAAGGAUGCUGCUAUCAGCUAUACUGAUCUCUAUAGCAGCCUUCUUACACAUGAGUUCCUUCACAAAGCCUCUCUCCAGCCAUCUGGAACAACCCCUCUGUUACCAACUCCAACGCAGCAGCCAGCUGUGUUCUUUGUGCAGCAUCAAUUUGGCAGACGGGGUUGUUUUCGUGGGGGCUGGAGACCUAACAAUCAUAGCAAUUUUUAUCGUGGCAAUGGUUAUGCUUCAGGACAACAAUAUAGCCCACAUGGAAACCGAUUCUCAUCUGGCACUUCUUCACGGCCAACAGGUAGUUUUGGGCAGCAAGGAAAUCGCUUUGGUGGCUAUCCUCGCAAUAUAAAAUGCCAGAUGUGUUCUCAGUUGGCUACUCAUCAUAUGCAUGCUAAUGCUAAUCUUGCAUUUAAUAUUGCCUCUUCCACCACUCCUGUUACUUGGUUUCCUGAUACAAGUGCAAAUCAUCAUGUCACGCUGGACCUUGUAAGUAUGACGAGUUCAGAACCUUAUAUUGGAAAUGAUCAUCUGCAUGUUGGUGAUGGUAAGGGCCUUGUUAUCUCAAAUAUUGCUCACUCUAAAAUUCGCUCACCAAACCACAUGUUUACUUUAUCCAAUAUCUUACAUGUUUUUACCAUUAAAAAACCUCUGCUAUCUGUUCAAAAAUUUUUUCUUGAGAAUAACGUGUUGUUUGAAUUUCAUUCCUCUCUAUUUUAUGUUAAAGAUCUCAUGACAAAUGAAGUUCUUCUUUCUGGUCAGAGUAGAGAUGGCCUAUAUGUUUUGUCCACGUCGUCUGCAACGUCGUUGCCUCGAGCUUUUUCCUCUACCUGUCUAUCUACUUCAGCUGAUGUCUGGCAUCGUCGCCUUGGACAUCCUAGUCCAUGUAUUCUGCAUUUGCUGGUGAAAAAUAAAAAAAGGGUCAUGUAUGUCCACUCAGUUUAAUUUUCAGUGUCCCACGUGCCCUCUGGGCAAGUCAUCGCGUCUGACUCUAAAAACUACGGGUCAUCAAACUCGAGCUCCUUUUGACUUGAUUUUUAGUGAUGUUUGGGGUCCAUCCCCUAUGUUAUCAUUUGAUGGUUUUUUGCUAUUUUGUUAUUUUUGUGAAUGCUCGUACAAAGUUUAUAUGGUUUUAUCCCUUGGUUGCCAAGUCUGAUUUUUUUGCAAUUUUUCAUCAGUUUCAGGCGCUUGUGGAGCGCCAAUUCUCCUUAAAAAUUAAGUUCAUACAAACCAAUUGGGGUGGUGAAUAUCGAAAACUAAAUACAUAUUUUAAAAUGAUUGGUAUUCAUCAUCGUGUGAUCUGCCCACACACUCAUUGUUGUAACUCAUUUUUGGGUCUUCACCUAAAACUACAAAAAAAUUCAAAAAAAAUACAUUUAUAAAAAAAAAUAUAACAGAAAGAAAAAUGCCAGAGCGCCUUAAAAAUGUUUAAAAAUUGAUUGAGGAUGUGCAAAAAAAUAAAAAUAAAAAUUUGACAGUAUAUCAUUGACUGAUGCGAGCCCUAAUGAUAAAGAAAAUUCAAUUUGAGGAAGAAAAAUGCAAAAUUAGAAGUUUAUGGACUCAAUUAAAUUUUAUUGAAGGUUUAAUUGAAUUUAUAGAGGUUUUACUUGCAAAAACAAUUGAUUUUGGAGUUAUUUUGGGCUUUAAUUGGAAGAAAUUAAUUUUCUGGGGUCAAAUUAUAAUUUUUAGAAGUUAAUUUGGUCAAAUCAGGGGCUUAAUUGCAUAAAAAAUGAAGUUUAAUGGCCAAUUAGGGACUAAAUUGAAGAAAUCCGAGACCAAGGACGAAAUUGUAAAACGCGCGCAAUUUGAGGGCCUUCUUUGAAAUCUGACGCAUUUUGGCGCCUUUUUCUUUUAAAUGAAACGGCGCGUUUUGACCAAAACGGCGUCGUUUCAUUCACUGUUGCAAAAAAAAAAAAAAAAAAAAAAAAAAACAGAAGCCCAAAACGGCGCCGUUUUGACGGCACUGUAGGUCUUCUUCUUCCCCUGGACGCGCGAGGCAGGGGAAGAAGAAGAUUUUUCUUCUCCCUUUUCGCCUAACUUCUUUCCCCAUUUCUACGCAAUAAGACGCCCACCAUUCGACGCCCACUUGCCUCCUUUUUAUCCGUUGAACGGCUAGUGGAGGGGCGGCCAACAGUGGCCGCCCCACCACCAUUGUCCCCCCUGUUUUUGCCUAUAAAAACAGGGGAGGACCGAACAAAAAAAAAAAAAAAAAGAGAAGGGAGAGGGAAGAGAGAAGAGAAGAGAAGAGAAAGAAGAGAGGAAAAGAAAAGAAAAGAAAAGAAAAAAACAGAAACAGAAGAAGAAAGAAAGAAGCAGGGGAGAAGAGAGAAGAAAUCGUCGCCUCUGCCACCCUUCGAUCACCAGCAGCACCGCCGGCCACCGCUCCAGUUGGAAGCUCCACCGCGUCAGGUAACCUCCUGCUCCCUCGCCAUCACUUUUUUUUUUCUUCUCGCCCUCGCUGUCCCUGCCUGCACUUGCAUGCAGAACGUGAAUAAUUCACGUUCUGCUGCAAAAUGCAGCGUGGGCUGGUUACUGUGCUGAUGCACAGUAACCAGCCCAUUUGGGCCUGGGCUGGGCCGUUCAGCCCAGCCCCUGUAAACGGGCUUGGUUGGCCCAGCCCAUGCAUUUGGGCUGGGUCCGGCCCAUGUUUUUAUUUAUUUAUUUAUUUAUUAUUAUUAUUAUUAUUAUUAUUAUUAUUUUGUUUGUUAUUAUUUAUAUUUUUAUUUUUUUUUAAAAAGACACAUUUUCUUCUAUCAUUUUACUGUUCAUACGGUACUGUUCAUCCGGCCCAUAAAAAAGGAAAAAAUCAAAAAUACUUGUUUUAUUUAUAAUUUUUCCCCGUAUUUUUUAUGUCAUUUUUAUGUAAUAUGGGACAAUAUUCCUAUGUCGUAAAAUACAAAUCCGGUACUGAAAUACCCGGUUUUCGACUUUCAAGAAUACAAAAACAAAUAAAAAAAAAAUGUUUUUUUGUGCAUACGGCCAAAUGUCUCAAAAAAAAAAAUCAUUUUGUAUUUUUCAUACAAAAAAAAAAUCAAUGUUUUAGCAUGCAUUUUGGCUUUAAUAACCAGUUUAUUAAAGUCAAGAGAAUAUUGGCCAAAAUUUCAAAAAAACAACAAAAAUUUUAUUUUGUUUAUCUUUUAAUAUCCGGGGUAUGACAUUAUACGUAAUACAUAUUCCGGAUAUUUAUUUAAUUUUUAUAUAUUUUUUUUAUAUAGAACUUGGGAUAUGACAUUACAUGUAAUGCGUAUUCCGAACAAUAAAACACGACCUUAGAUGUUAUCAGACAUUAAAACAAUGCAGCCUACCUUAGGUAGGGCGUAGUUGGGGUGCUAAUACCUUCCCUUUACGCAACUAGUCUCCGUACCCGAUCUCUAAAGACCAGUUAAGGUUCCUAGUAACCAGAAUACUAGGUGGCGACUUCCAGUCCAUAUUUUCACUUAUAGAGACAAGAAUUCCUUGUCUCUCCUUUUUUUGUUGGGAAUAAAUAUUUCCGAUUUUUUUUUCCUUGAGGGUGGACGAUCGUCGCGCCGCCGCACACGUGCGACACUCAUGAACAAAAUGGCAUGGUUGAACGCCGUCAUAGACAUAUUGUUGAAAUUGGACUCACUCUCCUUGGGUAGUGUCAUGCUUCCCUUAAAUAUUGGAGUUAUGCUUUUGAAAGUUCUGUUUAUUUGAUUAAUCGUAUGCCCACUCCAGUUCUUAAUAAUAAGACAUCGUUUGAAUGUCUUCUAAAAUCGACUCCUGAUUAUGUGUUUCUUCGUACUUUCAGGUGUCUCUGCUUUCCUUUUCUUCCUCCAUACAAUGCUCAUAAAUUAGAUUUUCGGUCCACUUCUUGUGUUUUUCUAGGAUAUAGUACCUCGCAUGUCGGUUAUCGAUGUCUUGAUUUGUCAUCCAAACAAAUUUAUCUUGCACGUCAUGUCCGGUUUCAUGAAACUGUUUUUCCUCUUAAUAAAACUGAACAGAUUGCAGCAACACCCAACCAGCCCUCUGCUCCCUCUAUACCCAUCACUUUACAUCCUCUCAUGCAACCCUCUUCAGUCCCUUCACCACUGCCCCAUACACUGCCUACACCUUCUUCGGCUCGUUUACCAUUAUCUACAUGUUAUUAUGAUCAUUCUUCAAUUGCAGGUUCAGAUUCGUCACACUCACAGGCGUCGUCUGAUGCUGCUGCCAGCUCCCCUGGUUUCUCCCCUGUUCGCUUCCUUGUUGUGGGUGCUUCUUCUGCUGGGUCUCUCUCACGGUCUGCGCUUAUAUUGAGUUCUUCACCCACAAGUUCUUUCUCUCUUUCCCCUCUUGGAAUUAACGUAUGUGUUGAUCUAUCUAAGUUCAAUCUUCAGCACGUCCCUGCCGCUAUCUCCUCUCCAUCUUAGCGGGCUUGCACCCAUCCAUUGGUGCUUCGCCCACGGCCAGAAAAAAAUGCUAAUCUUAGCAUUGUGGCUGUCUCACGAGUCACGACCUUACCUCAGUAGGAGCCAUUGCCAUUUAAGGACGUAAACAAGUAUGUGACUUGGGACACUGCCAUGCAGGAGGAACUUCGAGCACUUCACUCUAAUCAGACUUGGACGUUGGUGCCUCCCCAUCCAACUAUGAAUGUGAUUGGCAGUAGAUGGGUUUACAAGAUAAAAAGACAUGCUAAUGGUUAGGUCGCCCGAUAUAAAGCACGGUUAGUUGCUCGCGGCUUAACUCAGCAAGAAGGGAUUGAUUAUUUAGAGACGUUCAGUCCAGUGAUCAAGCCUACAACGGUUCGCCUUGUGCUCACUAUUGUUGUCUCAUAUGGUUGGACCAUUCAUCAGUUGGAUGUUCAUAAUGCUUUCCUAAAUGGCAUUCUUCAGGAAGAGGUAUACAUGGCGCAAUCGCCUGGGUUUGUUGAUCCUACACUCCCAUCUCAUGUGUGUUGUCUCUAUAAAUCUCUAUAUGGUUUGAAACAAGCCGCUCGUGCUUGGUACAACCGGUUGAGUGAGUUCUUACUCUCCAUUGGAUUUCAGGCAUCCAAGGGUGAUACUUCUCUAUUUAUUCUCUCUCAAGAUGGUGCCAUGAUUUACCUGCUUGUGUAUGUUGAUGAUAUUUUAUUAACCGGGAGUAACUCAGCUAUGCUUUAUAGAUUGAUUAUUUUGCUGCAAUCAGAAUUAAGCUUCUGGAUUUGGGUUUUGUUCAUUUCUUCUUGGGUAUUGAAGUUAAACCUACUGCUAUGGGUAUCUUAUUAAGCCAACAUAAGUAUGUUCUUGAUAUCAUCCAACGAGCAGGUAUGACUUCGUGCAAACCAGUUGAUACUCCUCUAUCUGCCUCCUCCAAAUUAGGACUCAUACCGGGUACUCUCUACUCUGAUCCCACACGGUAUCGACAAAUUGUUGGGGCAUUACAAUAUCUUACCUUCACUAGACCUGAUAUCUGCUAUGCGGUCAACAAGGUCUGUCAAUUUAUGCAUGCCCCCACUGAGGAUCAUUGGUUUGCUGUCAAACGCAUCCUGCGUUACCUCCAGGCUACAGCAACUUAUGGCCUGCACAUCACUAGGGAUUCUCCUCUGUCUCUUCAUGGUUUCACAGAUGCUGAUUGGGCAGGUAGUAUUGAUGAUCGAAAAUCCACAGGUGGUUACCUUGUGUACCUUGGCUCUACCCCUAUCUCUUGGAAAUCCGGGAAACAACGCACUGUUGCGAGAUCCUCCACUGAAGCGGAAUACAAAGCCUUAGCUGAUGGUACUGCUGAGAUUUUGUGGAUUCACUCAUUAUUGACAGAACUUCGGAUUCCUUCUUCGACUGUGACCACGUUAUGGUGUGAUAAUUUAGGGGCCACCUUCUUAUCUGCAAAUCCAGUAUUUCACGCUCGUACUAAACAUGUUGAAGUUGAUUAUCACUUUGUCCGUGAUCGUGUUACUAAGCAAGAAAUUCAGGUACGGUUUAUAUCUUCCAAAGAUCAACUAGUUGAUGUCCUUACCAAGCCUCUUCCUCAAGUCUCGUUUGCUUACUUUCGAUCCAAGCUUCGGGUGGAAUCUCCACCUUCAGCUUGACGGGGUGUAUCAAGGAAAGAGACCCUAUACAAUGUAAACACUCUUAUAUAGUAAUAGUUAUACUAUGUAAUACAUCCCACCAUUAUAUUGUACACAACCCUACAAAUAUAAAUACAAAGGAUGGCUGCUACCCUUAUGCAACCAACACAAUUAAACACAAAACUAUCUCUCAAUUAAUCUUAACUAACCGACUCCUACCCUAAUUAAUAUGCACUAGCAGUUCUCCAACUUGUUGUGUAAACUACUUUGCUUUUUCUUUAUAGACAUGCAUCAACUUGUUGUGUUCUGAACAAUUUAUUUGAUCUUGUGGAAUAAAAAAGUUUCUUCCUUGACUUUUUUAAUAGAUUGAAGUGAUUUGCCGACAGUUUCAUCAUCCACCUCACUUCUUUUUCUUCGUAGACUUGUGAAGUCAAGAUUCCCGAAGAUCAAUAUCAUCAAUUAAUUGUUGCUAAUUUUGUUGAAGAAAGAAAUAUUUGUUAGUCUGAUUUACUUCCAUAUUAAUUAUUGUUGGAUUCUUAAUCUGAAUUUUAGAGUGGUUCUAACUUCUUAAUCUGAAUUGAUGGAUUUCUUAAUUAUUGUUAAUACGAUUCGAUAUGUAACUAGUGUAUUUAUAUACCUUUUUUCUCAACCAAAUCCUUCAACUCCAUAAUAUUUGACAAAAAUAAAAAUACAAACCCAUUAAUUCUCUGUGGUAAAAAUCCGUCGAUAAAUAUAAAGAUUGUGGUAAUGACAGAGAUUCCUCAAAAGAAGUAAUGGAUGCUUGUUUGUUUAGUUAGUAAGUUAUUUUUAGACUUAAGAUAAUUAAAAUAUUUUAUAAAUAGAGUCUUGUGUUUUGAUCCUACUACAUGUUGUCCUAAUCUAGGGUAACGGAUGAAUAGAUAUUCGUUAUAACAUGAAUUAUAUGAAGAUAUUUUAAUAAUCAAGAGAAGAUUCAUCACCAUAGGUGAAUUAGAGAAAAUAUUUCAUAUAUUCACAAAUAAUAUUGAUUGUAAAUUCUUGCGAAAGGUAGAAUGAGAUUUGAAAAGAGUUUUAAAUCUUAUUUUGUAACAUAGUAUAAAAAUGGGACAACAUUACAAUUACUAUAGUGAAACAUCAUUUCUUUUUAUUAUUUGUAUAAUAAUUUUCAAAAAAAAAAAGUGUAAGGGAAAAAAUAUAAAAAAAAUUACAAAAUAAUGAAGAUAAAAACACAAAGAAAUGUUUAUAAAUUAAAUAGGCCAAAUUUAAAGUGUUAAAUAUGCCAAGUAUAAAGAGGGAAAAAAUCUAACAAAAAUAUGUCUAAAAAACCCAAAAAAACAUAUAUUUGUCAUCACUACAAUACCCACUACAACAAAAAAAGAAAAAAAAUAUAUAUUUGUAUCAUUUCUAUUAGAAUUUACCAUUUCCUUUUACUUUUUAGUACGUGUAUAAUUUUUCUUGGAUAAAAAGAUUAAAAUAAUAAUAAUGAUUGAUUUAUUUUUCACUUAAAAACACCACAACACUCCCCCAAAUCAUAUAAUAACCUAAAAAAACCCUCAAAAUCAUUUAAAAAACUACAAAUUAAAAAAAUUAAAAUUCUUCAAACGAAGCUCAAUCUCCUUCUAAAAAAUAUUUAAAUAAAAUAAUAAUCACUAUCAAACUUUCAUUAUCAAAUAAAAACAUCAAGUAAAUAAUAAUCGCUAAUUUUAUAAGUGUCAUCUCUAAAAAGUAGCGCAAAUGAUUAUUAUUUUUUUCUCUUUUAAAGCGACUUUCUUUCUUCUCUUAAAUACAAUAAUUCAAAAUUAAAUAAAAUAAAUUUUUGGAUUAAAAUAAAAAUUCUCAUAAAUUUUAUGUGAGGCAAGUAAUUAUUUUUCUAGUUUUACUUUUCAGUCCUCUUUCUUUAAGUUUUUUUUUUUAUGAUAAUUUGAACCUAAUUCAAUUUAAUUCGGUGUGAAAUUGAAAGGAAAAAAAGGUUAAAAUAAAACAACAAGCAAAAUUAAACUGGCCCAUGUCUUUGCUAAUAUUAAAGUACUAUGCUCUUCACUGUGUUUAAUUUAUAAUUUUAUAGAGGUCAAAGUCUGUUUAUAUUUUAAUUGUAUGAACGGUCCAAGACGACCACUACCUUGAUUUUGUAAUUGCUGCAAAGUCGUAAAAGCUGCCUUCACUUUCAUUGGUGGGUACCCCUUUUGUGCAUUUUUAUAAAAUUCAAAGUUGGCUUCCCCUUUUCUUUGGUGGGAACUCCUCUUGUAAUUUCCUAAUGCUUCAGUAGUAACCAUGCCAUAAUUAAUUCGUAGACUUGACCUAUGAUCGGCCACUUUCGUAUUGAAUGAGGAUGGACCCUGUUUAUAUAAAUAUCCAGUUUAAUUAAUUCAUAUGGUUAAUUACUGUUUUUUAUAAAUAAAAUUACUGAGAUUAAAAAGUUGUUAGUGUUAUUUAAUGAUUUUCUAAAAAAUUUAAAUAAAAUUAAAAUUUUAAAUUAAAUAUUAUAUACGGAAUGAUUACCAAAUUAAAAAAUUAAAAAGUGAUCGUUGAUAUUUUGUAAUUGCUUUCACUUUCGUUGGUGCGAACUCAUGUAAUUUCCUAAUGCUUCAGUAGUAACCAUGCAAUUAUUAAUUCGUCGACUUGACCCAUGAUCGAUCCCCUUUUGUAUUGAAUGAGGAUGGACCCAGUUUAUAAAAGAGUAUUGUUCUCAAGACCACAUAAUAUAUAUAUAUAUAUAUAUAUAUAUAUAUAUAUAUAUGUAUAUGUGUGUGUGUGUGUGCAGGCAGAGUAACAAAACAAAACCAUUAUUUUAUGUUGAGUGGAAUAUCAAAGCACCUUUUCGGUGCAUACCCAGCCCUUCUUCUUCUAGUCAUCCUAGUCGGUCACCAGAGUUGCAGUGCUAGAAAGAACAGUGUUUAAGCUACUUUGCUUCUUUUUUGUUUUGCAUAGACUUGGGAAGUCAUUUGUUCAAAUAAUUGAUUUUUCGACAAGUCUCUUAAUCUCAUCAUCUUUUAUCUUUAAAAUGUAAAACCCAACCAUAAUUUAUCUUUGACAUUUCAAGCAACUUGUUGUCGAUCAUCUUUUCAUGGAUCCUACAAUUAUUUUCAUUAGUCUAUUAUUUGUUGUUGUUUUUCUUCAGCCUUGUGGAACGGGAUGUCCAUCAACUUGUUGUUUAAGCUACUUUGCUUCUUCUUUUUUCAUAGACUUGGAAAGUCAUUCCGACAAGUCUCUUAAUCUUAUCAUCCAGACAAGUCAUCAACUCAAGGAUUAUAAUCUCUUCUCAUUUGUUUUUUGAUUAGGCCCUAAUAACAUUAAGAUAUAUUCCAGUUUUGAUCAUUUCUUAGGGAAUAGGUUAAAAAAAAUACCCUAAAAUUUGGAUCGAUAUGAGAUUAGAAAUUUAGAUAAAACAUGGAUGUGUUUGAAUGAAGAAAUUUAGGGCAGAGAUGUCGUAUACAGACAGAGUAUGCCAAGAACCAGUAAGUUACUAUUUUUUUAUUUUCACCAGUAAGUUAUCCUAGUGCUUGCUAGGACUAGCCCAACAAACAGAUUAAAAGUAUGAAGUUUCACCAAUCUGUCAUCAGAGUCUGUAAAUAUUGUUACAGAUGAUUUAAGUUUGUUUGCCAAAUUUUUCAAGAACAUGUUUGUCUUUGAUGGCUUAUUGUCAUAGCUGUUAACUCUGAAGAAAAAUGAUCUUAGAAACCAAAGUCCUGCAAUGUAAUUCCAUGUUGUUCUCUUUUUUAGCUAAUCUUUCUGGGUAGGUUCUCUGGUUUGAGGCUGGUGCUGAAGAAAGGGGAAGCCGACGCUGCUACUUUUUAGUUUUCUCUGCUUCUUGGAUAUUCCUGGGCUGGGUUCCUUUGGCUCAGUCUCCUUCUUGCGUCUGUCUCUCUCUCUCUCUCUCUCUCUCUCUCCCUCUCUCUUUUUCACCAGUUUUUCCUCCCCGUUUGCGUCUUCGUCCUCCUGUGCUCCCUUCUAAGUUCUCUCCCCGUUUUUUCCCCCUGUUUAAGCUUUCUUGUACUGCUCGCUCUGCCUCUCUGUUUUCUCCUUCCCUUGGUUCUGCUUUUUUUCUCCUCUCUGUUCUGCUUUAUAGCCAGAGAAUGCCUCCAUAAUAAAGUGACUGUUAUUGCAGGAUUAAUGGCGAUGCAUCGUUGGGCAUCCGUUUUUUUGGGUCGGGCGAAGAAGAUGAACAGUGUUGAUGGCCAUUUGCGUUUUGGUCCUUGACUUUUGAAAGUUCUGCAAUCAAGCUCCCUGGAUAAACUUUAAUUGGACCCCUGGAUUUUAUCACCAUUUACAGAAUGGUCCUUAAACUUCAAUUUCUUGCAGUUUUAACCUGAAUCAGCCCCAAGCUUUAGUAUUUCUUCAAUUAAGCCCCUGAUUUCAUAAAUUAAACUAAUUCCAAGUUCAAUUAAGUCCAAAACUUAUCAAUUCUUCACUUAAGCUUUUAAUUUGGUUAAUAAAACUAAUUCAAAGUUUAAUUAAAUCCCAAAACUUCUAACCAUGUUGUCCUUACCCAAAAUUUAAUUCAUUCUUUAUUUAUUUCAUCAUUUUUUUAUUUGUUUUUUUCUAUUUUCAUCAUCAUUUUUUUUUCAUUUUUUAUUAUCAUGUUUCAGGAAAUAAAAUAAUAAUAACAAUAAUAAUUUUUAUUACCAAAGUCUUCUCGACGGACAAAAAAUUAUUAUUAAAAAAUUCACCGGCGGAGAAUUCCUGUAAGUGAUUUUGUUGGUAAAUUAAUUACCAAUGGAAUGAUAGUGCAAAUACCGAUGGAAAAAUCCAUCGAUAAAUAUAAAGAUUGUGGUAAUGACAGAGAUUCCUCAAAAGAAGUAAUGGAUGCUUGUUUGUUUAGUUAGUAAGUUAUUUUUAGACUUAAGAUAAUUAAAAUAUUUUAUAAACAGAGUCUUGUGUUUUGAUCCUACUACAUGUUGUCAUAAUCUAGGGUAACAGAUGAAUAAAUAUUUGUUAUAACAUGAGUUAUAUGAAGAUAUUUUAAUAAUCAAGAGAAGAUUCAUCACCAUAGGUAAAUUAGAGAAAAUAUUUCAUAUAUUCACAAAUAAUAUUGAUUGUAAAUUCUUGCGAAAGGUAGAAUGAGAUUUGAAAAGAGUUUUAAAUCUUAUUUUGUAACAUAGUAUAAAAAUGGGACAACAUUACAAUUACUAUAGUGAAACAUCAUUUCUUUUUAUUAUUUGUAUAAUAAUUUUAAAAAAAAAAGUGUAAGGGAAAAAAUAUAAAAACAAUUACAAAAUAAUGAAGAUAAAAACACAAAGAAAUGUUUAAGCUUUCUUGUACUGCUCGCUCUGCCUCUCUGUUUUCUCCUUCCCUCGGUUCUGCUUUUUUUCUCCUCUCUGUUCUGCUUUCUUUCUCUGGCUUUAUAGCCAGAGAAUGCCCCCGUUACCCAGGUAAUAAAGUGACUGUUAUUGCAGGAUUAAUGGCGAUGCAUCUUUGGGCAUCCGUUUUUUGGGUCGGGCGAAGAAGAUGAACAGUGUUGAUGGUCAUUUGUGUUUUGGUCCUUGACGUUUUGAAAGUUCUGCAAUCAAGCUCCCUAGAUUAAACUUUAAUUGGACACCUGGAUUUUAUCACCAUUUACAGAAUGGUCCUUAGACUUCAAUUUCUUGCAGUUUUAACCUGAAUCAGCCCCAAGCUUUUGUAUUUCUUCAAUCAAGUGUAAGGGAAAAAAUAUAAAAAAAUUAUAAAAUAAUGAAGAUAAAAACACAAAGAAAUGUUUAUAAAUUAAAUAGGCCAAAUUUAAAGUGUUAAAUAUACCAAGUGUCGCACCCGACAUCGCGACGACCCUAAAAAUAAUAAUUCUCGUUCAUGGAAAAAAGAACAGAUUCUGGCAUCCGGUUCUUUUAGAAAAAAUGUCUUGUUCGAGGAGUCGCCACCUAGUAUUAUGGUCACUAGGAACCCUAACUAGUCAAUAGAGAUUAUAUGGUUCAGGACUGGUUACAUAAAAGGGAAGAUAUUAUCGCCCCUUAAACGUUCUGCCUAAGGCAAACUGCAUUGCUGUUUUUGUCUUAAAUUGCUAAAUUUUAUUGGUUCAUGUUUUGACGAUUUAUUCACAAUAUUCCUGACUCUGGCGUUAGUGAAUGUUUAACAACGGAUAAUUCUAACUCUGGCGUUGGUAAUUAUUACGUAGUUAAUAAAAUAAAUUUAGAUUAAUAUUUUCUAUUUUUGACUCUAAAACUAGUGAAUAAACUAAAUGUACACAUUCACAUAUUUUUCUAUUUUUUUUUAUAUAAAUUAAAAAAAGGACAAAAUAAUAAUAAUAAUAAUAAUAAUAAUAAUAAAAUUAAAAUAAAAUAAAAUCAGUGUUUUUAUUGUAUUCCCGACUCUGGCGUCAGUGAAUAAAUAAGUAAAUAAAACAAAUUUAUUUUUUUUAUACAUGCACAUAUAUUUUGUUGCUAAAUAAAAAAACAUAAUGAAUAAAAAUAAUAUAAGCUCAAACCAGUAUUUUAUUCCCGACUCUGGCGUUGGUGAAUAAACCAGUAAAUUUAUAUUACUUUUAUUCAUGCAUACAAACAUUUUUUAUUUUUUUUAUUUUUUUUUCUCCUAUUUUUAUUCUAUUUUAUUUUUUUAUUUUUUUCUAUUUUUUUUAUUUUUUGGGGAUGGGCCCAGCUCAGCCCACAUGGGCUGGGCUAGACCCAGCCGGCCCAGCCCAGUCACUGGCCCAAGCCAGUGACCCGGCUGGGCCACAGCAGGCACGCAUGAUCUAAAUCACGCGUGCAUAGCCUGUAAUUAAGAAACAGCCGGUGCAACAACGAAAUGAAACGAAGCGGGGAAACAGAGCUGAAAACUUACCCGUUUCGUUUGCAGGGGAUUUGCAUGUGAUUGCUGAGGACGAAGCUUCUGCCUUCGAGUUUCUUCGUACUCCUUCUGUUCUUUCACGUUGUAUUCCUUUCCUGCUCCUCUGUUUCGGUUUGUUUUUCCUCGUCUCUUUUUACUCUGUUUUCUGAACAAAACCUCUCUCUCUCUCGGUCAGUUUCGUUUUUGUUGUUUUAAGCCUGUAUUGGUGAUGGAAGGCUUUGCUUCUGGCGUGGGGUUAUAAAGAAAAAGGUUAAAAAUCUUGCUGGUAAUAUGUGUGUCUCUCUCCUCUGGUUUUGUUCGUCUCUCUCUACAACUCUGCAACGGGUCGUAGGCUGAAGAACGACCACCAUUAAACGCUCAUAACUGAGGCCCCUCAAGUGUGGUAUUGCUUGAUUCAUCAUGAAGGAUUUUCUCUCUGGCUUCUUCUGAGAAUUAUCCUCUGAUUGAUUGUGUGUAUCAUGCCAACACCCAUCAAGAUUGUUAAUCAGUCAUGAACUUGCCUUCGGUUGAAACACCAUUCAAGUAUGUAUGGUCACCAGCCUUCAUGGAACUGCCAAGUCAUCCAGACAUGGAUCUCAUGCUUUGCAGUAAACAGCUCAUCAUUGUAAGCACGAUGUAUUUCUCUAUGGAUUCCUCUUAGCUUGUCAAAUCAGAUCAUGAAAAUAACUGCUUUGGCAUCAUCAAUGGUGUUCAUGUUAUCACCCAUAUUCAUGCGGUGAAGCGUGCAUUUGAGCUUCAGAAUAGAUGGUCCCAUAGUCAAUCUUGGUGGUAUGCAUAUGUUCGAUGUUCAUUCAAAUGCACUCACCCGAUAACAUCUGUCAGGAGUCAUAGCCAUGUUUUAUAGGGUAUCCCAAGAUGAAGAUAUGAAAAUAUCCUUCAAGUGCAGUGUUGCUCAUCAAUUGCUGCUGAAAUGCACUAGAUCAUGGAUUGUCUUUGAACAAUAUUGGCCCCAACAAUGAUAUGAAUGCUCGUUCAUCAGUUUAUACUAAAAAAGGUCUUUCUUUGUCAUUGUCAGAUGCUAAACAUAACUUUGAUGAACUUUGACGACUCAUCAUCUGAUUCUUUCUUUGCCCCCAGCUGAUCUGGAUACUGUCUGUUUUCCUUCUUAGGGUCCACUGUAUUGCCCCCAAGUGGUUAACCUUUCAAGGAGUUUUGAGAAGAGUUGAUGUCAUUUCAUGUCAAGGAUUCCGCAAACUCAAUAAAUGUUCUUCUUUGUUUGACAAUCUUUAUUGUUCUAGAAUCAAAUCUCAUACUUCAAAGGUCAUGUCUAUUCAAGUCUAAAUGUUGAAAUGAAAUCAGAGAGAUGUCUAUUUUUGAAAAAAUUUGAAAUUCAAACUUCUUUGGUCAAAGACCCAACACACGUCAUUCAAUGUAGUCCUUCGAUUGUCUUGUAUUUUGAAAACAGAAAUCGACCCGUUGUAAGAUUAAAAUGGUUUUUCCCAUGGUUCUUUCUAUCCACUUUAAACUCUGAUUUUGGGUAUAUCUUUUGAUGGUCUGUGAUGAGGUGACAUUUUUAUGAAUUUAAAAACAAGAUGUUCAGGCUUUAUCAAGAAAGGUUGUUUCUUUUCUUAGCAUUUAUUUUAUCAGCAUGCAUAAUAACCAGUAGCUUAAUUCAUGAAGUCACGACCCUUAUGGAAAAACUCUUCAAGUUUUGAGAGUGCCAUUUAUCGAUUCAAAUUGCUUGCUUGAUUAAAAAGGGCUUUUAAAAGCAUGUAAUGCAGGCUAUGGUUCAUGGCUAUGAAAGAAAAGAAUUUCAAAGGCUCAAAAGGUGUUUGAGGGUUUCAAAAAUCUAGGAUCAACAUUGAUUAUUCAUCAACUCGUUUUCUAUUCUUGUCUUUGUAGAGGAAACGACAUAGAACCUUGUUAACCUCAAAGAUCAGACUUCUAUUAACAUAAGUCAUAAUGCAAAUCCAACUUUCUUUGAGGAAUAACCAACCUUAAUCAUCUGAUAAUAUCAUAGGCUUUAUAAUGGAUACCAAAAGUCAACGCUUAUAGCUUAGUCUUCUUUUUUUUUCCUUUUGGUAUUGACUUUUGUUGUGUCUUUCCUUGAUUGAAAUUUCUUUUGCUCUUCCUAGACUUGAUAGGCAUUCUCCUUUUUUUUUUUUUAUUCCCUCUCUUUUUCUGUUUUUUUUUCUUUCUUUUUUUUGCUUUGCUUUCUCAUAGCCUUCCUCAAAAUUUCCUUAUAUGCCUAUAGUUUAUGUGUUUUCUUUUAGCUCUCUCUCAAUCAUUGGACUUUUGUUCUAAGCCUUCCCCUUUAUCCAUUAAUUAUAUCAAUGCCUUCAAAAUACCUCUCAUUUGCCCCCAGUGUGGGGUGUGAUCCUAGUCAGGGUUUCUUUUUGAAAGAAAAUAUUUUACCAGGCUCAAAAUGGGACUGCAAGGGAUAUAAUCUUUAGAAAGUGAAGGGAUAUCAAAGAUGGCCUUUUCUCCAGUGUAAUGAUUUGGACUUGUAAGAGUCAAUGAUUCACGAGUCCAUAGCUACCGAAACCACUACAUGUCAUUAUGCAUACUACUAAAACUUAGCUAAAUGAUGUGUGGUUCAAUUUUAUAUGUGAGCUCAAAAAUUUGUUCGGUCACCUCAUGUCAUUUCAACAAGAAUCGAGUCAUUUCUGCAAUCAAAACACUUUUAAUCUUCAGAUUGAUUAACCUUUAUCGCAUGUUGGAGUUUGAUCAAAAUAUUUUGUCGAAAAAAAUGUUAAACAUCUGUUGAUUUCAAAACAACAAAGAGACAAAAGCAAGGCAUGUUUCGUUAAAGGAUGAGAUGUGAUCCCAAAACAAAAUGCAGAAUUCCAUAACAAUAUGAUUGACAUUUCAUCACCAUUCUUGAAUCAGCUUUUCUGGCAAUAUCAGUGUUCGGCCAAGCACUUUCGAUCAACAUGUCAUUCUGAGGAUGUUCUGGUGACAACAUGAUUGAUGCCAUCAUCUUUCGCAAACUCAGCUCGAUUCUUGAAACUCUUGUGUCUGUUCAAUUGAAAUGGUCCGGGAACCCUCCAUGAUAUACACAUCUGGUUUGAAUUAUACCACGGUGGUUGCAUGCAAUUUGUCGAAGUCCGGGACACUAAGUCUGAAAUCUAGCAGUGCUGGUAAAUAAACCCACAUGGCAAAGGAAUGUCUAUCUUUGGCAAAGACAUUGGAGUAGUUGAUGCUUGAGCGAGACUUUACUAGGCAAAAUAACUGAGGUUUCUCGAUUGAGAGUCAUCUUCUGAUUCAACUCUCUUCUGGUUCUGGAAUCCAUGGCAGAUCCUUCAAUCUUUCCUCUCUGCAUAGCUUGUUCAAUUCUCCGGCAAAUCCUCACAACAUCAUUUCAAUCUUCCAAUGUUGUUGUGGUUGGUUGAGGAUUGUUAGAAAACUUUCCAACGGCUUGGUAAUCUUGGCAGCGCCCAGAAACUUGUAGUAUCGCCACUACCAACACGUGGAAUCAUGCCUUAUCUCUUCUAUGAGAGAAAAUGAUGAACAUGAAUCUCCUCUAUUUCUUCUUCGAUUCCUCUCGAAUGGUGCAGCAAACAAGCACCAAUAGAGGGAGUUCUGCUAUGUGGAAGUUUCAGUCUUCUUCAUGUUUUUCAGUCUAGGCAUGUCUCUUCUCUCUACUUUUGCGUUUUAAUACUGACACUGUUGGAGGAAAAUCAUAGAUAAUCUGAAACUACUGUAUUCCUUCUUGGAUUUCCCACUUGCGGAUCCACAAACAGAUUCCUGCUGAGAGAGCUCUACGUUGAAGUUUGAUGUCUGCUCAUAUUUUUCAGACCAAGUCUGGCUCUUUAACUUACUAAGAGGUUUUCGUGCUGAAACUGAUGAGAGAAAUAUUGGUAGCAUAUGCAACUUAUAAAUCCCCUCUUGCAUUCUCAAUUUGCAGAGCCAUAAAUGGAUUUUUGUAGAGAGAGCUCUGCCACAUUGAAGUUCAGUGUUUAAUCAUGGUUUUUCAGACCAACAUCUUGUGCUGCUGAACUGGAAUUGAGCUCAUAAUUGGGGUAACUUCAACAGCAGACUAAUGCACCAUGUACAUGAGGCUAGUAGUCAUUUGGUUCCAUUAGAUGAUGUGGAGGUGAUGAACACUUAACAAUGCAACUAGACAAGAAUCAGAGUUGUCAUUAGUUGAUGACUGAAGGCGUUGUUGUUUGUUCAUGACUGAAAAGGAGAGAUACAGCUUCAAUUGGACGUGAACAAGCAGUGUUCCCACAGAAGAAACAUUCUCUUUCCAUUUGAUGCUCAACACUUAUUCGAGCAUAUCUGAGUCCAUCUACUUCCCCUUUGAAGCUCUCAACCUUAAUAUGAUAAUGAGCCUCUAUCUGACACAUUUUUCACUUCCAUCAUCUUUCUUCAAUCACGUGCAGCACAGCUUAUGUGGGGACCUACCUUUCGACCCGGUACAUGCAUGAUAAAUGUAUGAACAUGUAAUCUAUAUGAUGAACUCACCCUUCGAGAGGUGACAAUAUGGCCGUAACUCUUGUAUGAUGGACAAGAAUCGUGAUUUUUGCCCAAACUCUAUAAUGAAAAUUUUCAGAGCAACGACCAAUGUGUCACCCACAAGUCUUGAGUUCAAGAUGCUUCAAGAAGGGUUUGCUGAUGCAAAAACGAAUACACAUACACCUAAGACAAGUUCUAUUCAUUUUACGUGAGACAGGGUAGGUUUGCUAUUUGGUCUCUAAAAGGGGUCUCUUGUUGUCCCGGUGAUUGCCCUCGUAAAGGCAAUAUAGGGGCCCAGUAGGUAAUUGGUUGGCACGUGUCCAACUAUUACCAGUCUAAGCACUCAACGAAGAGUUGGGGUUUACACAAACUUAAACCUUGACUCAAGUCAUAAGGUAAGCUGCUAGUCCCCUACCUAACUUAAAGUUUAAUGUGUGUGCUCAAAAAUAAAUACAGGUGAUGCAUGAGACAAUUCUAUAAAAUGCAUUGAAAUAACAAAAAUAAAAUAAGACAAAACACAAAAAACUUGAACACAUCAAAACACAAAGCUUAGUCCAAUAAUGUCAGAAUCAGAAACAGUACCCUCCCCAGUGGAGUCGCCAUUCUGUCGCACCCCAAAAAAAUCCGGCGCGCGGCAUUGGCUGGCGAUUUUUUCCUCGUUUGUUGUGUUGGCUUUGAAUUUGUUCGUUGGAGUCGCCACCUAGUAAUUCAUUGAGGGCUACUAGGAAACCUGAUGUACUGGUCUUUUCAGAGAUCGCGGGUAAGGGACUGGUUGUGGUUAGGGAAGGUAUUAGCACCCCUAACGCACCCUACCUGAGGUAAGCUGCUUUGUGUUCUGAUGUGAUUUGAAAAUUUAAAAUAUUAAUUAAAUUCUAAGGCUUGAAUAAAUCAGUUAUUAAAUCCCCGAAUAUAUGUAAAAACUUGUUCUUACAUUUUCAUGGAAAAUACAACUUGAUUUUAUUUGUCCUUGAGAUAUUUAACCAUAUUUAAGAAAAUUUAAAAUAUUAAUUAAAUUCUAAGGCUUGAAUAAAUCAGUUAUUAAAUCCCCGAAUAUAUGUAAAAAACUUGUUCUUACAUUUUCGUGGAAAAUACAACUUAAUUUUAUUUGUCCUUAAGAUAUUUAACCAUAUUUAAAUUAACAAUUAAUUCCUUUUGUUUUUUUUAUAAUUCAAUAAUAUAAAUAAAAAAUGCAAACACACACACAACUUUCUUUUUAUUAUUCAUUUUUUUCUUUUCUUUUUUCUUUUCUUUUCUUUUCCUUUACAUCCACAAAAUACAAAUAAUAAAAAUUCAAAAUUACAGAAAAGACAUUACACAAAUAAAAAAUUACAUAACAGCCCCUAAAAAAUCUAGGAAGCUGCUGGGAAGGCUUCUGGACCACAAAAACACUGGCGGCACGUCUCCUCCACGCGCCGCCACCACUAGCGGCGCGUCUCCUCCACGCGCCGCCGUGAAAACGACCGGAAAACAGGGGGGGUCUGUAACAGCCUCCUCCCCUAUUCCCUUCCUUGCCGGCGGUAGGAAACGUCACCUGCAAAGCCAAACACAAGCAGUCGUUUUCAAAUUUUUUUACUCCACGAUUUACGAGCCAUGAAAGUAUGAAAUAUUAAGGCAAAAGGAGGCUUUUAAAGCGCUUUGAAUUUCCUUAGAUUUCUAAAAAAAAUUUGUCCCUCCUUCUUGCGAUUUACGAGUCGCAAACUCUUGAAAUACUAAGGGAAAAAUGAGCUUUCAAAGCACAUGGAAUCUCCUUGGAUUUCUAUCCAAAUAAAUUUUAUUUGAAUCAAACCUAGGAAAAUUGAUGGGAUUAGAAAACACCAACACCAUAGCAAUUAUAGAGCAAACCAAACAUCAAGCAGCUUACCUUAGGUAGGGCGUACUAGGGGUGCUAAUACCUUCCCUUUACGUAACCAGUCCCUUGCCUUAGAAUCUCUGAAAGACCAGUUAGGGUUUAUGUCGCACCCUAAAAAAUCCAAUGCGGCAUCGGAUGGCGAUUUUUCGUUUUUGUUUUGCUGAUUUGGUUCUUUGGAGUCGCCACCUAGUAUUUUGGUCACUAGGAACCCUAACUGGUCUUUCAGAGGUAUUGUUUCUGACAAUAUUGGACUAAGCUUUGUAUAUUUGAUGUGUUUAAGUUUUUGUUUUUUUGUCUACUUUUUGUUAAUGUAUUUUCCAAGCAUUUUAUAGAAUUGUUUCAUGCAUCACUUGUUUUUAUUUUUGAAAGCACACACAACGUUGGAUCCUACUGCUCAACAGGACCCAAUAGUAUUGGGUUUAGCUCAGCCAGACCCAAAAUACUUCUAAAGGGAUGUGGGUCUAGCUACCCAGUAAGACCCAACGAUCUUGAGUCUAGGUGGGGAGCUGGACCCAAUAUCCUUGGGUCUGGCUAUGCACCCAUACCCAAAGAUAUUAUUAUUUGUAUUAUAAAUAUUAAAAAAUUUAUUAUUUGUAUUAUAAAUUUUUUGUAUAUAAUUAAAAGCAUUAAUGUAAAAAAUUGUAUUAUUGGUAUUAUAAAUAAUAUUAUAAUUAACAGUAUUAAAAUUAAAAAAUAGUAUUAUUCAUGUUAUAAAUAUUAUUAUUUUUACUAUAAUGAAUAGUAUUACUAUUAAAAAUAGUAUUAUUUUGUUAUAAAUACUGUAGAGCCCUGGGAGGCAUUCCUCUGCUAUGUUUUUUUGUCAAGAAUUUCGGUUGGGGGCGUUGCCUCCUCAACUAUGAUUUUUGUAAGAAUUACAGCUAGAGGCAUUGCCUCUUCUGUUAAAAGCUAUGGGGCUGGCUUGGCAGCUAGAGUCAACGCUCUUGGGUCUGGCCAAAAACACUUCGAAAAUAAGCCAUUAGUGUUGGGUUCUGUUGCCCAGCAUGGCCCAAUAAUGUUUGGUUUGGCUAAGUUAGACCCAAAACACUUUAAAACGGGGCUAGAUCUGGCUGGGCAAUAGGAUUCAAUGUCCUUAGGUCUGGUUGUGCAGCCAUAUCUAAGAAUAUUAUUAUUUGUAUUAUAAAUAUUUUAAAUUUUAUUAUAAUUAAUAUUAAAAUAUUAUUAUUUGUAUUAUAAAUAUUGUUUUUUAUUAUAAUUAAAAGUAUUAAUUUUUAAAAAUAGUAUUAUUUGGGUUAUAAAUAUUAUUUUUAUUUUUAUAAUAAUUAACAGUAUUAAUAUCAAAAAUAUUGUUACUUGUGUUAUAAAUAAUAUUAUUUUUAUUAUAAUUAAUAGUAUUAAUAUUAAAAAUAGUAUUAUCUAUGUUAUAAAUAUCAUAAGAACUUAAGUCAAAUGAGUUUAAUAUUAUUUUUAAUAUUAUAAAUAAUUAACAGUAUUAAUAUCAAAAAUAUUAUGGUCCCAGCUGGGACAUGGUAUAUCCUCCAAUGGUACAGUCGGAGGAUGGCAUGUGCGGUGGUAUAAGCGGUGUCACCGGACAUAAACGCAGAUUCUCCGAUAUGAUGCUCUGAAGGUAAUUUAGUUUUGCAAAAUCUGACUCUUCUAUCAAGCGGUCUCCAACUUGAGCGUCCAGUUCUGUUUUAGCUUUCCUUAGCACGUCUGGAUGGUUGAGUAGAUUGGCUAAUGCCCAUUCCAUAGAUGUAGCAGCAGUCUCUGUUCCCCCAAGCAACAACACCUACACAAAAUAUUUAGUGAAUUAAACUCAAGCCAGCUCCGACCCGAAAGCUAAGAUGAGAAGGGUUUACCUGCACAAAAUACUCAUAUUUCUUUGAAGUAUUUAGUGAGACUUGCAAGUAUGCUAGUAGUUGUUGCACCAAAUUCAUCAUAUAGAAAACGUAGAUUCAUCUACAUUAUACAAAGGCUUAAAUCAAGAGAAAGAUGCCCACCUGCGAUGAACAAGUUUGUUAUCUGAAAAUGGCUUGGAAUCUCCAUGGCAAUAUUUUUUUUGUCUUUUUUUCCCAUUAUUUGGCAUGCCAAUAUUUUUUUUCUCCUUUUUUCUCCAUUAUCUCCAUGCCAAUAUUUUUUUUCUCCCAUUAUUUGGCGCAUGCCAAUAAUGUUUUUCUCUUUUUCUCCCAUUUUUUGUCCUUAUCUUUCUCUUUCCUUAAUUUGGCUAAUUUAAAAACUGAAAUGAAAAAACACAAGGAAAACUAUCUAUCACGUGUUUGCACACGUGUCUUCAUCUAAUGGCGAUGCAUGUCAUGUCAUGCUACCAUCGAUGAUGAUCUUUAUUUUGUUGAUUUUAUCUUGUCAAAAAAAAUUUAUUAGUUUAAUACGUUGGAUUAGGUCGGGUUGAGAAAAAUACAUGAUGAAUUGUUUAAUACGUUGACACAAAAUUUGAUGAAGCGGUGGAGAGAAAAACAGGUGGCUUUAGGCAUAAUUUGUGGUUUUGUUUCCCUUUUUAGUGAAUGAAACUCUAAGAAAUUGAAAGGGGAGAUGAUACCAAAAGAUCAAACCGUAAGAAAAAUUGAGUGAAUCAAAACAAAAACAUCAUUUUUCCUUAACAAGUUAUGAUUGAAUCAACAUAAAAAGCGUUAGGUUUGACUAACCAGAACAUGGCCUUUGAUUAUGUCAUCAGUGUAGUAUUCAGGCUGUUCUUCUUGCAAAGCGAGAAACCGGUUUAUCAUAGUGUUUCUGUCCCUGUCAUCUCGAUGCUCAUCAACCAGUCCCUGUAAGAACACAUCCAUCUUCUUACUUAGUCUAUCCAACUUCUUCAAGUGGCCCCUAAUAUCAACCCACUGCAACAUUGGAAUCAGAUGCCCCACAUUUAUCAUGGAAAUAUAUGCAAAAAACACUUCCAAGAUCUCCCUCAAAAUCCUGGCCUCUUCAAUUUCCUUAACAUCUACGCAGAGGGAUGCAAAUACAGGGAAUAAGAUGGUUUAUGAACUCCAUCCUGUGAUGACACUCACAUCCAGUAAUCCUACUUGCAUGCAGGGAUUAUGAUGGGAAAGUUACUCCUGAGGAGGUGGCAGCUGCUGCGAUGUACUUGAAGGAUACAUCAGGCAAGGAAGGCAUCCAAGAACUCAUCAGCUGCUGCGAUGUACUUGAAGGAUGUAUCAUUUUGAAUGUGUCUGCAUGUUUCAACAUUCAUCACUUCUUAUUAGAGGAUUAAUGCAUUUGUUCUCUUGAGCUCAGCUCCUACAUGCAAACUGGUUUUGGUUCUAAGAAGCCACAUCUUAUUUUGCUGAAUUAUAGAAGACAUCUUAUCAUCUUUCCUCUUUUUACCAUGCCACAUGAAAAAAUAUUUCUUCGCCGCUAAAGCAAACAAGUCAUACCUCUUAUUUACCAAGAACCUAGUCAACAGAUAAUUUUCUCAAUCCAAUUGGGUGUUUUGAGUUGCUUAUGAAAAUCUAUCAAGGGUCAGAAAAUUAACAUGAUGCUUUUCUUCUACCUUGUAGUUUUUCUCUGCUUCUUGUCAUUUUGUUGAGCAUUUGCUAAAUUUAGUAUUUUCUUCUUUUUUACCUUGUAUAACUGAUGCCUAGAUCAUUUUGAAUCGAACAGAUGGAAAGAUUCUUGUAGAAGACAAUGUCAAAUUAGGCAGUUGGACGGAAGAUGCCAAAGCAACUGAAGAGAGGGAGAUGUAAAACAAUUUUCCUUCAAAUUCUUUCCUGCUGUUGUCUGGAUAGUACCCUACCUAACGAAUAGUUUAUUUAACGAUAAAAUGGCAUGCCAUCUAAUGUGAUUAGGACCCAUAUCUGUUAGGGUCAUAUAUAUACAAGUAACCUUGGUUUUCCCAGCUCAUUGAUAAAGCUGGACAUGCUUGCUAGUGCUGUAAAAGUGAAUUCUGAUGAAUAUAUAAAUGAUAUAGGUACACAGUACAGAACAAGAAAUCGAUAUAUCUCGUGCCUUUGGAAAUAAAAUGCUCUGUCAAGUUUAUUCUUCAGAUUGAGAAAUCAUGCUUUUGCAUAUGGUGUUGAUCUAGUUGAAUUAGGUGGAUGUGUAAUCAAGUUUAUGAUUGAGGCAAACCACAUCAGCUAAAUAAGAUGCAUUUUCAAGUUUUAAGGCCAUGCAUAUGUAGGCUUUCACACCUUUGAAUCUUUGGUUUCAUGGAACUUCAUUGCAAGUUCUGCUGCAAAUUCCGUAAUAUUCUUAUCAGAGCUUCCGCCUUCAUCCACUGCUGUUUUGGCCAGUUUCAUCCAUUUCUCAGAGUUCCUUCUCAUCUCAUUCCCUCUUAAUUUCACCUUCCAUGACUUCCCUUAUACACCCUUCUACCUCUUCUUUAGUGACAAUCCCCUUUUCAUUUUCAUUCACUCUAUAUAACCCCUAGAUGCCAAACAUCGGCAAUGCACUUUGCAUUUGUUGGUUGAUCAGUCCACUCUGGCAUUGCCACCAUUGGCACUCCUAAGCUCAACGCCUCGAGUGUUGAGUUCCACCCACAAUGAGUCAUGAAGCAACCAACGACGGACUUGUGAGCCAGAACCUCUAGCUGCGGGCUCCAGGUCACAAGCAGAGAUUUCUUUGAUGACUCCUCCACAAAGUUGCUUGGAAGUUUUUUCCUUUCCGAUUCUCUGACUACCUACAGGAAGCAGCAGGAACUCCUCUUUAGGCCCCAAGCAAUUUCUGCCAUUUGCUCCUCUCCAAGUGCAGCCAUGCUUCCAAAUGACACAUAAACCACUAAGCCAGUUUCCUUUGAAUAUAGCCACUCAUUGCACCCGUCCGGAUUGGGAUUGAAGAGGCUGAGACCGUACUCUUUAUCGUCCUCCAGCUGCUUGUCCAAGUAAAAUGAUGGGAUCAUUGGUCCUAUUGGCUUUAUUGACCUUUGGCUUGCCAACCAGUUUACCGCCUGAUGGAAAUCAACAAAAUUUUGAGUGCCACUGAAGUAAAAGGAGCAUACUUUGAAAUAUGGUAUCGUCUUGUGAGCAAAGAAAAGAGAUUGUAAGUAGGAAUUUGAAGCAUUGCUGCUCUCGUUUAUGUUGCUUUGCUUGUCAAUCAUUUGUUGACUGCUUGCUUGUUUGAUCGCACUUAUUUUCAAGUAUUAUUUGUCAUAAUACUGGAAAACUUUGUGGACUUUUGUUGAAACUCAAGGUAACUGCUGAGCCACUUUAUGUGAGGUUUGCUCAAUAAGUAAGCAUAGAGGCCCAUUCCUCCUCGUGUCUGGUCUUCUUUGUCCAGCUCUCAAUUAUGUACUCAUAUUUGACUAGAAAUAGAAUCACUACAAGGCUGCUGGCAUGGUAUCUUCAUAUUUACACGAAAACAUUGUUUUUCAUGGGCUUUUCUACCCAGUUCUCAGUAAACUUUGUGGACUUUUGUUGAAACUCAAGGAAAUAGCUAUUUUCAAGGUUUACAUGGAAAUAGCUUGACUCAUAGCUUGAUCUGGGCUAGUUUUCAAGUUGAAUUGAAACGAACUUUAGCAUAAAUGGCUCGGUUGAAUUCACACGCGAUAAUCUAAUGAUCCAAACUAGAUUUGACAAUUAUACUUCUCGUGCUAUUAUAUCUAGUUCGAUCUCCAGGGGGGGAAAAUGCUAACUUUAAAAGAUUAUAGUAUGAUGGUUAUUAAGAAUGUUUACUAUAUUUUUGGAUUUAAACUUUAGCAACAACGUCCAAAAAAACAAUUAGAUCUGUUAAUAUAUGUAUUAAGGCUGGCAUGGGAGUGCGAUGUAAAUACUACAAAAACACCUUGGAUCAAAGGGGAAUUCUUUAAUAGCAGCUUGUUAUCACAUGCUUAGCAAGAUUGCGAGCUACGAAAAACAAGUAGUAGAUUUUUCUCAGCCUUAAUUCACACCAUUGAGAUCAAGUAGAAGCAUGAAUUUCUCCUCGUUUUUUUUCUUAAAGCAGAUAAUCAUAUUUGAUUUAUUGAUAAGAAAAGAAGAUAUAUUUUUCUAUUAUUGUUAUAUAUUUUAUAUUUUAUUUUGAAAUUAAAUAUACAAGAUGGAAACUUGUGACAAAAUCUUAAGAUAAUUCUUAGAUGUAACAACGUCAUGUACUUAUCUUUGUUUUAUAUUUUUAUUUUUAUAAAUAUUUUUUAUGUUUUAAAAUCUAUUUUUAUAUUCCAAGAUAUAUAUAUUUAAUCACAUUUCUAAUAAUAUUGAUUUUUUUUUUUGAAAUAAUAAUGACAACCCUUGCAUACUUGAGUUCGUGACACUUUGAUAUUAUGGUAAAAGUCUUUUCGGUGCGUUUUAAUUUUUAUCAAGAAGGAUAGAUUGGAAGUAUCCAUUAAUUUUGUGUAUUGUAAUAGAAUCGUCUGUUAAGCUUGGCUUAACAAAAUUAAUGAAGCAGAAGGAAAACAGAGAAAUGAGAGAAGAAAUAUGACUCUUACAUAUUAAUGCCAGAAAUAAAAAUAUACUUUAUUUGAACAAAAGGAAAUGCCAGAAGAUGUCCGUUGUAGAACAACACCCAAAAUAAGUUCUGAAACUUGGAAAAAAAGUGAGCAUCAAACUAGAUUCUAAAAUCAACGCUUAAUCACAUCUUUGACUUGUCAUUAGUUUAAAACAAAUACAAAUAAUUUCUUAACAUCACUUGUAAUAAUAAGUUUGGAAUUUUUAAUAAUUUAUUACUUGAAUUGGUUCAAAUAAUUCUGAGUGAACUGGGUUUUUCAAAAUAGUGUUCAUCCAUAGUAAUUUUCGUCAUGUGAGGCCAUUCUGAAGGAGAAUGGCAUUGGAUCUAAUGUAGCAUACACGGCGGGCGGAAACGCUUCGACAAUGGGGUGGUUGAGUAUUUACGGAGGUGGUUGGGUAUUUACGGAGGUGGUUGGGGGGUUCUUUGAAUUUGUUUUUAUUAGCUGGUAAAUACCCUCUCUGACCCGUGGCCCAUCGCCGGUGGACUUGCUUGGCAAAUAAUGAUGAUAUUAAUAAAAACUACAUCUUGAGAAAACACGGCUCCACGUGCUCACCAACUUCUGUCAUAGUCAUUAAAUUCAAUUACAAAUCGAUAAAGGACGACAGCUAAAUUAAUCUAAUUUUUUCUUUAAAAAAAUUUAAUGACUUUUUUAACCUGAUUUUCAUCCGGUCGCAUGUUAAUUCAGGUUUUUUUUAUUGAUUCUUAUUAAGUCAACUUUCUAUGUGGAGUUGGAAAAUGCCCUACGUUUAUGAGAUGAGAUGAGAUGAUAUUCUAUAUGUUUCCAUAUUUCUUUCAAUUAAGUAUCUUUAUUUAUUUUCAUUCAAGUCUAUAUUUCUCAAUUCUAGUAUAUUAAUUUCUAUUUUAUUUGUAAUUUUUUAAAAAAUGUAAGUUGAUAUUUUUCCAACUGAUAAUGCCAGAAAAAUGAUUUUGUUAUUUCUUGCGUGACUCUUACAUAAUCCUCCUACGUACCAUUAUAUACUUACACGAUUUAUUAUAUUGUAAACUAACUCUAACCGACCCCUACCCUAAUUAAUCUGCACUAACAAUGCUCCAACUUGUUGUGUAAACUACUUUGCUUUUUCUUCAUAGACAUGCAUUAACUUGUUGUGUUCAUUUGAUAUUGUGAAAUAAAAAAGUUUCUUCCUUGACUUUUUUAAUGGAUUGAAGUGAUUUGCCGACAAUUUCAUCAUCCACUUGCACUUCUUUUUCUUCGUAGACUUGUGAAGUCAAGAUUCCCAAAGAUCAAUAUCAUCAAUUAAUUGUUGCUAAUUUGGUUGAAGAAAGAAAUAUUUGUUAAGCUGAUUUACUUCCAUAUUAAUUAUUGUUGGAUUCUUAAUCUGAAUUUUAGAGUGGUUCUAACUUCUUAAUCUGAAUUGAUGGAAACAAUUUACUUUCUUAAUUAUUGUUAAUAUGUUGGAUAUGUAAUUACCAGUGUACUUAUAUACUUUUUUUCUCAACCAAACCCUUCAACUCCAUAAUAUUUGAAAAAAAUAAAAAUAAAACCCAUUAAUUCUCUAUGAAUUAUAAAGAAGUAUAAUUUCUAGAAGCAAACAAUCAUAAUUUAUCUUUGACAUUUCAAACAAUUUGUUGUCUAUCAUCUUUUCAUGGGCCCUACAAUUAUUUUCAUUAGUAUAUUAUUUGUUUGUUGUUGUUUUUCUUCAAGCUUGUGGAACGAGGUGUCCACGAACUUGUUGUUUAAGCUAUUUUGCUUCUUUUUUUUUUCAUAGACUUGGAAAGUCAUUCCGACAAGUCUCUUAAUCUCAUCAUCCACUAGCACUUGUUUUUCUUCUUCGUAGACCUGUGAGCUCAAGAUUCCCAAUCAUCCACUUCAUCAAUCUCUAUCCCGUCAAAAUGAAUUUGGGGCAAGAAAACAAUAUCAUUCAAUAAAUUAGAAAGUGUAAAUUGUAAAACCCAACCCAUAAGAUAAGAUAUAUCUUCAUAGUAGUUUUUGUUUUUUUUUUUUUUUUUUCUUAUCAUAUUUACUAUCGCAAUAAUACAUCAUUGCAACAUUUAUUUUUAGAUUUAUUUAAAUCCUAGAUAAUAAUAUAUGAAAGAGAAAACCAUUUACUACUUAUGAUCGUCAUCAACUCAAGAAUUAUAAUCUCUUAUCAUUUGUUUUUUAUUAGGCCCUAAUAACAUUAAGAUAUAUUCCAGUUUUGAUCAUUUUUUAGGGAAUAGGUUAAAAAAAAUACCCUAAAAUUUGGAUCAAUAUGAAAUUAGAAAUUUAGAUAAAACAUGGAUGUGUUUGAAUGAUGAAAUUUAGGGCAGAAAUGGCGUGUACAGACAGAGUAUGCCAAGAACCAGUAAGUUACUAUUUUUUUAUUUUUCACCAGUAAGUUAUCCUAGUGCUUGCUAGGACUAGCACAACAAACAGAUUAAAAGAAUGAAGUUUCACCAAUCUGUCAUCAGAGUCUGUAAAUAUUGUUACAAAUGAUUUAAGUUUGUUUGCCAAAUUUUUCAAGAACAUGUUUGUCUUUGAUGGCUUAUUGUCAUAGCUGUGAACUCUGAAGAAAAGUGAUCUUAGAAACCAAAGUCCUGCAAUGUCAUCAGAGUCUGUGAACAUGUUGUUCUCUUUUUUAGCUAAUCUUUCUGGGUAGGUUCUCUGGUUUGAGGCUGGUGCUGAAGAAAGGGGAAGCCGACGCUGCUACUUUUUAGUUUUCUCUGCUUCUUGGAUAUUCCUGGGCUGGGUUCCUUUAAUUUUGUAAUUGCUGCAAAGUCGUAAAAGCUGCCUUCACUUUCAUUGGUGGGACCCUUCUGUGCAUUUUUAUAAAAUUCAAAGUUGGCUUCCCCUUUUCUUUGGUGGGAACUCCUCUUGUAAUUUCCUAAUGCUUCAGUGGGAACCAUGUCAUAAUUAAUUCGUAGACUUGACCCAUGAUCGGUCACUUUCGUAUUGAAUGAGGAUGGACCCUGUUUAUAUAAAUAUCCAGUUUAAUAAAUUCAUAUAGUUAAUUACUGUUUUUUAUAAAUAAAAUUACUGAGAUUAAAAAGUUGUUAGUGUUAUUUAAUGAUUUUUUAAAAAAUUUAAAUUAAAUAUUAUAUACGGAAUGAUUACCACAUUAAAAAAUUAAAAAGUGAUCGUUGAUAUUUUGUAAUUGCUUUCACUUUCGUUGGUACGAACUCCUCAUGUAAUUUCCUAAUGCUUUAGUAGUAAACAUGCAAUUAUUAAUUCGUCGACUUGACCCAUGAUCGACGCCACGGGCUUAUGAUAUGCUUUUGUAUUAUUGUGGAUUUGUGAAAAAAAUUAUAUAAAAAAAACUGUUAUCAUCAACACUAUUUUAAAGAAAAAAUCUACGAAGUUAUAUUCUUAACCAAUUUAAUAUUAAAAAAACAAAAUCGACAAAAAUAAUUAUGAAAACAAAAAACACAAAAAAAGAUGAAAAAAAAAAGAUGAUAAUUUUGAAAGAAAAAAAAGCAAAAAAUAAAAAUAAAAAAAUGAAAAAAAAAAACAUGUGGGGAAAGUUAAAGUUAAAUUUUCAACUAGCUCAAUGUUAAAAUCAUUUAAGAAAACACUGUAGCAAUCUAUAGUGUUUUGCGAGGAAAUAUACAAUUAUAAUUCUCAAUCAGCUUAAUAUUAAAAAAAAUCAACAAAUAUAAUUUUGACAAAUAUAAAAAAAAAAAAAAAAAAAAUAUGUCGGGAAACACUAUAAUAAUCUAUAGUGUUUCAUGAAAAAUUAAACUAAUUCCAUGAAGUGAUUUAAGUUUCACCAAUCUGUGCUCCCUUCGUGUUCUAAGCUCUCUCCCCGUUUUUUCCCCCUGUUUAAGCUUUCUUGUACUGCUCGCUCUGCCUCUCUGUUUUCUCCUUCCCUCGGUUCUGCUUUUUUUCUCCUCUCUGUUCUGUUUCUUUCUCUGGCUUUAUAGCCAGUGAAUGCCCCCCUUACCCAGGUAAUAAAGUGACUGUUAUUGCAGGAUUAAUGGCGAUGCAUCGUUGGGCAUCCGUUUUUUUCGGUCAGGCAAAGAAGAUGAACAGUGUUGAUGGCCAUUUGCGUUUUGGUCCUUGACGUUUUGAAAGUUCUGCAACCAAGCUCCCUGGAUAAACUUUAAUUGGACCCCUGUCUUUUAUCACCAUUUACAGAAUUGUCCUUAGACUUCAAUUUCCUGCAGUUUUAACCUAAAUCAGCCCCAAGCUUUAGUAUUUCUUCAAUUAAACCCCUGAUUUCAUAAAUUAAACUAAUUCCAAGUUCAAUUAAUUCCAAAACUUGUCAAUUCUUCAAUUAAGCUUUUAAUUUGGUUAAUAAAACUAAUUCAAAGUUUAAUUAAAUCCCCAAACUUCUAACCAUGUUGUCCUUACCCAAAAUUUAAUUAAUUCUUUAUUUAUUUCAUCAUUUUUUUAUUGUUUUUUUCUUUUUUCAUCAUCAUUUUUUUAUUAUCAUUUUUAGGAAAUAAAAUAAUAAUAAUAAUAAUUUUUAUUACAACAAUAAUAAAAAUUAUUGAUAAAAGAUUCGCUGGCGGAGAAUUUCUGUCGGUGAUUUUGUUGGUAAAUUAAUUACCAACGGAAUGAUAGUGUAAACACCGAUGGAAAAAUCCGUCAGUAAAAUGUAAAGAUUGUGGUAGUGACAAGAUUCCUCAAAAGAAGUAAUGGAUGCUUGUUUGUUUAGUUAGUAAGUUAUUUUUAGACUUAAGAUAAUUAAAAUAUUUUAUAAAUAGAGUGUUGUGUUUUUAUCCUACUACAUGUUGUCCUAAUUAAGGGUAACAAAUGGGUAAAUAUUGGGUAUAACAUCAAUUAUAUGAAGAUAUUUUAGUAAUCAAAAGAAGACUCAUCACUAUAGGUGAAUUAGAGAAAAUAUUUCAUAUAUUCACAAAUAAUAUUAAUUGUGAAAGGUAGAAUGAGAUUUGAAAAGAGUUUUAAAUCUUAUUUUAUAACAUAGUAUAAAAAUGGGACAACAUUACAAUUACUAUAGUGAAACAUCAUUUCCUUUUAUUAUUUGUAUAAUAUUUUUUUAAAAAACAAGUGUAAGGGAAAAAAUAUAAAAAAAAUUACAAAAUAAUGAAGAUAAAAACACAAAGAAAUGUUUAUAAAUUAAAUAGGCCAAAUUUAAAGUGUUAAAUAUGCCAAGUAUAAAGAGGGAAAAAUCUAACAAAAAUAUGUCUAAAAAACCCAAAAAAAUAUAUAUUUGUCAUCACUACAAUACCCUAUUUUUGGAUUAAAAUAAAAAUUGUCAUAAAUUGAAAAAAAGGUUAAAAUAACUCAAAAAUACUCAUAAAUUGAUUAUUAUUUUGUUCUCUUUAUUUUUUUUUAUGCGACUUUCUUUCUUCUCUCAAAUACAAUAACUCAAAAAUAAAUAAAAUAAAUUUUUGGAUUAAAAUAAAAAUUGUCAUAAAUUUUGUGUGAGGCAAGUAAUUAUUUUUCUAGUUUUACUUUUCAGUCCUCUUUCUUUAAGUUUUGUUUUUUAUGAUAAUUUAAACCUAAUUCAAUUUAAUUGGUGUGAAAUUAAAAGGAAAAAAAGGUUAAAAUAAAACAACAAUCAAAAUUAAACUGACCCAUGUCUUUGAUAAUAUUAAAGUACUAUGCUCUUCAGUGUUUAAUUUAUAAUUUUAUAUAGGUCAAAGUCUGUUCAUAUAUUAAUUGACUGAACGGUCCAAGACGACCACUACCUUAAUUUUGUAAUUGCUGUAAAAUCGUAAUGCUCUUCUGUGCAUUUUUAUAAAAUUCAAAGUUGGCGUCCCCUUUUCUUUGGUGGGAACUCCUCUUGUAAUUUCCUAAUGCUUCAGUAGGAACCAUGCCAUAAUUAAUUCGUAGACUUGACCCAUGAUCGGUCACUUUCGUAUUGAAUGAGGAUGGACCCUGUUUAUAUAAAUAUCCAGUUUAAUUAAUUCGUAUGGUUAAUUACUGUUUUUUAUAAAUAAAAUUACUAAGAUUAACAUGUUAUUUGAUGAUUUUAAAAAAAAAUUAAAAAAAAUUAAAAAUUUAAAUUAAAUAUUAUAAACGGAAUGGUUACCAAAUUAAAAAAUUAAAAAAUCAUUGUUGAUAAUUUGUAAUUGCUUUCACUUUCGUUGGUGCGAACUCCUCAUGUAAUUUCCUAAUGCUUCAGUAGUAACCAUGCAAUUAUUAAUUUGUUGACUUGACCCAUGAUCGAUCCCCUUUUAUAUUGAAUGAGGAUGGACCCUGUUUAUAAAAGAGUAUUGUUCUCAUGACCACAUAAUAUAUAUAUAUAUAUAUAUAUAUAUAUGCAGGCAGAGUAACAAAACAAAACCAUUAUUUUAUUUCCCUGCAAGUUUUCUCUCGAUGUUGAGUGGAAUAUCAAAGCACCUUUCCGGUGCAUACCCAGCCCUUCUUCUUCUAGUCAUCCUAGCCGGUCACCAGAGUUGCAGUGCUAGAAAGAACAGUGUUUACUGCGCUCCAUCUUCUUGUGGCAACAUCCAUAAUAUUAGCUACCCUUUUCGACUAAGCACCGAUCCCAAUAGCUGCGGCGACAAAAAAUAUGAACUUACUUGUGAAAACAACCGCCCAGCUUUAUACUUGAAGAAGAAGACGGUAAAAUAUUACGUUCAGGCAAUCCAUUACAGCAACUUGACGAUUCGAGUUGUGGAUGCUGAUGUUCAGAAGGAUGAUUGCUUCCCUAUCCCUGGUCAUUCUUUAAGCAUAGAUGACAACAGGGAUUAUCUUCCAUAUGAUCUUGGCAUGUUCGGUAAAGAUAUUUCGUACUUUGUAAGUUUUAUUUUUAUAAGUUGCCCAAAGCCAAUACCGAGUCCUUCAGACUUUAUUGUGGAUGCUUCUUCAUGCAAAAAUGGUAGUACUCUUUUUAAUUCCCACAAUAUGGAGGGUUAUUCCAGCUAUGUCUUUAUUGGUGAUUCCAGCUAUGAUUCCUUUGGGGACAUACCGAACUCGUGCCAUGUAAAUUUGACGUAUCAAGCGCCUUUCACUUUUCAGCCGAAAAAAGGGACCAAUAUUUCCUAUAUAGAAGUCCGCGAUUGUAUUCUAUAUGGGUUUGAUCUUUCAUGGUCUCGGUACUGUUGUCAUUUUCGGAAAGAGAACCCCUGCAACCUUGAUGAAGCCUACAUAAGCAGUUAUUGCUGUACGUUACUCUCUCUCUCUCUCUCUCACACACACAAACGCACGCACAUAAAUAUCUCAACGACACAGGUCGCUGAUAAAAAGAGGAAAAUAAUGCGUUACCGUUUGUCUUAAGCUCUUCUUAGCUCUUUCAUUCAUAUCAGUUGCAUAAUUAUUCUCUUAAAAGGAUUUUAAUUAAUUUCAUUAAUUUAACUCUUUCUUUUUUAUAUAGAUAUGUAUGUACCGAUUAAGCGGUUCUCCAAUCCAAAAUGCAAUAAGUAAGUACCUCUCUUUCACAUCACAGUUAUAUUUUUUAUAUCAAUAUGCGAAUAUAAACAUGAUUGUCAUAUUUAUUUUAUUUUAUAAUGUGUUUGUUUUAUUUGAAAUAAUAAUAAUAAUAAUUAAUUGUUAUUAUUAUUACCGAUAUACGGAACAUUAACAUAUAUUAUCCAAUGGGCAAUGAACAGAGUACUUGGCUUGAUUUUUAAACACCCCCUCCACAGUUAUAUAUAAAAUUAUCUCUCUAGCUCUCUCUCAAAUUUUAAAAUCAUAUACCUCUUUCUUACAGCCUUAUUAAUUUUUUAAAAAACAAAUAUUUUCUCUAUCAUAAUUUUAAUUUUACACCCCAUAUAUUAUAUAAAACUGACUUUCACCUUGUAAUGAUAAUUUAAAAUAUUAUAUACAAUUCCUCAACCUUUUUAAAUCAAAAUGCAUAAUUAUUUUAUAUUCCCCAAUAAAAAGUAAUAUCGGUGUUACUUAGUCUCUUUAUUAUUUGUUUGUUUUCCUUGCAGGUUUUCUGACUAAUCAUAUACUGCGUUACCUUGGUAAGAACUUUUCUAUUUAUCUAAAUUCUUGAACAUAAAACCUAAAUAAGGUUCAAGAAUUGGAGAGAGAGAUCUUUAGAAACUUUGCUAUUACGUAAACUCUCUAACUUUACUACCUAAAAUCUUGAAAAAUUGCAUGAAAGAUGGUGAAAGGUCGAGUAUGAAGUAAGGAUAUCCACUAUAGAUGCCUAUUUCUAGCUAAGUUUAAAGUAAAUUUAAGAAGUUUUGCCGUUAAAAAUAUAUGAAUUUGUUGAAAUGAUUAGCUCUCAGAAUGAUAAUCCACUCUGUUAAUAAUGAAUUCAAUUCGAUAAUUUUUUAGUACAUUUCUUCUUAAUUUUGCUUUAAACUCUCCAAGUCUAUUUCUAGCUAUCAGGUUAUUUGAAUACCAAAACACACUUGCAUGCUCUUUCCUUCAAUUAAAUUUAUGAAUUAUAAGAUUCUUAAUAUUGACGCAAUGUUUUCUUUUCCUUGAAAUGUAGUCGUAUGGCCGCUCAACAGAUAUUUACCAAGUGAGGAGUCUUUAUUUAUUAUGGUUCAAUUUUGCAAAAAGAAUAUACGAAUUAGAUUUGAUACAUUUAUCUCAAAGGCAUUUUCUUUAUUUUUUUGUAUACCAAAAUCUUAGACACUGACAAAUGACAAUACCUUUUCUUCUUCUUUAUUUUUUUGAUGAAUAUAGCUAACGACUGGAUAUAUUAUCACAGCUCGGGUGAGUUAAUUUAUUUUAUCUUAUUAUAACACUUUCUAAGAAGAGUAGUACUAAUAAAUUUAUUUGUGAAUUGUGAUAUAUGAAAACGAAACAUAUAUAUAUAUAUAUAUAUAUAUCCUAAAGGAUUUAAAUAAUGCCCUUUUCGUUCAUGCUAGCCUUUUCAUUUACAUAUUUAUAUAUAUAUUUCACAUAUUUACUUUGCUCUUUUUCAGUUAUUAUAGGGCAACCGCGAUUGGAAUUGAACUUUUAUAAAAAUGGUGAGGAUUAAUUAGCUCAUGCAUGUCUUAUUUAGGCUAAAUUACAAUCUUUCUCUUACAAAAAUGGAUGAGAAAGUUUUCUUUUAUUCGGUUCAAAGAGUUAAUCUAAAUAUUUGGUGUUAGUUUAGAUAAUUAUACUUAAUUAUAUAUUAUUUUAAUUAGAAGUAUCAUAAAAUUAUUACAAAAACCAUACAAAAGUUUAAAAUUAUUACAAUUCAAAAUUCCUUAAUAAUUUUUCUUGAAGGGAUGGUUUUAAAAACUUUUAAUGCAUAUAUAUUGGGUAUAAAUAGAAUUUUUUUUUUAAUAUUUUAUUUUCCUUAUAAGAGGUUAUUAUAAUUUAAUUAAGAAUCUUACAAUUGCUAAAAUAUGAUGUAUAAACUAUGUACAUUUUCAUAUGAUUAUACAUGCAUUGUUUAGAGCAUGAGAGUAUCGAGAUAGAAGUUUUUUUGAAUUUAACAGAGAUUAUUAGUAAGUUUAUCCAUAUAAUCUUAUUUUAGUCCUUAUCUAUUCUUGGUUAUAAUUAUUACAAUUUUAGUUUCUGUCUUCAAAUUAGGAUUUUGUUGAAACUUUCUUGGAUUUUGUGUGUCCAAGGCAACUAUUCAAAGUGACUGUCAAAAGCAUUGCCUUUAUGUAAUAUUGCUUGUGUUUCUUAGUUUCUAUUUGUUUUCAUUCCCUUCAUGUAUUUAUUUGGCAGGACCUAAUUCUUAUCCUUAUACAACGAAGACCAUCACUUCGGAUGCACUAAGCAUUUUCAUAGUUUUGCUCUUUACCCUACCUGUGCUCAUCGGUAAGUGUUUUCUUUUGCUAUCUUGGAAUAACUGUGAACCAUUAAAUGUAUGUAUAUAUUAAGAUACAAAAUCUUUAAAAGAUAAUAUCAAUUUUAGAGAUACAUAUUUAAUGGUUUCAUCCAUGCAUUACCUUUUGCUCAUUUUCAUCAUUUAAAUUGUUAAAAAUAAGUCUUUCAAAUUUAAAUUCCUCAAUUCAAUUCUAAUUACUUAUUUUCUUGCAACCAAUGUCAAUUUUUCAAUUAAAUAUGGAGAAGUGUCAAAAAUUUAGAAAUGCAAAGUUACCAAAAAUAAAAGAAAGAUAAUACAAAUUAUAAAAAAUAACAAAUGGGAAACAUUAGGGAAAAAAAUCAAACUUAAAAUCUCUAAAACUCUUAGAGACAAAUUAAAUACUAGAUUAAAAUGGAAAAAAUAAAUUGUAACCCUUCAUUGAAAUUUUAAAAUGGACAAUGAAUGUAUAUUAAGAUUCGAAACCAUUAAGUGCGAUAUUAUCUCUAAGUAUUGGUACUUCAAUGGUUUCAUCCAUUAUCUUUUGCAUAUCUAAACAAUUAUCAAUUAAAAAUAGAAAAAAUAAAUUGCAAAGCAUCUAGUAAAAAAAGAAGAAAUGGAGUAUUUAAUUAUUUUUUUAAAUAUUAAAAAAUAAAAAAUGUAAAUAGAAAAGAAUGACUUAACAUAUUUUAUUUUUCUUAUUUUCUCUGUUAUGAAAAAAUAAUAUUUACAAUACUCCAUGGUUUUUUUUUCUAAUGGUUUGUCAAUUUCAUUUUUCAAUAUAAUUUUUUUAUUCAAAUUUAUCUCAAUUUUCAAAUUUUGAAAUGUUUUUCUAAUAUUUCUCAAUUCUUGAUUUUAUAAAAAAUUUUAAUUAUUCUUUUUUUUAAAACAAUUAUAGGUGUAAAAUUCUAUAUUAUUGGCAUGCGUUGACAUUUAAUGGAAGCAUUGAUCAAAUCACAAUAGAGAGAUCACAUUAAAAAAUAUCUAGAGUAAAGGGACUGAACAAAUAAAAAAAAAAAUUAAAAAUAUCAAGAAUGGAGCUGUGAAAUAUACAAUUAUUUCAUUGUUUAUUAGAGCUCUGAGUUUAAAAUUAAUUAGAGGAUUAGGAUGGAAUUAAAAAAAUGAAUUAAAGUUUGAGGACUCAUUUUAGUUACUGUUCUAAGAAAUAAAGAGAGAUAUUUUAUAAGUUAAUGAAUAAAAUUACAAAAUUUAAAAACAACAUAUAUUUGCAAGAAAAACUUGAUAUAACUUGAUAUAUAUAUAUAUAUAUAUAUAUAUAUAUAUAUAUAUAUAUAUAUUAAUGUUUUUAUGUUUUGAUUUUUCCCUCAAAUCAAUGAAAUCUUAAUUAAAUUUUAUUUGGUGAUAAGAAUUUCAAAUUAAAAAAAAUCGAUGCUUUUGUGGAUACAUGUUUGAAUUAAGAUUUCAUUUAGAAAAAAAAUUUACAUGGCAAUCUAAUAACAAAUAAUAUGUUUCCAUAAUUGAUUAAUGUUCUUAUAAUGUCUAUAUGCAGGGAUAUAUCAUACAUUAUUAUUCAUUUGUGGGCUUCCAUGUCUCAUAACCUUAUUGGUCUACAAAUGGCGAAGAAGGCAUUUAUCAAUGUAUUGUAAGAUUGAAGAAUUCUUGCAAAGUCAGGAUCAUAAUCUCACACUUAUAAGGUACUCUUACUCGGAGAUUAAGAAGAUAACUCACGGAUUCAAUGACAAGUUAGGUGAAGGUGGUUAUGGCUCGGUGUACAAAGGAAAGCUUCGUAGUGGCUGUUUUGCGGCUGUAAAAAUUUUGCGCAAAGAAAAAGGUAAUGGGCAAGAAUUUAUCAAUGAAGUUGCAACCAUUGGAAGAAUUCACCAUUGCAAUGUGGUGCAGCUUAUAGGCUUUACUGUUGAGGGCUCAAAGCGUGCCCUUAUAUAUGAGUUCAUGCCUAAUGGAUCUCUUGAAAAGUAUAUUUUUUCUAGGCAAGGUACCAUACCGCUGAGCAACCAGAAAAUAUAUAAAAUUUCUCUUGGGGUGGCUCGUGGCAUUGAAUAUCUACAUGAAGGUUGUGACAUGCAGAUUUUGCAUUUUGACAUCAAGCCUCACAACAUUCUUCUCGAUGAAAAUUUCACUCCAAAAGUCUCAGAUUUCGGACUUGCAAAAUUAUAUCCAACUAAUAAUAGCAAUGUGUCCCUUACUAUGGCUAGAGGAACGAUGGGAUACAUGGCUCCUGAGUUAUUUUACAAAAGUAUUGGAGGUGUCUCUUACAAAGCUGAUGUCUAUAGUUUUGGGAUGUUGUUGAUGGAAAUGGUUGGUAGAAGAAAAAAUCUGAAUGCAUUGGCAGAUCAUUCAAGUCAGAUGUACUUCCCUUCAUGGAUUUAUGACCAGGUUAAUGAAGGAAAGGAUAUACUUGAAGAUCAAGCGACAGAGCAGGAAAAGAACACAAUAAAAAAGAUGACUAUAGUGGCAUUAUGGUGCAUACAAUUGAAGCCUAUUGAUCGUCCAUCGAUGCAUAGAGUUGUACAGAUGCUUGAAGCAGAUAUUGAAUCUCUACAAAUGCCUCCUAAGCCUUUUCUCGUUCCACAACAGACAUCAAAUGAUGAUAGGAUUAAUAUGGCUAAUCCAACAAGUUUAAGAGAUUCAUCGAAUGUUUGUAGCGUUGAUUCUUCAUAUCAAUUUGGUCGUUGAUAGAAUUAAGUAAUAUGUUAAUUUUGUAUGCCUUAACUAUCUGAAUUUUGAUGAUAGUCAUGUUUGUUGUCGCACGCGUGCAGCGUCGCGGCGAUCGCCCACCACCCCCCAUCAUCGAGUGUGGUAAGUCUAUCUAUUGUGGAAAAUAUGGUGAGACAAGGAAUUCUUUGUCUCUUAGCGGUGAAAAAUGGAGUAGGAGUCGCCACCUAGUAUUUUGGUUACUAAGAACCCUAACUGGUCUCAGAGAUUGGGUACGGAGACUGGUUGCGUAAAGGAAAUGUAUUAGCUCCCCAAAUACACCCUACCUAAGGUAAGCUGCAUUGUUUUAUUAUCUAAACAAUUCUAAGGUCUUAUCAUGUUGGUCCGUCUAGGGUUCAAGAAAAGCCCUUCUCAAUAAGGAGGUUCUUAUCUUUUGGGGUAAAAAUCUAACCGGUCUAAUAUCUAUAAAGGACUACCUUUUUAAUAUCGGGAAUACAUUUUACGUAUAAAUUUGUAAUCCCAGACAUUAAAACAAAACAAAAUAUUUUUUUGAAAUAUUGGUCACGUUCUCAUGACUUUAAUAAACUGGUUAUUAAAGCCAAAAUGCAUGCUAAAAUAAUAUAUUUUUUUGAAGUUUUCUUUGUUGUAUAAAAAAUAAAAUUUGAGUUUUUCUUUUAGCUUUAAGAGACUUGGCUGUAUGCCUAAAGACAAAAGUUUUUUUUUUGAAAACCGGGUAUUUUUAAUACUGGAUUUGUAUUUUUAUAAUAUAAAAAUACAGACCAAUCUUAGUCGAAAUGACGUAGAAAAAUCCUUGGAAAAAUCACAAUUUAAAUAUAUAUAUAAAACACACAAGAACAAAAAAAAGAAAAAAAAUAAUAAAUAAAAUAAAAUGGACUGGGCUAGGCCUGUUGAUUAGUACUUAAAAGUGCAUAUUUAUCAAGGUUUUAUAUCAUCAUUUUGCACUUAAAGUAUCAAUAACUCCUUAACUAAAGCAUGUUUUAUAAUAACAAGUCUAAUACUAUAAAAUGCCUUAAUAUAUGGUAAAUGUUCAUCUUAAAUGCAGGCCAAUCACAUAAAUCAAAGGAUUGAUUGAUGAGUUCAAGUAUGGAAAUUGAAAGGACACAGAGACGGCCAAACUUAGAAAAGAGAUGUUGGUGCAGUCCAAACUGGAACAUUGUUCGGUAAUUGGGUCAUAUUUCGAGUUCUAGAUGUCCAAAUGACAUCAAAUGUUAACACAGAUUCAGUAAGACAUAGUCCUACAACUUUCAUGUUUUCAUCAAGAUCUAAGAAGGCCGUUUUCAAGUCCAUAUUAUAGCAACAACGGAGAAGUUCGAAUCUGUCCUGCAGCCCAAACACCGUUCAGUGUUUAGCCCAUAUCUAGAGUUCUAGAAGUCCAAAUAACCUCCAUUUUUUUUUUCCUGGAAAACUGAUUCAAUUUCCUACAACUUUCAUGUUUUCCAGUGGACCCAGUUCGAAUGGUAGCAUUUUGUUUUUAUUCAGACAAGAAGAUAAGAAUUUUCACCAAGUUAAAAGUUGGCCACCCACUCAACAAUUAGUCAUCAAAUCAAUAAUUCUGAAUUUUGGCCUAUAAAAGGAGGCAUUUGCCAUGUAUUUGGGGGCUUGGUUGUUCAGAUCAUUCAUGCUCUUUAUUUCUCUCUUUAUAGUUUUUGUAAUUUUUAAGUUUUGCUUUCAUUAAUAUCUUGUUUAUGCUUUUCAUUUUCUUAGUUAACUUGUAUCUUAUUUAUGUUCUUGUUUUUUUUAUUUAUGUUUCUCUUCUUCAUUAUGUUUAGCUAAGUUUAUUAUGUCAAGGUAAAAAGGUUACACUAAUGGUGUAAGAAUAAGUAUGGUGUAAACUCAACAUGGACCUUAAUGUUUAAUAUUAACAUGUCUUAUCUUUUUAUCUUACUAAUUCUUAAUACCUUGCUUGUUAAAUGGUUAAUCUAGAUUUGUGUUGUAUAACACUUGAUACAACAAAUGCUUGGCACUCUCAUAGCUCAAUCGUAUGGUAUUAUCUACACCUGAGCUAUGAUGAUUUGUUGUUAACAUCAGUUAACAUCAUGAAUUCCUGACAAUAUUUAAAAGUUUGGUGUUAUGUAAAUAAGAUAAUUAAUAUGAUCAUGUUAAUAAUUUAUAAUGAGCUAUUAAUGAGAAAUCAUCCGAUUGGAACCUCCUUUGUGUGUGGUUUCCAAUUGAAUAACAAGAGUUUAUACUAUACUUGUUUGUAAUACCAUUAGUGGAUCCUCUAACCUUGACAUUUGUUUUUAUCAUUGUUUAAUCCUUACAUUAAUCUUUCAUCUCAAAGUUCUCAUUAAUUUCUUCAUAUUCUUCUUUUAUUAUUAUUAUUAUUAUUACUAUUAGUAUUAGUAUUAGUAUUAUUACUAUUAUUAUUAUUAUUAUUAUUAUUAUUAUUUUGUUUAUAUUAUAUAAUAUAUCUCUUUGAUCUUUUCAUAAACUCAGUAUAUAGGCUGGAAACCUGUGACCCGAUCUUUUAGAUCAUUCUCAGGUAUAACAACACCACGUACUGAGUAUUAUUAUUAUUAUUAUUACUACUACUAUUAAUAUUAUUGUUAUUAUUAUUGUUGUUAUUGUUGUUGUUGUUGUCUUGUUAUUUAUAAUUUAUACAAUUAACCUCUCUGUGGUUCGACGCCGGUCUUGCUGGGUUAUUUAUUACUUCGACACUCCUGCACUUGGGAGAAGACAUCAAUCUUUUGGUCGUGUCACCUGUAUUGGUUCAGCCAUAAGGCUGGACUCAACCCAGCCGUGUGGGCUGGGCUGAUGUUCCAGCCUUUAGUUAACAGGGCUAGACUCAACCCAGCCGCGUGGGCUGGGCUGAUGUUCCAGUCCGUAUAAAACAGGGCUGGACUCAGCCCAGCCGCAUAGGCUGGGCUGAUGUUCCAGCCCGAAGCAAAAAGAGCUGGACUCAGCCCAGCCAUGUGGGCUGGGCUGAUGUUCCAGCACGUUGUAGAAGGAAAAAAACACCAUGACUGGUUUAAUUAGCCGGUUAUUAUGCGCAUGCAUGGUAACCGGCUAAUUAUUUUCUUCUUGCAUGUAGAACGGGCACAGUGCACGUUCUAUAGGCAAGAAGAUGAUUAAUGACCGACGUGAGGAGGGGAAGGCAAUUUACCUGAGGCGAUGAUCUUGAAUGGCUGAGCUGAUGGUGGUGCUGGUCAUAGUUAUUAAACCCGGUUCAGGAGUUGACCCGGCCAAAGGACCGGGUCCCGGGUUAUAUGGGUCCAUCCGGUUAACCCGGGUCAACCCAUAAAACCCAGGUUAUUUACUUAUUUAUGGGGUCAGGUGGUUAAAGAGAGAAAUGGAAAAGGAAAGCAAUUAUAAAGAGGUGAAGUGGGACCCAAUGUGGCGAGAAAACAUCUUUUCCCUGCAAAUUCCUCUGGUUUCUACAUGCUUGAAAACAUUAGCGAGAGAGAGAGAGAGAUGUUAAAGACUUGAUGAUGAUAAUAAAGCCUCUGGUGCUGGUACUGUACCUAUUGCCUCUCUCUCUCUCUUGAAAUUGCGAGUUUGGUCCCAUUUAACCUUCAAUUUUUUUGAAGUUACAAUCAUCAAUCGUCAGGCUAGAAGAAAAAAAUGGAACCCAACGCCAACCCUCAAGAUCUCCAAACCCAGAUCGACCUGCAAUCGUCUCAAGCGAACCACCUCCAAAACGCCGGGUCUCGCCCGGGUCCGUCCCGGUCGGCCAGGUUCCGGGUCGACCCUCCGGGUCGGCCGGGUUUUGCCGGGUUUUGCACUGGCCGGUCUUUUGACAAACCCAGACCGGUCUAGCCACCGGGUUGGACGGGUCCCGGGUCGACCCGCCAGGCCGGGUCGGGUUUGAUAACUAUGGUGCUGGUUACUGUUCUCGGUGGCGCUGCGGUGGCGGUGACGAUGAAACCUAGUGACAGCAGCGACGCUUCUUCUCCACUGUGCAAAGGCACCAAUCGGUGUUUUCUUCCCCGCCGGUUUAUCCCUUCUAUUCCUUUUCUUCCUUCUCCCCGUUUGUCUCUCUCAGUUUCCCAGUUGAUAUCCUCUGUUUUUGUGUUUCUCAGUUUCGGUUGUUUCUCUCUCAACACUAUCGGUUUCUCUCUCUCUUGGUUCCCCUCCCGUUUUCUAUCAUUUUUCCUCUUUUCCUCUUCCUUUUUUCCCCCUAGUUUGGGUGGUAUUUAUAGGGGUAGGAGGAGCGAGGUUGACCCUGCCCCGUACCAUCGCUGCCAGUGCAUGGUGCGCACGUUGCCUACUCUUCCCUAGCGCUGACAGCGGUGGCCAAUAGAGGCGUUGCUUGCGGGGCACGGUUGCUCUAGCAUCUCAUCAUGAGAUGGGUGGCGUCUGACUUCGGCUCUAAAGCAUGUGGGAGGAAGAGACAAGAGGAGGAAAACAAAACUUCUCUUCCCCUGCUGCACGUCCAGGGGAAGAAGAAGAAGAAACAGUGCCGUCUCAAAAUGGCACCAUUUCGUCUCUUUUUUUUAUGCAUGAAAUGACGUCGUUUUGCUUAAAAUGUACCAUUUUAUUUAAAUGAAAACUGGCACCAAAGCGCCAGAUUUCACAUCAAUCCUUCAAUUUGUGUACGUUUUGCAUUUUGGUCCUUGGUCUAUCAAAACAUAUAUUUUUUUGCAAUCAACCCUCCAUAAAUUCAAUUAAAUCCUAAAAUAAAAUUUAAUUGAGUUUAUCAACAUUUGAUUUUGUAUUUUUCUUCCUCAAAUAAAAUUUUCUUAAUCAAUAGGGUUCUCAUCGGUCAAUGAUAUACUGUCAAAUUUUAAUAUUUGUAUUAUGAACCUCCUAAACCAAUUUUUGACCAUUUUUUGGGUGCUUUGGCAUCCUCUUUUCAUUGAUAUCUUUUUGUAUUAUUUAUUUAUUAUCUUUAUAUAUUUAUUUUUAUUUUCUCUUUUCUUGUGUGGGGACCCAAAAAUGAGUUACAACAUUUGUUAAAACUUGCAAUUAACUGGCUUACAAAGCAUCCAAUAUACACUAGUCAUGUAUCAUUCUCACAUUAAAAUUUGAAUUUCUAAAAUUACUUAAUGUUUGUUCCAUUAUGACAUUGUUUCUUUUUAUUUUAUUUUAUUUUAUUAAAAAUAACUUGUUAACUCUCUUAUAGUUAUUCAAAACUUUAACUGGUCUUUAGAGAUCUAUGAUAAGGGACAUGUUAAGUCUAAGAAAAGAUAAUAUCAUCCUUGAAACAUCCAACCUGAAAUAGAUUGCAUUGUCAGUCUUGUCUUCAUUGCUAAUAGUUUGUUAUGCUAUACUAUUAUGAUUUAUUUACAAGGUGAUGGUGAGUUCAUCACAAUAUAUUAAACUUUUUAUUGAGGGUUCAAACCUAACCAUUUUAAAGUCCAGUUGGUUAAUUUUGUCACUCUCAAUUACUUAGUGAAUUACCAAUUCUAAGUUGAUCAAUCCAAAUCACAACUCAAAUUAUAUCUAUGAAUAUACUAGUGAGCUUAUAUUAAGCUUAGUGAACCCAACUCAGAUCAACACUUCCAACUCUAAUGUAAUGUCUUAUACUUCUCUUAACAUUCAAAGUAACGGUUUGUUGUGAGUAUAUUUAUUUUAAGCAUAAAAAAUAAAGAACAAAAAACAUUUUUUUAUUUGAGAAAAAAAAAAAGACAAAUAAACUUGUCAUUAAGUUCAAAUAUGCAUGCAUAAUUUUUUUUUAAAUAACAUAAGAACAUUUUUAUUCAGAUGCGAAUGCAAAUUUUUUUUUAAAAAAUUAUAUUUUUAUACUAAAACAAGUAUUUUUAUAGAAUGCUAAAAUAUAUAAAAAAAUAUUUUCUUGCCUUUUUUUUUUUAACAAACAAACUAGGAAGACAAAUGCUUUAUUUUUUUUUAACAAUGAUAGAAUAUACAAAAAUGAUUAUUUUUGGAAGACUAAGUAAAGAACAAAAAACUUUUUUUUUUUAUUUGAGAAAAAAAAAGACCAAAGUUUGUUUUGUUAAAAUUUAGGUAUGUCGGUCUAAUGAGCCUUUUGAUUUUAACAAAAACUUAAUAUGACUAAUAAACUUGUCAUUAAGUUCAAAUAUAAAUGCACUAAUAUUUGUUUUUUUUAAAUAACAUACAAACAUUUUUAUUUAAAUGCGAAAACAAUUUUUUUAAAAAAUUUAUAUUUUUAUACUAAAACAAGUAUUUUUAUAGAAUGCUAAAAUAUGAAAAAUAUUGUUUUGCCUUUUUUUUUUUUAACUUAUAAACUAGGAAGACAAAUGCUUUUUUUUUUCUACAAUGAUAGAAUAUACAAAAAUGAUUAUUUUUGGAAAAUAAAAAACUUAACAUAAAACUUGAUGUUUUCCCCCCCUCUUGAACAUGAGUAUGCUUGACCCUAACCUAUCAAACCCUUGAAUGCAGCCCAAAACAAACCGGACCAAAUAAUAAAAACCAUGGCCGAAAACUCAUCAAUAUUUAUCAAGGAAAGUCUAUGCCCAGCCUAUUGUACAUUUUGAAACCUAAAAACACUAACCCACAGCCCCGUUACCUGGCCCAUAGCCCAUCACACACGGCCCAAAUUAGAAGCCGAACGAUCCAAAAAGAAGACGCACAUUAGCCCAUUGUCAUACAAAACCCCUAAAGCUCAUCUCUUUUACUGACCCUAAUAACAUAAACACGAAUUCACGCAGCAACCAGAGGCGUGGAAGGAAAGAAGGAAGAGCAAAGAAACUACUGCAACUUGAAACAAACAGGAUGCAAGCUUAGAUUAAUCAAAUUGGAACUUUUUCUAAAAAUCUCUUCAAAAAUCAUUGCAAUAGCAAAAUGAAAUCAACUCCAUUCUCUCGUCAUUCUUCUAUUUAUACAAACAAAAACACCCAUAAGCGGAAUGAAUUCAUGGAAGCAAGCUGAAGUGUUAAGAACAAAAAAAAAAAAAGGAACAUACCUGGAAAGAUGAUGGUACUACUUGUUGUAACUCAUUUUUGGAUCCCCGGACAAAAAAUAAUAAAAUAAAAAAAAAUAAUAAUAAAUCAAAAAAUAUUAUCAAAAAAAUAUGACAGUGAAAAAGGAUUUCAAAACACUCAAAAAAUGGUCAAAAAUUGGUUGAGGAGGUUUAAAAAUACAAAGAUUAAAAUUUGGCAGUAUUUUAUUGAUUGAUGAGAGCCCUGUUGACAAAAAAAAUUCAAUUUGAGAAAGAAAAGUCCAAAAUCAGAUGUUUAUGGACUUAAUUAAAUUUUAUUGAAGGUUUAAUUGAAUUUAUGGAGAGUUUGAUUGCAAGAAAAAUUGAUUUUUGGAGUUAAUUUGGGUUUUAAUUUGAAGAAAUUAAAGUUCUGGGGUCAAAUUAAAGUUCUUGGUCAAAUCAGGGGCUUAAUUUCAUAAAUAUUGAAGUUUUAUGGCCAAUUAAGGACUUAAUUGAAGAAAUCCGAGACCAAGGACCAAAAUGCAAAACACGCGCAAAUUGAAGGCCUGAUUUUGAAUAUGAUGCUUUUUGGCGCCAAAAUCCAUUUAAAUAAAACAACAUGUUUUGGGAAAAACAUCGUCGUUUCAUGCACUGUUCACAAAAAAAAAAAACUUGAAACGAUGUCGUUUUGAAUAGCACCCAUGUCUUCUUCUUCCCCUGACACGCGAAGUAGGGGAGGAAGAACAAGAUUUUUUCCUCUGUUCCACCGCCAACUCUCUCUCAAAAAGACGCCGACAACCCACUUGCUUACCACGUGGUGGAAGAAUGGAUGGGACGUACCCCUUAGGCGGUUCGGGGCGGCGACAUAAUGGCCGCCCCAGCCACUUCUCCUUCCCCUGUUUUUGCCUAUAAAAACAGGGGAAGGGGAAGACUAAAAAAAGGAGAGUGUACAGAAAGGGAAGAAGAAAACAAAAAAAAAAACUAACCUUUCUUUUUUCUCCUGCUUCUUCUCCUUUGCUGCCAUGCCUCUACUGUUCACGUAGCAUGUGAAUAGUGGAGGGCACUGUUCACACAUGUAGAUGGGCCAGGUUCGGCCUAGCCCAUGCAUUUGGACCUCGUUUGGCCCAUUUCAAAUAUAUAUAUAUAUAUAUAUAUAUAUAUAUGUUGUGAUUUGCUCACCUUUUGAUUUAUGUCUUUUUACUUAAUAUCAAUCUGUAUUUUAUGUUGUUAAAAAUACAAAAUCCGAUAUUAAAAUACCAGGUUUUCGUCAAAACUUCCAGAAAUACAAAAAAAUUUGAAAAAAGAGAAAAAUGUUUUUGUGCAUAUGGCCAAGUGUCUCAAAGCUAAAAAUCAUAUUGUAUUUUUCAUACAUAAAAAAAAAAAACAAUGUUUUAGCAUGCAUUUUGACUUUAAAAACCAGUUUAUUAAGGUCAAGAGAACAUUGGCCAAAAUUUCAAAAACAACAAAAAUUUUAUUUUGUUUUGUUUUGUUUUAAUAUCAGGGUUUAUGAAUUUAUACGUAAAACGUAUUCCUCAUAUUAAAAAGGUAUUUUAUUUUGACGACUUAAAACAAUUAGGUUUUUUACCUAAUAAGAUAAGGAUCUCCUUACAAAGAAGAAUUUUUCUUGAACUGGAGACAGAUCAACAAAUAGAAACCACAAUAAGAUCUUAGAUUUUAUCAGACAUUAAAGCAAUGCAUCCUACCUUAGGUAAAAUGUAUUUGGGGUGCUAAUACAUUUCAUUUACGCAACCAGUCUCCAUACGUAAUCUCUAAGACUAGUUAGGGUUCUUAGUGACCAAAAUACUAGGUGGCGAUUCCCAUUCAAAUUUUUCACUGAUAGGAGACAAGAAUUCCUUGUCUCUACACAUUUGCCAGGUAGACCCUUACAUUUUUUCCUUGAGGAUGGAUGAUCUUCGCGACGCCGCACAUGACACGACUAAAAGAUUGAUGUCUUCUCCCAAGUGCAGGAGUGUCGAAGUAAUAAAUAACUCGGCAAGACCGUGGUCGAACCAUAGAGAUAUUAAUUGUAUAAAUUAUAAAUAACAAUACAACAACAAUAAUAACAAUAACAUUAAUAGUAAUAAUAAUGAUAAUAAUAAUAAUAAUAAUAAUAAUAAUAAUAAUAAUACUCAGUACGUGGCGUUGUUAUACCUGAGAAUGAUCUAAAAGAUCGGUUCAUAGGUUUCCAACCUAUAUACUGAUUUUAUGAUAAUAAUAGUAAUAAAAAUAAUAGUAAUAUUAAUAGUAAUAGUAAUAAUAGUAUUAGUAGUAUUAGUAGUAGUAGUAAUAAUAAUAAUAGUAAUAAUAAAAAGAAGAGGAGGAAGAAAUUAAUGAGAACUUUGAGAUGGAAGAUUAAUGUAAGGAUUAAACAAUGAUAAAAACAAAUGUCAAGGUUAGAGGAUCCACUAAUGGUAUUUCAAACAAGUAUAGUAUAAACUCUUAUUACUCAAUUUGGAAACCACACACGAAAGAGGUUUCAAUCGGAUGAUUUGUCAUUAAUAGCUCAUUAUAAAUUAUUAAGAUGAUCAUAUUAAUUAUCUUAUUUACAUAACACCAAACUUUUAAAUAUUGUCAGGAAUUCAUGAUGUUAACAACAAAUCAAGUUCCUUUCAUAGCCUAGGUGUAGGUAAUACCAUACGGUUGGGCUAUGAGAGUGCCAAACAUUUGUUGUACCAAGUGUUAUACAACACAAAUCUAGACUAACCAUUUAACAAGCAAGGUAUUAAGAAUUAGUAAGAUAAAAAGAUAAGACAUGUUAAUAUUACACAUUAAGGUCCAUGUUGAGUUUACACCAUACUUAUUCUUACACCAUUAAUGUAACCUUUUCACCUUGACAUAAUAAACUUAGCUAAACAUAAUGAAGAAGAGAAACAUACAUAAACAAAACAAGAACAUAAAUAAGAUACAAGUUAACUAAGAAAAGGAAAGGAAAUGAAAAGCAUAAACAAGAUAUUAAUAAAAGCAAAACUUAAGAAUUACAAAAAAAUAAAAAGAGAGAGAGGAAGAGCAAGGUCUUGAUCUGAACAACCAAGCCCCUAAAUACAUGGCAAAUACCCCCUUUUAUAGGCCAAAAUUCGGAAUUAUUGAUUUGAUGACUAAUUGUUGAGUGGGUGGCCAACUUUUGACUUUGUGAAAAUCCUUAUCUUCUUGUCUGAAUAAAACAAAAAUGCUAGUAUCAGAACUGGGUCCAUUGGAAAACAUGAUAGUUGUAGGAAAUUGACUUACUGAUUUUGUGUAAAAAUAUGAGGUCAUUUUGACAUCUAGAACUCGAGAUAUGACCCAAUUACCGAACAGUGUUUCAGUUUGGACUGCACCAAUAUCUCUUUUCUAAGUUUGGCCCUCUCUGUCCUUUCAAUUUCCAUACUUGAACUCAUCAAUCAAUCCUUUGAUUUAUGUGAUAUGCCUGUAUUUAAGAUGAACAUUUACCAUAUAUUAAGGCAUUUUAUAGUAUUAGACUUGUUAUUAUAAAGCAUGCUUUAGUUAAGGAGUUAUUGAUACUUUAAGUGCAAAAUGAUGAUAUAAAACCUUGAUAAAUAUGCAUUUUUAAGUACUAAUCAGCACACGUGCGACAUUACUCUUGAAAAACAGGAAAAAUAUUUGUUUCAUUAAGAAAAGUAUGUCAAUAAUAUUUUUUUUUAUUUUUUAAAAAUUAUUUUUGAGAUCAACACAUUAAAAUGAUUUGAAAACAUCAAAAACAUAUUAAUCUAAAAUAAAAAUUUAAAUUUAAAUUUUUUCAAAAGCACUUUUGAAAAGCAAUGCCAAACAUGUCUAAGCUGUGAUUGGAGCAACACAUGGGUAAAAAAUCACCCUUUCCAUAUAUGUUUGCAAACCCAGAUUUUAUGCUAAUUUAAUAUGAAAGGUACCAAUUUUAGUCGAAAGAAGAAAGUAGUCUGUUUUAUGCCAACGUUUUGAUUUUGUAGAUUUUAUCUCAACAAAUCAAAAUAGAUUUGAUACAAUAAAAACUUAUUUUAAAACAUCAUCACUAAUGGAAUAAGGGUUGAAUAAGACCACAAAAGUAGGUUAAUUUUUUAUACAGAUUCAAUUUGUUCAAGAAUAAAAAAAAUACAAAAAUCUCUCACACGUUAAAAUUAAAAAAUUCAGAAGUAUUAUUCAUCAAUGGCUGCCAAAAUUUAAGUUACAUAUGUUUAAAUAGUUUUGAGAAAUUAACCCUAAUUGAUUUAUUAUUAUAUGCUGAAUUGAUCCACUUAUAAAAAUUAACUAAAAACUUUUACUAAGAAACUCAAACUCUAAUUCAAACAAGCCUUAGGCUAUAGCAAACAAAAAUAAAAAUAAAACUCAUAAAUCAUAGUCUUUAUCUGCCCAAUGAUCCUAAAAAUCAAUAUGUUAUUAAAUACCACCCAUUUUGUUUCCUUGUGUAAUUAGGAUGAAUAAAAAUUCCUUGUAAGAAAAUGAUUUUAGAACAUUAAUAAAUUCUAACCAUACUUAGAAAUUAUGUUGUAACUCAUUAAAGAUCUUCAUAGAAAAAAGAUUUUUACCAAAUAGAAAGUCUAUAAGUCAAAAAGAAAAUAAAUAAUAAAAUUUAGAUAGUCUGUUCUGACAUAUAUUAGAAGCCCGUACCGAACACCGAUUCACCUGAAAGUUUGCCUCAAUAUAAAAAAUUAUCUUUAAAAUUUUAUCAUAAAAUUUUAAUUCAAUUCAAUAAUUUAGUUUAAAAUUAUAUUUAAUAACGUAUAAUUAUACCGUAAUUUUACUAUAUAAUUCGAAUCUACCUUCCAUAAAUAAAUAAAAUAUUGAAGAGAGACUUUGGGACGCCUCACAUCACGGGUGACCACAGGAGAGGUGGAUGCAUUGGAAUUUUGAAUGCCAAGUCUGUCAGUAUUUUUUUAAAAAAACAACUAUAUAUGCACGUCGUUUAAGGACCACCCACAAGUUGGCCUACUGGUAUUUCCAUUUACAAUUUUGGGGACCAAGAACUAGCUACCUACUGAUUACUCCUUUCAAUGUUGACAACUGUCCAACUAUAGAUAUUUAAUCGGCUUAUUUAUUGUUAUAUUUUUAUUAAUAUAUGUGUUCAAAUAUGUGUUCAAGUAAGCUUGUGUGCACCUCGACUAAUUAUACGAGCUUUGAAAUUAACGACCAUAUAAACCUCUACUGACCAUCAAUAUUAGCAACCACAAGGCUCGAACCUGAAACCUCAGGAGGAGCAAACAUUUUAGUCCCAAGCUCUUACUAUUGGGUCAACUACUAGAUAAUUGGCUUAUUUUAUACCAUAUUGCAUGUGGCAAAGGCCAAAAAAGCAACGACUUUUGCUCAUAGAAAUGGAUAUAUAUAUACUUAAGGGGUAUAAUUCAAUAAGUUAAAUCUUAAGUUUGCUCUAUAAAAAUUAUUAAUUUAAGUUUCACAAACCUCAAAACUAAUAGAGAUUUAAGUUUGCUCUAUAAAAAUUAUUAAUUUAAGUUUCACAAACCUCAAAACUAAUAGAGAUUUAUAUGGUUAUUAACUCUAGAAUCUUAAUAAUAUGCGUAAAAGUUCCGGACACCUACAAUUAAAAAAGAUUGAUAUAUAUGAAACACCCGAUGCAAUGGGCUGCGUUCAAUUUUAUUUUCUCCCAUUUAGGAUUUUUGUCUAAUAAACACACUCAAAAUGCAAUCAUUUAGUGUUUGUUCGGUAAUAUAGUAAUUUCUGUGGUUAUAAUUGAAAAAAUAAAUAUAAAUUAUAAUUUAAAAAUUAUCCUGUGCUUUGCUUAUUCAAAUGAUUUUAGUAGGAUAACAUGUUUAAUAAAUAAGCAUGCAAUUGGGUAGUGUGAAACCAUUAAAUUACAAACAAGCAUACGAUCGCUUGCUAGUCAACAAUCGCUAGCUAGUCAAGCUUGAGACAACCUUGAAACUUCAAGAUUAUGUCAACUUGAUGUUUGUCAAGUUAGAGAUAAGUUCAUUGAUGUUGGAAUUUGAAGUCUCCUCCACUGAUCCUUGAAAUGAAAAUCACUUCUUCUUUCGAAAAAGCAAUCUCUUCUGUUUUCACACUUCCAUGUUCAUUAUCUUUUUAGCUGUAGAUUGCCACCUUCCACUACAUGGGCGGCAGGUUACUAAUUCUAAACAAAAGACCGUGUGUCUCUUGGCUUUCCGCGAGCAGUGAUUUUCCAUAUCCAAAAGCCAAGCCCUGUGGACUGCAAUUCAAUGUUCAAAUUUGAUGGCAAAAAGUAAUUUAAAUGAACCGGCAAAUAAUUCAGAUCUAGAUGCCAUCUUCAUUACUUUAGAUUCGUGUAAAGUCAAAUCAUGCCAAAACAAGAAGCUCAAUCAUGUCGACUAGCUUGACUUUACUAACUGGAAGCCAUAAAGAAGCUGCCCACCCCUUCUUAAUUUGGUAGGAGCUCUUCAUGUAAUUUACUAAAACAUAUGCUAUAAAACUCAUGUCCAAAGUGUAACAAAACGAUUGGUGUCCUGAUGUUCAGUGGAACAUUAAGGCACCUCUUUGGUGCAUAUGCAGCCCUUCUUUUUCUACAGAUCAUAGCCAUCCACCAUAGCUGCAGUGCUAGAAAGAACAGCAAUUACUGCUCUCCUUCUUCCUGUGGAAACAUCCAUAAUAUCAGCUACCCUUUUCGAUUAAACACCGAUCCCAAAAGCUGCGGCCACAAAAGUUAUGAACUUGUUUGUGAAAACCAUCGUCCAACUUUAUACUUGAAGACGGUGAAAUAUUAUGUUCAGGCGAUCGAAUACAGUAACUUCACUGUUCGACUUGUGGAAGCUGCUGUUCAGAAGGAUGAUUGCUUCUCCAUACCUCAUCGAUCUCUCAUCGCAUAUGAUAAUUGCAUCAGCUACAGGAACUAUCUUCCAUAUAACUUUGGGUUCGAUAACCUUCGCACCGACUUUAUGACCUUUAGAUUAACUUUUAUAACUUGCGAAAAUCCUGUACUGAGUCCUCCAGACUAUAUAGUGGAUGCUUCUUCUUGCAAAAAUGGAAAUUCUACUGCAUUAAAUUCUACGUUCAGCUCCCGCAAUAAGGAAGGUUACUCCGAUGUCAUGGUUGCUGCCGACUUGGUGAAGGUACCGGACUUAUGCCGUAUAAAUUUGAUCAAUUCUGCCCCUGGAUCUGUUAUGCCAGAAAACAUGACCAAUAUUUCCUACAGAGAUGUCCAUGAUAUUUUGUUAUAUGGAUUUGAGCUUUCCUGGUACUCAGCUUGUUGUGAUUCUGUCAAUGAUAUCCAGUACUGCAACUAUGAUAGUACAUAUUGUGAUUCAUACGGUGCGUUUUCUUCUCUCUAUCUCUCUCUCAGCUUACCUUAAUUUGAAUAUAGAUUUCAUAACAGCACAAAUCUCUCUAUUUUAUACUUGAUAAAAGAAGGUGUUUUAUGCAAAUCCAUGACCAUUGUCUUGUUGUUGUGACAUUGCUUAAAGCUUUAUCUUGUUCUGGGUUUAUUAUAAGUUAAUUGGCCUAGAUAUAUAUCUUCCCAUUGAUCAUACAUAUUUUCUUCUUCUUGUUAGCUCUUGGUGGCUUUGAACUAUUUUUGUUUUUUUUUCUUUCAAACUACUAGAGGUAGUGUAGCACAUGUGCGGCGUCGCGGCGAAAAACUAGUGUUUAUUUCCAUUUUCUUAAUCUACAAUGUAAAUCUAUCUAUAUCUAUGGGGAUACCAGCAAAUACUGUCUUUUAUUGGUAGAAAAUGGAAUGGGAGUCGCCACCUAGUAUUUUGGUCACUAGGAACCCUAACUGGUCUCAGAGAUUGGGUACGGGGACUGGUUGCGAAAAAGGAAGGUAUUAGCACCCCAAAUACGCCCUACCUAAGGUAAGCUGCAUUGUUUUAUUGUCUGAUAAAAACUAAGGCGUUAUUGUGUUUUCCUAGUUGUUGAUCUGUCUAUGGUUCAAGAAAAAUCCUCCUCGGUAAGAAGGUCUUUAUCUUAUCAGGUAAAAUCCUAAUCGUUCUAACGUCCAUACCAAAAUUUUAUUAAUAAUAUUUAGGAAUACGUUUUACGUAUAAAUUUGUAAUCCCAAAUAAUAAAAGAAAACAAAAAGAUUUUUUUUAGAAUUUUUGAAAUAUUGGCCUAGUUCUCAUGGCUUGAAUAAACUGGCUAUUAAAGCCAAAAUGCAUGCUAAUACAUAUAUUGUUUUGAAAAUUUUCUUUGUUGUGUGAAAAUAUGAUGUUAUAAUAUUUAUAUAUAUAUAUAUAUAUAUUGGAGAGACUAGGCCGUAUUUUAAAACAAAAAAAACAAUUUUUGGAAAAUAUUAUUUUUUUUUAUGCUUUGACGAAAAUCGGGUAUUUUAAUACUGGGUUUGUAUCCUUACGGUAUAAAAAUACAGCCCAAUAUUAAUCCACUUUAAUAAAAAUAUGCAGAAAAAUCAACAACAUUUUUAGGGAUUUUUUUGAAAGCAAAAACAUUUUUUAUUCUAAAAAUCUUUGAUGUUUUGACGAAAACCGGGUCUUUUUAACACUGGUUUUGUAUCUUUACGGUAUAAAAAUACAAACCAACAUUAAACUAUUUUGACAAAAAUAUGCAAGAAAAUCAACAAUAUUUUUUAAGAUUUUUCAAAAUAUUUUUUUUUAAUAUAAAUAUUUUUUAUAUAUAUAUAACAUAUAUACACACAUAUAUACUAUAAUUUAUAAUAAUAUAUAAUAUAUUAUAUUAUGGGGCUGGGCCGGCCCAAAUUAAUGGGCCAGGCUCAGCCCAAAAAAAAGGGUCGGGCCGACCUCGGCCCAAAAUGGAUUUGGGACGAAAUCGGCCCAACAAAACUUCAAAACGGCACCGUUCGGUCUUCUUCUUUUUUUUUUUUUUUUUUUUUUUAUUUUAUGUAUGAAACGGCGUCGUUUUCUCCAAAACGCGCCGUUUCAUUUUAAAAAAAGGCGCCAGAAAUAUGUUUUUUCAAAUCAGUCCUUAAUUUGUCCUCUCUUCUAUUAAGUCCUCAAAUCUAAUCCUGAUUUUUGAAAAACACUUCAAUCGUGUCCUUGCCAAUUUCGGUCCCCGCCCCCAUAGUUGGCCGCGUUUUUCACUUUGGUCCUUGGCCUCUGAUUUAUGCAAUUUAGCCCUUAAUUGAUUAAUAAACUUUCAAUUUCUUCAAUUAGGCCCCUGAACCGAAUAAUUGCAGCCCCUCCAUUUACGCGCCUCUUCCAAUUUGGUCCCUGGUUUCGGAUUUUCUUAAUUAAGUCCCUAAUUGGCCAUUAAACUUCAAUAUUUAUGCAAUUAAACCCCUGAUUUGACCCAAUAAAUUCCUAAAACAUAUAUUUUGGCCCUAGAACUUAAAUUUCUUCUAAUUAAAGCCCAAAUUGACUUAAAAAUCAAAUUUUCUUGCACUCAAAUCCUCUAUAAAUUCAAUUAAAAAUCCAAUUAAGUCCAUAAACCUCCAAAUUUGGACUUUUCUCCUCAAAAAUCAAAUUGUUUUAUCCACCAGGGCUCUUAUCAUUCAAGAAUAUAUUGUCAAAAAUCCAUCUUUGUAUUUUUAACCUCCUUGACCAAUUUUUCUGAUCAUUUUCUGAGCACUUCUGCCUCCUGUUAUUUUUCUAACCUCCUUUGGCUAUUUAUUUUAUUUAUUUUUAUGGGGACCCGAAAAUGGGUUACAACAGAUGCCCCCUCUUUAUAAAGCUUACGGAGUAGAGGUUUUGCGCAGUAAGAUUUAUAAAGAUAAACCAAAUCUGAACUCCCGAAACUGAUCUGGUUGGAGCUUGAUCGCUCUGAAACUUUGUCUUUACAGCAAUCCUCCUCAGCCAAAAAAACUAUGAUCAAAAUUUAGUCAUCUCGAGAUCCCUCCUGGCGAUCUCCUUUAACCAAAAAAACUUGGAAUCCUAUCUGGCGUUUCCUUUUAACCAAGGCUGAAAAAUGAAGUCCCUUCUAGCGACCUCCUUUGACCAAUAUCGAAAUGCGAGAUCCCUUCUGGCGAUCUCAAUCAACUUGGAAUCUCAUCUGGUGAUUCCUUUACCCACAACCAAAUACAAAAAUGCAUGUGUGGUCUCAUUAUGAUGGGUGACCUCCCGAGUGGAAAAGGGAAAGAGUGGUCUCAUUCUUAUGGGUGACCUACCCAGGGGGAAGAAUGGCCUCAUUAUUAUGGGUGACCUACCCAGGUAAAAAAAGAUGAAGAAUGGUCUCAUUCUUAUGGGUAACCUACCCAGAAAAAUAAUGGUCUUAUUGUAUGGGUGACCUACCCAAGAAAAAUAAUGGUCUCAUUGUAUGGGUGACCUACCCAAGUGGAAAAAGGAAGAGUGGUCUCAUUCUUAUGGGUGACCUACCCAGAAAAAUAAUGGUCUCAUUGUAUGGGUGACCUACCCAAGUGGAAAAAAAAAGAGUGGUCUCAUUCUUACGGGUGACCUACCUAGGGGGAAGAAAUGGUUUCAAUAUGAGGUCCCUUCUGGCGACCUUCCUUAAUGAAUGUCGAAGUACGAGAUCCCUUCUGGCGAUCUCAAAUAACUUGGAAUCCCAUCUGGCGAUUCUUUUUAUACAAAAGCUGAAAUUUAAAGGUCCCUUCUGGCGACCUCCAUCGAAAUACGAGAUCCCUUCUGGCGAUCUCAACAACUUGGAAUCCCAUUUGGUGAUUCCUUUUUACCGAAUGCUAUCGAUGUCCUUCCUGCUGGCAGGGUUUGAAAACCAUUAUCUUCUCUUCUUGUUGUUCUAGAAUCAACUCAAUGAUUCUUUCUUCAUCCAUAAUCUUGUUGGAAUGUGCUAAGAUCUCCUCCUGUAACGAUCCAUAAAAACAUAUAUGCAAAUGAUUUAUGAUUAGAUGCAAUGCAUGCAUUUGUACCUGGUUUUGAAACAUAGGCCCCAUCCUCUUCUUCUAGUUCAUGAGACUCCCUCUUAACAUGAACUUGCUUUUGAAGUCGUAUGCUGGAUUCAUCUCUCGUGUUGCCUAUCAUAUGAAGUCUUUGACUUUCUUCAAGUAGUCCUUUUCUUAAAAUGUAUGACUUGUAUUUGCCUCUUUGUCAUGCUUUUGUCAAAUGCUUUAGCUUGGUUUUCAAAUCUAUAGGCUUCCAACCAAUUUUAAACACGUAAAACUUUUCAUAAAACAUCUCGUCUUGCCCCUAGUGUAGGGGUGUGAUCCUAGUUCGGGUUUUUAUAUAGAGAAGAAAUUCAUUUAGCCAGUGAUAAACUUUUUUAGUGAGUGAAGAGAUAAUGAUUUUUUUUUUCAUUUCAAAAUGCACAUUGUUAUGGUUGAUAAACUCUAUUCUUUAAAAGACAAUUACAGAUGAUUAUAAAGUGACCACUUAAUCAUUUAUCCAUGCAAUUCAUUAUGCUAUCAAUGAUAGGGUUGUACUUUAGGGUUAGCUUUUCUUAAAUUUCAUAUUAAACCAUUUUAUGAUACUUUAUUUGUAACCACUCAAACUUGUUCAAAAAGUGCAUAAACUCAUCAUUUAUUUAAAGAAAAGGUAGGCUCAAAGACAAACACAAAAUCUGGCUGACAUCAUGAGCCCUGAUUGCCCACUAGAGAAAAUAAAAGCAAUGACAAAAGCAAAUGACAAAAACAUGCUAAGGCAAAUAAAGUUGUUUUACAUUUUGAAAACUACGAGAAGUUCUUGGGUCAACCCGUUCUGAAACUUCUUCUAGUGUGUGGAAAGUCAACCGAGGCAAUGCUUCAUCUUCCUUCCCCACUUGCGUUUCCUUGUCUUCUCCUUCGAUCUCGCCUUCUUAUUGACGAUUCUUUGACCAAGGUUUUCCAACCUUUAUCCCCUAUCACUUUUGUCAUGACCAGGCAAUGGAUUUGAUGAUAUUGGGUGUGUCUUCAAAUGACACCCAUCCUAUCUUGAUGAGCUUCAACAACUUGUUCUUGAAACGUAGCACGUUUCAAGACAAUGCCCGGGAAUACCAGCAUGGUACUCGCAAGUCAACUCGGGCUUAUACCAGAUGGGGAAUGGUGGUUAGUGGUAAUGUAGGGAUAGGAGCUAUUUGUCCAAUGCUCAGUAGUUUGGCAUAUAUGUCCUUCAGAGGCAUGGGUAAUGGCGGUAGUUGUUCUGAAAUGUAUCUUGUGUUUGGUCUUUGGUGGUUGUUUUGGGUGUUUGACUGGAUUUGCUCGAUUAAGGGAAAAAGGUUUGUUAAAGUUUAUGUGGGCCACAUGAGAGGUAGGUAUUUGUGGGUUAUAUGAAUCCGUUAUCUUGUCAUUGGACCCACCUUCGAAGUUGUUAACGGGACCUUUCAUUUUUCUUCCGAAAAAACCCUUUGUCUCCAAUGGCUCAAUUAUGCGUCCAGCUUUAAUCCCUUGCUCUAUUCUUUCCGCUAUGCGUACAACAUCAUAGAAAUGUUGAGAUGAGCUACCCAUUAAAUGCUCAUAGUAGGGUGCCUUGAAUGUAUUGGCGAACAAAGUCACCAUCUCCGUUUCUAUCAAAGGGGGUUGCACAUGCAUGGCCUCGUCCCUCCAUCUUUGCGCAUAAGCCCUUACUGAUUCUUGGCUUCUCUUUUCCAUUGACAUAAGGCUCGUUCGAUCUGGAGCAAUUUCCAAAUUGAACUUGUAUUGCUUAAGGAAAGCCUCAACUAAAUCCUUCCAUUUCUUGAUCUUGGCAUUAUCCAGCCUCAUGUACCAACUUAGCGCCGACCCCGAUAGACUGUCUUGGAAAAAGUAGAUCAGUAACUUAUCGUCAUGAAUCACCUCAGCCAUCUUAUUGCAAUAAGAUCGAAGGUGAGUGUUUGGGCAUUCCAACCCAGUGUACCUUAUAAACUCCGGUAUCCUAAAAUCUUUUGGUACCGUGAUGUUUGGUACCAAGCAUAUUUCAGACGCUCGCAUGGGGUCAAACCAGUCAUUUCCCUCGACUGCUCUUAACCUUUCUUCCAAGGCUGAUAUCUUGUCAUCGUUCAUAAAUCCAGUGGACCUAUUAUCGGAAGGCCCAUCUGCAAUAAUGUGAGCUUGAGGGGGCUGAAUGGGAAUGGCAGGCAAAGUGCUGCCCCGUCACUGAAUCUGCCCCCAAGUUCUGAGAUACCCCCGGGACAUGAACUGACGGUGCUCCUAUAGGUGGUUGGGUAGACGUUCCCUCCCCGUUCUUGGCUCUUAAAAGUUGCUCAAGCAGAUUGGUCAGUCGAGAAACUUCAUUUUUCACAGAUUCCAACUCGGUCUGGUAGUGCUACUCUAAGUGAGCUCUUUCUUCAUUUUCCAUUCUUGAUCUGGUCCGGGUUUGGUGGACUCUGGAUGUGGGACCUAUGUUUCACGAUCUGGAAUGCAUGUGAUAAUUUAAAAAAAUAAAAUGCGUGAUGAAAAUGUGAUGCGCGAUGAGUAUAAUAUUGCAAAAAAGAUACAUAACCUAAGGACAAGCUCUAUUUAUUAAGUGAGAGUGGGUAGAUUUUCUAUCCAGUCUUGAAGGUUCUCAUAUCUGCCCAGUGACGUUCUUCGUAAAGACAGUAUGAGGGCGUUGCAAGGAACAAUUAAGACACGUAUGCCCACCAUUACCAAGCAGGCACUCAGAUAUGAGUUGGGUGUUUCACGCAUUUAAACCCUGACCAAUAGUCUUAGGGUAAAUCGCUAAAUCCCCACUUAACUUAAAGCUUGUGUGUGCUUUUCAAAAUAAAAGCAAGUGAUGCAUGAGACAAUUUUAUACAAUGCAUAAAUAAUACGCGUAAAAUAAAAAACAAAUAUGCAAAUAAACGGAAAGGCAUAUUAACAAUAAACACAUGAAAACACAAACAAAUCAGACAAAAACAAAGCUUAGUCUACAAGGUCCCCAGUGGAGUCGCCAUUCUGUCGCACGUGUGCGGCGUCGCGGCGAAAAUAAUAGUUUUUCCAUUUUCUUAAUCUACAAUGUAAAUCUAUCUAUAUCUAUGGGGAUACACAAAAUAUCUUUUAUUGGUAGAAAAUGGAAUGGGAGUCGCCACCUAGUAUUUUGGUCACUAGGAACCCUAACUGGUCUCAGAGAUCGGGUACGGGGACUGGUUGCGUAAAGGGAAGGUAUUAGCACCCCAAAUACGCCCUACCUAAGGUAAGCUGCAUUGUUUUAUUGUCUGAUAAAAACUAAGGUAUUGUGUUUUCCUAGUUGUUGGUCUGUCUAUGGUUCAAGAAAAAUCCUCCUCGGUAAGAAAGGCUUUAUCUUAUCGGGUAAAAUCCUAACCGUUCUAACGUCCAUACCAAAAUUUCAUUAAUAAUAUUUAGGAAUACGUUUUACGUAUAAAUUCGUAAUCCCAAAUACUAAAAGAAAACAAAAAAAGAUUUUUUGAAUUUUUGAAAUAUUGGCCUAGUUCUCAUGGCUUGAAAAACUGGUUAUUAAAGCCAAAAUGCAUGCUAAUACAUAUAUUGUUUUGAAAAUUUUCUUUGUUGUGUGAAAAUAUGAUGUUAUAAUAUUAUAUAUAUAUAUUGGAGAGACUAGGCCGUAUUUUAAAACAAAAAAAAACCUUUUUUGGAAAAUAUUAUUAUUUUUUAUGUUUUACAAAAUCGGGUAUUUUAAUACUGGGUUUGUAUCUUACGGUAUAAAAAUACAACCCAAUAUUAAUCCACUUUGAUAAAAAUAUGCAGAAAAAUCAACAACAUUUUUAGGGACUUUUUAGAAUUUUUUUGAAAGCAAAAACAUUUUUUAUUCUGAAAAUCUUUGAUAUUUUGACGAAAACCGGGUAUUUUUAACACUGGUUUUGUAUCUUUACGGUAUAAAAAUACAAACCAACAUUAAACCACUUUGACAAAAAAUGCAGAAAAUCAACAAUAUUUUUUAAGAUUUUUCAAAAUAUUUUUUUUAAAGAAAUAUAUAUAUAUAUAUAACAUAUAUACACACAUAUAUAUUAUAAUUUAUAAUAAUAUAUAAUAUAUUAUAUUAUGGGGCUGGGCCGGCCCAAAUUAAUGGGCCAGGCUUAGCCCAAAAAAAGGGUCGGGCCGACCUCGGCCCAAAAUGGAUUUGGGACGAAAUCGGCCCAACAAAACUUCUCCAGUCUGGGCCAGGACCGGCCCAGACUUGCAAGGCUGGGCCAGCGUCGGGCUGGCCCAGCAGCCCCAGGCCCAGCGGGGGAAGAAUUAAUUUUCUCCCCCCCGCCUCCUGCAUGCAGAAUGCAUGCAGGAGACAAACCUGCAGAAGACAAAGAAAAUAGGGGGAGAAGAAAAUGUACCUGGCGUGGAGGAGGCGGUCGCUGGAGGUGCUGCGGUGGCGUGGCUCGCGGACGGCGGCUCCGGGCGGUGUUACUGUCGUUCCUAACGGCGGCGAGAAACUUCUUCCUCUUCCUCUUUCCCCCGUUUAUUUUCUGUGGCUUUCUCAGUGGCUUUCUCUGCCUCGGUUUGUUUUUGGUUUUCGGUUUCGGUUUCUUUGUUUUCGGUUUGUUACUGCUCUCCUCUCUAUUUCGUUCGUUCUUUCUCUUCUCCCUCUCCUCUCUCUCUCUCUCUAUUCCUCUCGGAUUUUUCCUUUCUUUUUCCCUCUGCUUCUGCUUCUUUUUUUUCGUCCGUCCCUGUUUCCUUCGGGUCACCUGCUUUUAUAGGGGGAGAAGGAGCCUUGGGAGCGAACCAAUGCGGAGGCUGGUCGGCCAUUGGGCGCGACUGCCAAGGCGCAGCUCCCUUGAUUCUGGUGGGGUGCGCGGCGGGUGGUCAGCCAGUGUCUUCGGUCGGUGGUCCAACGGCGUGUGGGCUUCGGUCUGGUCGGUAGGAGAGGGGGACAUGCACCAUUAAAAAAAACUUUCUUUUUCCUUCUUCCCCGCUGCCUGUUCGGGGGGGGAAGAAGAAAGGGGAACAGUGCCGUUCAAAACGGCACCGUUCGGUCUUCUUUUUCUUUUUUUUUCUUUUUUAUUUUAUGUAUGAAACGGCGUCGUUUUCUCCAAAACGCGCCGUUUCAUUUUAAAAAAAAGGCGCCAGAAAUAUGUUUUUUCAAAUCAGUCCUUAAUUUGUCCUCUCUUCUAUUAAGUCCUCAAAUCUAAUCCUGAUUUUUGAAAAAAACUUCAAUCGCGUCCCUACCAAUUUCGGUCCCCGCCCCCAUAGUUGGCCGCGUUUUUCACUUUGGUCCUUGGCCUCUGAUUUAUGCAAUUUAGCCCUUAAUUGAUUAAUAAACUUUCAAUUUCUUCAAUUAGGCCCCUGAACCGAAUAAUUGCAGCCCCUCCAUUUACACGCCUCUUCCAAUUUGGUCCCUGGUUUCGGAUUUUCUUAAUUAAGUCCCUAAUUGGCCAUUAAACUUCAAUAUUUAUGCAAUUAAACCCCUGAUUUGACCCAAUAAAUUCCUAAAAAAUAUAUUUUGGCCCUAGAACUUAAAUUUCUUCUAAUUAAAGCCCAAAUUGACUUAAAAAUCAAAUUUUCUUGCACUCAAAUCCUCUAUAAAUUCAAUUAAAAAUCCAAUUAAGUCCAUAAACCUCCAAAUUUGGACUUUUCUCCUCAAAAAUCAAAUUGUUUUAUCCACCAGGGCUCUUAUCAUUCAAGAAUAUAUUGUCAAAAAUCCAUCUUUGUAUUUUUAACCUCCUUGACCAAUUUUUCUGACCAUUUUCUGAGCACUUCUGCCUCCUAUUAUUUUUCUAACCUCCUUUGGCUAUUUAUUUUAUUUAUUUUUGUGGGGACCCGAAAAUGGGUUACAACAAGUAGUAUAAUCAAUCUUAACAGUACAUUGUAAUGACAAAAAAAGGGGAAAAAAACGAAAAGAAAGAAAAUUGAUUCUACUGAAAGUGUUAAUGUUUGUGUCUUCAAGCUCUUGCUAUAUACAUAUUUCCUUCAUAUCCCAACUAAACACAACUUCGAAUCUUCAUUUCCUUCCUGGCUGCUGGAGUGUGGUACUGUUUUGGUUAUCAAGCUAGUUUUUUAUUUCAGCUGGGCCAGAGAUUUGUUCAUGUCCUGUGGUUUUUCCUUUUCCGUUGUUUGUUGCAGCUUUUUUCGUUUGCUUGACUGUUGCUUUCCUUGGCAGUCCUUUAUAUUUGUUACUAUCUCCAUGUUAGCCUAUUUGAUCUUACGGUUCUUUAUUUCAAUCAAUUAGGUAUUCAAUGACAACGCAAACCUUCAAAACUCAAGUAAUUUGAUGAUUUCUUCUUUUAUAUGAACGCAGGCCUCAAUGGUGCUCCUAUCAGAGUGGCAAUAGGUGACACCUCUUGUCUUUGUCUGUGAUAAGGGAAUUUUUAGCAUUUAUAUUUUCUACUAUUAAUGCUUGAUUUUAAAAUAUUUUGGGUAUGUUGCACAAGAAAAUUAGAAUUUUGAAUCUCUUUUUGAACUAUUGACCUCGUGGGAAAUUAAUGUGUUUUCAGAUCUUAGGUUACUGAACAGGCAGAGCCCGACAGUAAAACUGAACAGUGAUUCAUUAUGUGCUGCAAAAGAAACUAUACAAUUUAGUUCCAGAUGUUCAUCACCAUUUUCAAAUAGCUGAGAUGAAGGUCUACAAAACAUAUGAAGGGCAUAUAACUCAGUUUUGUUGUUUCGAAGCCCAAAAAGUGAGUUGAAAAACAAGGAUUGAACCAGCCCGAAAUUCCUGCACUGCAAAGACUGUUUCGGUUUAUGGCCCUUAUCUCAACGCUCAGACGUCCAAAAAUUGCAAGAUCAGUUUCGUUGGAAAGAAAAUUUGAUUCUCUACAAUUCCUCCAGAAAUAUAAAUCUUUUAAUUCGCACGUUUUCUACCUCAAAUCUGGUCCGCAAUGUCUGAGUAGGAAGGAAUUCAAUGCAGAAAAGGAAACUUUCCUCAUUACUGCAGGGGUAGAAAAGCCACAAUAUAAAAGAAGGUAAGGGGAUCUGAAAACAGGGGAAUUUUAAGACACGUAGAAACCCUAUAACAUAGAAAAGAAAAAGAGGGGAGGCGGCACCAAGAGGAAAAAAAGAACAAAGGCAAAAAUAUUGAAGACAAUUCUGUGCUUUUGAGUGAUGUUCAUCGUAUCAAGUUUGUUUCUCUUUAAUUUAACUAUGGAGUAGACUUUGAUUCUGAGAUUUUUGAUGUAACCUUACUAUGAAUAUGUGAACAAUUUCUUCGAUUGAAUUAUUACAUUAAGAUGUUGAGUAUUUCAUUCUAUUUGUAAUGUUUGCGUGUGUUUGGCCAACAUUUACAUGAUUUAGAAUUCAAUUUGAAACUGAGAAGUAAUAAUUGUUUUAGCUAUUGUUUGAAAUACCUUAAGAAAUCUAUAGGAUAGAGAUAUCCUAGGAACUUUUGUAAUCAUUACAGGUUUUACAGUACUUAAUAAAUUUCGACAAGUUCAGAACUUUCGUAGAGUAUAUGAAAUUUGUUUGUCGAAAUAAUUUAUUGAUGCUCAAGAGAGAUUAAUAUUUACAUUAGUUAGAAUUAAUUGAGAGAUAGUUUUGUGUUUAAUUGUGUUGGAUGCUUAAGAGUAGCAGCCAUCCUUUGUAUUUAUACUUGUAGGGUUGUGUACAAUAUAAUGGUGGGAUGUAUUACAUACUAUAACUAUUACUAUGUAGGAGUGUUUACAUUGUAUUCAAACUCUUUCCUUAAUACACCCCGUCAAGCUGAAGGUGGAGAUUCCACCCGAAGCUUGGAUCGAAAGUAAGCAAACGAGACUGGAGGAAGAGGCUUGGUAAGGACAUCAGCUAGUUGAUCUUUGGAAGAUAUAAACCGUACCUGAAUUUCUUGCUUAGUAACACGAUCACGGACAAAGUGAUAAUCAACUUCAACAUGUUUAGUACGAGCGUGAAAUACUGGAUUUGCAGAUAAGAAGGUGGCCCCUAAAUUAUCACACCAUAACGUGGUCACAGUCGAAGAAGGAAUCCGAAGUUCUGUCAAUAAUGAGCGAAUCCACAAAAUCUCAGCAGUACCAUCAGCUAAGGCUUUCUAUUCCGCUUCAGUAGAGGAUCUCGCAACAGUGCGUUGUUUCCCGGAUUUCCAUGAGAUAGGGGUAGAGCCAAGAUACACAAGGUAACCACCUAUGGAUUUUCGAUCAUCAAUACUACCACCCCAAUCAGCAUCUGUGAAACCAUGAAGAGACAGGGGAGAAUCCCUAGUGAUGUGCAGACCAUAAGUUGCUGUAGCCUGGAGGUAACGCAGGAUGCGUUUAAUAGCAGACCAAUGAUCCUCAGUGGGGGCAUGCAUAAAUUGACAGACCUUGUUGAUUGCAUAGCAGAUAUCAGGUCUAGUGAAGGUAAGAUAUUGUAAUGUCCCAACAAUUUGUCGAUACCGUAUGGGAUCAGAGUAGAGAGUACCUGGUAUGAGUCCUAAUUUGGAGGAGGCAGAUAGAGGAGUAUCAACUGGUUUGCACGAAGUCAUACCUGCUUGUUGGAUGAUAUCGAGAGCAUACUUAUGUUGGCUUAAUAAGACACCCAUAGCAGUAGGUUUAACUUCAAUGCCCAAGAAGAAAUGAACAGAACCCAAAUCCCGAAGCUUAAAUUCUGAUUGCAGCAAAGUAAUCAAUCUAUGAAGCAUAGUUGAAUUACUUCCGGUUAAUAAAAUAUCAUCAAUAUACACAAGCAGGUAAAUCAUGGCACCAUUAUGAGAGAGAAUAAACAGAGAAGUAUCACCCUUGGAUGCCUGCAAUCCAAUGGAUAGUAAGAACUCACUCAACCGGUUGUACCAAGCACGAGGGGCUUGUUUCAAACCAUACAGAGAUUUAUGGAGACGACACACAUGAGACGGGAGUGCUGGAUCAACAAACCCAGGCGGUUGCGCCAUGUAAACCUCUUCCUGAAGAAUGCCAUUUAGGAAAGCAUUAUGAACAUCCAACUGAUGAAUGGUCCAUCCAUAUGAAACAGCAAUAGUGAGCACAAGGCAAACCAUUGUAGGCUUGAUCACUGGACUGAACAUCUCCAAAUAAUCAAUCCCUUCUUGCUGAGUGAAGCCACGGGCAGCUAACCGUGCUUUAUAUCGGGCGACCUGACCAUCAGCAUGUCUUUUUAUCUUGUAAACCCAUCUACUGCCAAUCACAUUCAUAGUUGGAUGGGGAGGCACCAACGUCCAAGUCUGAUUAGAGUGAAGUGCCCGAAGUUCCUCUUGCAUGGCAGUGUCCCAAGUCACAUACCUGUUUGCGUCCUUAAAUGACAAUGGCUCAUGCUGAGGUAAGGUCAUGACUCGUGAGACAGCCGCAAUGCUAAGAUUAGCAUUUCUUUCAGGCUGUGGGCGAAGCACCAUAGGAUGGGUGCGAGCCCGCUGAGAUGGAGAGGAGACCAGUGGCAGGGACGUGCUGAAGAUUGAACUUAGAUAGAUCAACACAUAUGUUAAUUCCAGGAGGGGAAAGAGAGGAAGAACCUAUGGGUGAAGACCUCAAUAGAAGCGCAGACCGUGGUGGAGACCUAACAGAAAAAGCACCCACAACAGGGGAGCGAAUAGGGGAGAAACCAGGGGAGCUAGCAGCAGCAUCGGACGAUGCCUGUGAGUGUGAGGAAUCUGAACCUACAAUUAAAGAAUGAUCAUAAUAACAUGCAGAUAAUGGUAAAUGAGCCGAAGGAGGUGUAGGCAGUCUAUUGGGCAGUGGUGAAGGAACUAACGAGGGUUGCAUGAGAGGAAGUAAAGUGACGGGUAUAGAGGGAGUUGAGGGUUGUUUGGGUGUUGCUGCAAUCUGUUCAGUUUUAUCAAAAGGAAAAACAGUUUCAUGAAACUGGACAUGACGUGUAAGAUAAAUUCGUUUGGAUGACAAAUCAAGACAUCGAUAACCGACAUGCGAGGUACUAUAUCCUAGGAAAAAACAAGGUGUGGACCGAAAAUCUAAUUUGUGAGCAUUGUAUGGACGAAGAAAAGGAAAGCAGAGACACCCGAAAGUACGAAGAAACGCAUAAUCAGGAGUCGAUUUUAACAGACAUUCAAAUGGUGUCUUAUUAUUAAGGACUGGAGUGGGCAUGCGAUUAAUUAAAUAAACAGAACUUUCAAAAGCAUAACUCCAAUAUUUAAGGGGAGCAUGACACUGACCAAGGAGAGUGAGUCCAGUUUCAACAAUAUGUCUAUGACGGCGUUCAACCAUGCCAUUUUGUUCAUGAGUGUGCGGGCAGAUCACACGAUGAUGAAUACCAAUCGUUUUAAAAUAUGUAUUUAGUUUUUGAUAUUCACCACCCCAAUCGGUUUGAACAGACUUAAUUUUUAAGGAGAAUUGGUGCUCCACAAGCGCCUGAAACUGAUGAAAAAUUGCAAAAACAUCAGACUUAGCAACCAAGGGAUAAAACCAUAUGAAUUUUGUAUGAGCAUCCACAAAAAUAACAAAAUAGCGAAAACCAUCAGAUGAAAACAUAGGGGAUGGACCCCAAACAUCACUAAAAAUCAAGUCAAGAGGAGCUCGAGUUUGAUGACCCGUAGGUUUUAGAGUCAGACGCGAUGACUUGCCUAGAGGGCACGUAGGACACUGAAAAUUAAACUUAGUGGACGUACAUGACACUUUUUUAUUUUUCACUAGCAAAUGCAGAAUACGUGGACUAGGAUGUCCAAGUCGACGAUGCCAGACAUCAGCUGAAGUAGAUAGACAGUAGAGGAAAAAGCUUGAGGCAACGACGUUGCGGACGACGCGGACAAAACAUAUAGACCAUCUUUACUCUGACCGGAAAGAAGAACUGCCUUUGUCAUGAGAUCCUUAACAUAAAAUAGAGAGGAAUGAAAUUCAAAAAACACGUUAUUCUCAAGACAAAAUUUUUGAACAGAUAGCAGAGGUUUUUUAAUGGUAGGAACAUGUAAGAUAUUGGAUAACGUAAAAUGCGGUUUGGUGAGCGAAUUUUGGAGUGAGCAAUAUUUGAGAUAACAAGGCCCUUACCAUCACCAACAUGCAGAUGAUCAUUUCCAAGAUAAGGUUCUGAACUCGUCAUACUUACAAGAUCUGGCGUGACAUGAUGAUUUGCACCUGUAUCAGGAAACCAAGUAACAGGAGUGGUGGAAGGGCAGUAUUAAAUGCAAGAUUAGCAUUAGCUUGCAUAUGAUGAGUAGCCAACUGAGAACACUGUUGAGCAGUAUGCCCAUAUUCAUAACAUAGCUGACAUUUUAUAUUGCGAGGAUAGCCACCAAACGAUUUCCUUGCUGCCCAAAAUACCUGUUGGCCGUGAAGAAGCCAGAUGAGAACCGGUUCCAUGUGAGCUGUAUUGUUGUCCUGAAGUAUAAACUUUUGCUGGUCCAUUGCCACGAUAAAAGCUUCGAUUAUUAGGUCUCCAGCCCCCACGAAAAUGAUCCCGUCUGCUAGAUUGAUGUUGCACAAAGAACCCAGCUGGCUGUUGCAUUGGAGUUGGUAACAGAAGGGCUGUUACAGAUGGCUGAAGAGAGGCUUUGUGAAGGAACUCAUGUGUAAGAAGGCUGCUAUAAAGAUCAGUAUAGCUGAUGGGGGCAUCCUUAGUGGACAAGCUGGUGACAAGAUCCUUAAACUCACUGUAUAAUCCACGAAAAACAUACAAGUUAAAUUCUGUCAGGGAGAUUGGUCUGCCAACGGCAGCUAGUUCAUCAAACAAGGCCUUUGCCUUCUGCAAGUAAAUGCUGGCAGUAUCAUCAUUCUGUCAUAAUUCCUAGAAUGAGUCGUGGAGCUGCAUAAUCCUGGAAUUGGAGGGGGAGGCAAGAGUUGUUUCCAGUGUUGUCCAGAUGGCAUGGGAAUUGGUACAAUCUACAACCAGGUGCAGAACUUCCACCAAGAGAGAAGAUAGGAGGGCACUCAUGAUUAGGUGAUCUUGCUGCUUCCAUGACAAAUAUGCAGGGUUGAUAGAGAGUGUAAAUGUCUCAGCCGAUGCCAAAUGUGAAGGAGGACAUGGUGAUGUGCCAUCAACAAAAGAAUAAACGCCUUGGCCCAAAAGAAAGGGUUUCAUUUGCAUCCUCCAAUAUAGGAAAUUAUGGUUAGAGAGUUUUAAAGAGACUACCUGGUGUGUGUUAGGAAGAGGAAUAAUGGAGGCAGUAGGCGCUGCCCCAUACAUAACUGAUUGCGCCACAGGGGAAAAAGAAGAUUGAAGAACUGAUGCAGCGCCAGCAGACUGUUGGAGUUCUUGAUUGUCCAUGUUGCUAGGGAGGAGAAGUUGCAGUUUUUACUUCGUGAGAAGUGGCAGAUGAAGAAGAUGAGUGAUCUCUGCUAAGGAGAAACUGCUGCUUGUGACUCUUAAUAGAGGAAGAACAGCUGCUAAGAAUUAAGGAGGGCUGCUGGUUGAAACAGCUACGCAGGAGAAUUACAGCUGUUGUGGAAGAAGGCUGCUAAACAAUAACCGCAGCUCUGAUACCAAGUUAGAAUUAAUUGAGAGAUAGUUUUGUGUUUAAUUGUGUUGGAUGCUUAAGAGUAGCAGCCAUCCUUUGUAUUUAUACUUGUAGGGUUGUGUACAAUAUAAUGGUGGGAUGUAUUACAUACUAUAACUAUUACUAUGUAGGAGUGUUUACAUUGUAUUCAAACUCUUUCCUUAAUAACAUUAGAAAAACCUGAUUAUCAACAUUAGGAGUAAUUAAUUUAAUCGAGAAAGUUCACAUAGGCAUAGUUACGGUAAGUCAGAAAUCCUAGAACCAGUACAAUUGAAUUCUUUAAUAUUUAAUCAAUUACUUGUUACUUUUUAAUCAUUAAUUUUUGUUUCAUAAAUUAUCUCAUUCAAUUCCUCAAAUAGAUCAUAAUUUAAAAGACUUUGGUAAUUAGUAGUAAUUUUUACAAAUCCUCGUGGGACGAUACUCUACUCAUCACUUUAUUACUUGUUACGAUUUGUGCACUUGCGAAAUUAACCAACAGUCUGCCAAUAAAUAUUACCAAUUAUUGAGAUCACUAGUUUCUUUAAAAAUUAUUUGUUUUUUCUUGCAGACUUUUCUGACUAAUCGCAUACUCAGUUAUCUCAGUACGAACCUGUCUUUUUCUUUAUUCAAACAUGAAGUCUAAACUGCAUGCAUGGAAAACAAUUUUAAUUACAUGAAUUGGUUCUGCAAAGGCUGAACACUGACAUGACCUUCUCUUUUCUUCGCGAUGAAGUCUUUGGGCCGAUAACCAAGUAUUUUCCAAGUAUUUCCAAGUGGAACAUGGAUAUACUAUUCAAGAAGAGGGGGUGAGUUAAUUUAGAGUUCUUUUUUUGGUAAUCUAGAAUUGUUUCAUUAAUGAUAGACAAUAUGUGCAGAAAAACCAUUUAAAAGCAUUAUAUAGGGAAUAAGUUAUGAUUAAUUACUUUAUUUCUUUCUUGUACAUGAUUGCCACUUGUUUACUAUCUAUAAGAUUUCCCCAUAUUGAUUUUUCUCCUUUUCUAUAAAUCUUGUAGGACAACCGCAUCUGGGAUUCUGAAUUUACAAAGGUAAAUUACAAUAACUCUCGAGUUAUCAUGUAAAUAUUGAGAUUAUCGAGUUCAUCUAAAAAACCUUUUUAAUAGUAUUUAUUUAUUUUCAAAUGUCUUCAUGUUUUCAUAUGGCAUAAUACUAUACGUAUGUUGGGACCAAGACCAUAUCUUCAGAUUUUCUCAGAAUAAUCAUCGUUUUGCUCAUAGAACUACUUAUUUUCACUGGUAAGUACUUUCCUAUGCUUCUUUGGAUUCGUUGUAGAACAUGAAAUGCGUGCAUUGUAAGAUCAAAACAUAAGAUUAAAAGAAAAAUGGAAAAGCGCAAGAAAGUAUCUUCAAUGACUUUGGUUUCAUGGAAAUAAGCCCUUCAACUUUUUAGUUUUUCUAAUUGAGUCUAAUUCUUUAAUUUUAUUAGCAAAUUUAAUGACUUAAAAAAAUCCAAAGCUAAGAUGGAUAAAAUCAAAAUUCACUAAGAUGCUCCGUGAAAAAUUCUUUUUUUCUUGCAUUUUUGUAAGAAGUUUUUACCUUUUGGUGCAAUGGAUUUGGGAUUUGAAAAAAGUUGAUGCUUCCAUCGAUACAUAGUAAGCUUGUAAGGAUUUAUCAGGAGGCAAACACAACGGAAAUCACAUUUCAUUUAUAAAAUAAUUUUGAUGCGACAAUCUAUCAAAUUAGCACUAUUUCAUUUUGUCAUUGAUUGUUCUUGUUGUUUCUCUGCACAAUGAUAUUUCGUGCAAUAUUAUUCCUUUUUGGGCUUUCAUGCCUCGUGACCUAUUUAUUCUACACAUGGCGAAGAAGGCACUUAUCAAUGUAUGACAUCAUUGAAGAGUUCUUGUAGAGUAAUGGACAAGACUUUACCAAUGAAAUUGACACCAUCGGAAGAAUUUACCAUGUCAAUGUGGUGUAGCUUAUAGGCUUUACCGCCGAGGGAUCAAAGCAUGGUCUUAUAUAUGAGUUCAUGCCUAAUGGUUCUCUUGAUAAGUAUAUUUUUCCUAAACAAGGUAGCGUCACAUUAAGUAAAGAGAAAAUGUUUGACAUUUCUCUUGGGAUUGCUCGUGGCAUUGAUUAUCUGCAUCAAGGUUGUGAUAUGCAAAUCUUGCAUUUUGAUAUCAAGCCUCACAAUAUUCUUCUCGAUGAGAAGUUUGUUCCAAAGAUUUCAGAUUUUGGAUUAGCAAAAUUGUACCAACAAAUAAUGGCACUGUGGCCCUCACUGCGGCUAGAGGAACAAUGGGAUACAUAGCUCCUGAAUUGUUCUACAAAAAUAUUGGAGGCGUGUCUUACAAAGCAGAUGAUUAUAGUGGCAUCAUGGUAUAUACAAUUAAAACCCGAGGAUCAUCCCUCAAUGCAUGAAGUUGUAAAGAUGCUCGAAGCUAAUGUUGAAUCCCUGCAAAUGUCUCCUAAACCUUUUCUCACCACCUUACAACAAAUGCCAAAACAUGAUGAUGUGGCCAAUCAAUCAGAUAUGUCAAGUUAUUGUAUAAAUUCCUCAUAUCAGUUUGGUCGUUAAUAAAUAUAUAAUUGUUUGUUUAUAGAUUUCAAUAAUGGAUUAAUGAAGUGUUCGAGAUGUAUUUAUUAUAUCAAUCAAGCUCUUCAUGCUUUUAUUGAAUCCAAGUAACAGCCAGAGCAUCACACGCCAGCAUUAAAACAUGAAUUUUCUAAAAUUAUAUCAUUAAUCUUAGUACCUAUAUAUUCAUGAAUGAUUUAAUUUGAUUUGCUCUCAAGUAAAACUAAACAUCUUCUUCUUUUUUAUAUAGUUUGAUUGAUGCAAUAUCUGAAAUCAACUUUCUUGACCAAGAAAUAUCUAACAUUAUCAAGAUUUAAUGCGAGACAUAACCUGUCGAAGCAUCACUGUAGUGAAAACCAUAGCAACCAAUUAACAACAUUAUAAAUAAAGGUAGAGUAAUGUCUUAAUUUAAUGAUUAUCUAUUAGAGCACGUCCGCACAAAAAAACUUUUGUUUAAAAAACGAAAAAGAAGUCCAUUCUUCAUAAAUCAAGUGGUCUCGAGCAUGAGAGGGCCUUUAUUCCAUAAAAUCAUUUCCUAUCGCAAUAAUGGUGAUUACUUGUGGGUCGCAACCAAAAAGUAUAUUGUGUGGCUGAAGAAGCAGCAUGUUUUAUUCUCUUUAUGUUCAUCUUGCAUAUGUCCAAAUGACUUCAAUACAGAUGUCUCAACUGCUAGUACAUGAACUUGCAUAUUCAAAUUUUGUUUGCAGGGAAAAGUGCUACAUUCAAGCACCAAUAAGCAGUAAUAUUGUUGAUUCAUGAGGUAUUCUGAUCAAAUGUAAUGAUUCACAAUCACCCCAUGAAGAUGCAUUGAUGUCUACAAAAUAUUUUACAAGAACAGAAUGAAAAGCUCAUAAAAUGUAGAAAUGAAUGUAUUGAUAUAUGCCUAUAACAUCUUAUAGUAGCAGAUCAAGGCAGCAAGGGCCUCACUCUAUGAUACCUUACGAACUCCUCAAUAUUCUUAUCAGAGCUUCCACCUACAUCUACUGCCAGAACUCCCUCUUAUCGCAUUGCUUCUUUCACUUUCCAGGACUUCCCUUAUGCACCUUUCUACCUCUUCUUUGGUGACAAUCCCCUUUUCAUUUACAUUUACUCUAACUCCUACAUGCCAAACAUCAGUGAUAUACUUAGCAUUGGUUGGUUGAUCAGUCCACUGUGGCAUUGCCACCAUUGGCACUCCUAAGCUCAAUGCCUCGAGUGUUGAGUUCCACCCACAAUGAGUAAUGAAGCAUCCAACUGAUUUGUGAGCCAGAACUUGUAGUUGAGGACACCAUUUUAUGAUUAGGCUUAUGUCUGAUGUCUCCUUCACAAAGUCCCAUGGAAGUUUACUCUCUUCUAACUCUCUUACUAUCCAUAGGAAGCACCUAUUACUUCGUUUAAGACCCCAGGCCAGCUCUGCCAUUUGUUCUUCUCCGACGGUAGCCAGGCUUCCUAAUGAGACAUACAAAACUGACCCUGGUUCCUUCAAGUCCAGCCACUUCAUGCAAACAUCUGAAUUGGGCUUGAAAAGGUUUAAGUCAUAAUCUUUGUCAUCUCCCAACUGUUUGUCCAAGAACAUUGAUGGAAUCAUUGGUCCUAUUGGUUUGAUUGGCCAUUUAUUGAUUCUCAUCCAGUUCACUACCUGGUACAGAAAUAGCAAAAUGUCAAGCAGUAUUCAACAUCCUAUGAAUGAACAAAAGAAAUGACUAUGUUAUGAAGGAAUAGGAGUUCACACUUCAACUUCAAGCUUAUUAAAGCUGUUCCAUAUCAGCCAUCUUGCUUCAAGAAAAUUUGAGAACUGACCAAGGAGGAGUUCUCGUAUAGCUGGAUAUGAACCUACAUCACUAACAAAUGAUGGUAGAUCACUGAACUCCAAUUUUUCCAACGAAGGCAAGGACACUGCUGCCUGAUCAAAGAUUGGUUCCAAAUUGAUGGAAUAGUUUAAUAAAAUAUCACUCUGCAAUGAUGGAUACUUGCUAUUUCUGUCCUUCUCAUCAAAUUGUUUUUUUCUGAACAUAUGGAGGUCCAUCUGGGUCUUUUCUCAUUUAUAUUCACAUAAACCAUAGAUUACUAGACCCUACCAUAAUCAAUGUGACAGGACUUGAGGAUACAAAUAUUUUAGUGAAACAUGUGAUUUCAAAUUCCAACUCUGUGCAGAACGUGGAUUGAACUAGAUAAAUGUCUUCAAAAUACAUGCCCAAGCAAAUCAUAGGGCAAUACAUGUGCAUUAUUGUGGAGAGAUUAAAAUCAAAAGUAUCUUCCAUCGUGGGUGAUAAAUCACCUCAUCAGUUAUGUAAUUUGCUUUAUUUGGAUUAACGAGUUUCAAUUAUUAUUAUUUUCUAAAUCUAAUUUCCUAGAAAAAAAUAAAAUACAAAUGCCAGCUCUUUCCAUUUCUUGGAAUUCAUUUUCAUUUCUCUGCCUCUAUCUCCCUCCAUCACUUCUUUUAUGCAAAUGGCAAUCUCUUCUCUUGUCACAAUCUCUUCCUUAGCUCUGACUCCCACCUUCCAAGCAUCUUCAACGAGUUUAGAAUUCGUUUGUUGAUCACUCCAUCCUGGCAUUGUCACCAUUGGCACACCCAAGCUCAAUGCCUCGAUUGUUGAGUUCCAACCGCAAUGUGUGAAAAAACAUCCCACAGCCUUAUUUGCUAGCAUUUUCACUUGAGGACUCCAAUUCACUAGCAAUCCCUUAUUCUCCACUUCUUCAACAAACCCUUCUGGGAUCUUCCCUUUCUCAGAAUCCAUCACCACCCACAAGAAGGGAAAAUUACUCCUCUUUAAGCUCAUGCAAUUUCCUCCAUUUGCUUGUUGCUUAGAGUAGCACAGCUACCAAAGGACAUAUAUACAACUGAUGUAGUGGGCUUAGUGCUGAGCCAAUUGAUAGAAAGAGAUGGGAUUGUUGGUCCAAUUGUCAAUAACGGCCAAACUUUUGACAUUGUAUCCACUACCUGAAGGAACAACAAAAUAUUUGUGGAGAUUUGGACCCUUAAUUUACAUAACAUAAAAACACAACAAGUUCAAAUUAUUUAUCUCUAAAUAUUCAUGAUUCUGUUACCUUUACUGCUAAGAGUUUCAAAUUUUAAUCAUUUACAAUUCACAAUUAUUUGGGAUGGAAUUGAUGAAAUUAAUUGGUUUGGGAUGGAAAUUGAAAGAGAAUGAGAUUUUACCAGAAACCGUAAAAGAAGUGCAAAUAGUUUUAAAGUCCAAUUAUGCGGUACAAAAUUGCCUACCUCACACUCCAGCUUGAAAAAUUGUUCUAAAAUAUGUAGUGGACGUACUGGAAAACUUAGGAAAAAAGGGAGCACAAAGGGAGAUAUUAUAUCAUGAUCUUCAGGAUUAAAAAUUGAAAGGAAGUAAGGGCCUUGGUUAAAUAUAAAUAGGUUUAUCACUAGGGAGAUAUGAUAUCAUGAUAUCCUAGCAUGAUCUUUAAAUUCAUAGGAUAUCCUAGAAUGAUCUUCAAGCUAAUGGUGAGAGAAUGAACCAUAAGCUUUAAGAACCAAAAGCUUGUCAUUGGUAGAAAUAUAAUGAGCUUAAAUGUUUUCAUUAAAAAAUUUCUUCCAGAUAAAGUUAUAAUCCACUUCAACUAGAUUGGAAGAUAAGGAAAGGGCUCCAAAGUUAUUAACAUAUAGGCAGGCAAGGUGUUGUGUUGAGAGUGACAUGUCAUUCUUUAAGAAGUAUAUAAACCAAUAAAGUUCUCUACCUAUGAAUGUCAUUGCUUAGUGUCAUAAUUUAAUUUUGAACCCUUUAAAUUUAUUUUAUAAAAAAAUAUGUAUUUAAAAAAUUCCAAAAAAAUAUAAAAUAAAAAAUCCAAAAAUAUUUUUUUUUAGACACGAGAAGAUAGUUUUCGAGCUGCAAAAAAUCAAGAUACCAAAAAAACAACUAGAUUAUGAUAUUUUGACAAGAUAUGAUGGAAAAAUAAAGAAAAUUGAGGUUAAAAUCCAAACUUGACCAAAAUUGGAAAGAAAUAUUGAGGUUGAAAUCCAAACUUCUAACAAGUUUAAUCGACUUAUUUAAGGACUUAAUUAAAGAAAAAAUAAGUUUAAAAGUCUAUUGGACAAAAAUUGAAAGAAUUAAUUAAAUUCAAGGACAUAAUUAAACUUCUAAUGAGUUUUGUGGAUUUAAUCAAUGACUCAAUUGAAAAAAAAUCAAGUUUGAAGGUCUAAUUCGAAUCAAUUCGCAAAGAUUGUAAUAUUAGAGACAAUUGAAACUUUAAAAUACUAAAUUGGUGUAAAUAGGGGCUUAAUUAAAAGAAAUUUGAAAUAUAAAUUUCAAUUGAAGACCACAUUGAAGAAAUCUAAAAUCAAGAACUACUUUGGCAUCAACACAUUUUAUAAAAAAUUAUCCAAAAAUAUUUAAAAAAUAAUUUAAAAUAAAAACAAAUCAAAUUAUAAAAAAAAAAAAAAAAAAAAAACAGGUUUAAUCUCAAUUCCAAAUGAUCACUCCCUCUAUAAGAAGUGUCAGCAUACCUUUCAAAAGCUGUUGAAUGGGAGUUUCUCCAUCAUCUUUGGCAAUUCCUUGACUCCAUCAUCAUUGGAAACUCCGUGACAAGUACAGAACAGUGGGUGAGUUUAAGAGUCCAUGUCCUAAAGAGUUUACGCAUGAAGAUGAAGAUGACAUAGAAUCCAGCUCUGUUGCAUGGGCUAGCGAUCGUGAUUUCUCCUGCAAAUAAUCUCAGAUUUUUCUGUUGAGCUGCCCCCUGAACCUGCAGCGAGUUAACUCAUAACGUGCUCAUAAGAAUUGAAGGGUUCAGCAUGCAUUCAACAGAAGUACCUAUAGGAGCAUGAAUCUCCUUUUCUGUUCUCUCCUGCUAGCAUCGUUCUUGGGCUAUACAUCAGUCACCAUUGCUAUGUUCUGAUGUUUCGAAAAGACUCCUAGAAUUUGCUUGACUUGCAUUUUUAUAGCUAAAUUCCUAGCAAGCUUCCACUUCAGCUUCUAUAAAUUAGGUAUCGAGCAUGUACAUGCCUCUAAUGUUGCGCGAUAGUGUCAUCCCUUUUUCUUUUUUCUAGUUUUUUUUUUUUUCCUUGCACACCGUUUUCAAAAGUUCACCAUGAUGGUGGAUAAGAAAUGUGGAAGAACAUGGUUUGAUUAUAUGGGCCGAAUAUUGUUUAUUUCCUUUGUUUUGUUUGGGCCGUAUUAAUUCAUGUCAUGAGCUGAGUGUAUAUAUUUUUGUUUAAAUGGGUUGCACAUUUUAUUUGGUUUUAUAUACAAACAACAAAAAAUCAUUCCUUAUAUUUUUAAUUAUAUAUGGAAACGUCUCUCAAAAAUAAAAAUAAAAAAUCAUAUUUUCAUAAAUAAUAAAAAUAAAAACAACAUACAAGGCAUGAUUUAAGGUGUAUUUGACACACCGUUUCCUCAAAUUUUGAAAACUUUUUAUUUCUUUUACGUAAAAUAAAUUAUUAUUUUUAUGUUUUUGGAUCGUUUUGAUUUGCUGAUGUCAAAAAUAGUUUUAAAAAAAUAAAAAAAAAUUAUUUUGAUUCAUUUUUAUAUGAAAAACACUUUAAACCGCCACCGUUACCACAAUCUUAAACACACUAUUAGCAUCUUUAAAUACAAAAAUUCAAGAAAAAUAGUUUUGUUGAUAUAUUUGCAAUCAUUUUUAGAUUUAAUAACUAGUUUAUGAAAUACAUUAGAACUUGGUUUGCAUUUUAAAAAAAUUAUUUUGAUUGUUUGAAUAUCAAGUAUCACAAACUUAUAUGUAAGGACAUAUUCCAGAUAUUAAAAGAAAAUUAAAAAAGAAAUUGACAUUAGAAUGGUUAAGAUUUAAAUUGAUAGGAUAAAGAUUUUUUAACUGAUAAGAACUUUUUCUAAACCUUAUAAACAUACCAAUGGUUAGAAAUACAAAACAAUAAGUUAGUUUAUAUUAGACAAACAAACAAUACAACUUACCUUAGAUAAGAUGUACUAGGGGCAAUACAUCCUUCUUAUAUACAAUUAAAUCCUUUUAUCUAGGCCCUGAAACUAGUAAAGGUUUCUAGUAAUCAAAAUAUUAAGUGGUGACUCCAUUCUUUUUUUCUUUUUUUACUAAUAAGAAAUAAGAAUUUCUUGUUCUUUUCUUCAUCACCACAAAGAUCUUGCUCUGAAAGAAAGAUCAUCGUGACGUCACAUAUGUGCAACACUUAUUAUUCUAGUUCAGUCUUGGAGCGUGCUACAAUAUCUUGCUUCUUAGUUGUACAUGAUAUUUAUUCGACUGUAAAGAGUGUUUGGUGUAAUGUAUGUUGUGGUCUAGAAUCCCCUUUAAGUAUCGAAUAACUAGGUUAACAACAACAAGAUGAUUUGUACAAAUUUAAAAUUAGAAGAGAAUGAUAUUAUUUAAUAAUUUAAUAUAUAUGAAUUAAGUUAACUCAUGUGGAGUUUCUAUAGCUACAUAGCAAGACAUAUAAAGAAAUAGAAUAAAAUAAAUUAUAUAAAAUGCUUGAUCAUCUCUUUUAAUUAGAUAAUUGAAAUAUUUUUUUUAUUUUUUUAUCUUUUUAUUAAUUAGGAAAUGAUCAAGAAUAUUUACCUUGAUUAUUUUCUUAACAUGUCACAAUUUAUUAACGCGCUCCCUCAAACUCAUGAUAAUUUUACUUUUCAUGAGUUUAACGUAUAUUAACACUAUUUAUAUUGUUGUUGUAACCUCAUCUACUUGUCAAAAUGAUCACAAUCGAUAAACAAUCUUAUUUGGUCAUUAAAUAAAAUUUUGGUUGAGGUUGUUAUAUAUGCUUGCAACAAUAAAAAAUUAGAGGGAACAAAAAAGUUCAAUAAAUCAAAUUCCAAGUCGAACUUUCAUGCUUUCUACUUGGAUGUAACAAUAAACAAUUAAUACCAUAAAGGCAUAAUGAUGGUUUUUAUAACAAUAACAAUGAGAGUAUUCAAACUAUUUAAAUAAUAGAGAUUUUAAGGAUGAUGAAUCAACAAAUCAUGAAUUGAUGUAUCAUUAAAAAAGAUAAUAAAUAAAAAAUCAUCUAGAGAAUGAAGAGGAUUGAAACAAGUUGUUUUAAAGUGGUUAAAUAAACAGCUUAAAAUAGUUUGAAAUAAAAACAGAAGCUAAUAUUUAGAGCAAUAACUUGCUUUGAUACCAAAUUAAAACUAAGAAAUGAAUAGCAUGGUUCAAAUGGAACUCAACAAUGUUAUAUUGAUCCAUAUAUAUAUCAAAAAUUAAAAUAUAGAGAUGUUAUCUAAUCAUAGUGUGAUCUUCAGGAGAUGUUAUUUAAUCCUAGCAUGAUAUUUAGAAUUAUAGAAUAUACAUACUAGCUAGCAUUAUCUUCACAAUCUUCAGCAUGAUGUUCGAUUGUUAGAUAUCAAAUCUUUAGCGUUGCAAGGUACUGUAGUCUUCUUCCAUGCUUAAGUUGCUUGAUUGUUGAUCAAGUGGCGAUUCUUUCUCACUGGUUUGUUGAGGUUCAAUGCUUGUAUGCAAGCUUUGGAAACUCAUGUCAACUCAUAUAUCAAUAUAUAAACUCUAAUAUUCUUUUUAUUAUUUUUAAUAGCAUUUUUAAAUUCUUUUACGUUGUUUUCAACGUUAAUCAGGAGGUUAUCAUGUUGACUUUGCACAUUUCAUAUGGUUUUUUUACAUACAAAUUUCAAUAACUGUACCAAUUAUUCUUAUUUCCUUCAUGAAAAUCUUUGCUAAAAACUUAUUAAAACACCAAAUAAUUAUUUUUAAUCAAUGAUUAACUUAUUCAAUAAUUAAAACACCAAAUAAUUGCACUAUUCUUCGGUAAAUGAUUAACUUAUUCAAUAAAACGGGAGAAUAAGUUGAAUAUUUUUAGUUGUCAAUGAUUUGAGAUAUUUCCUUUAUAUCACACCAGUUGUUUAAUCAACAAAAUCCCAUUUAGAUCUUCACUAUCAACAUGGAUUGCAUUACAUAAUGGGUUACGAUAAAAAAAAAAAUACCUACAUUACAAGAAAGCAUUUUAGUGGCAAAUGGGUUAAUCCUGAAACCUCCCAAUUGGUUUGCUUAGGUAGCCCAUGUUUCAAAUCAAAUAGUUUAGAGUUGUCUAGAUAUGAUGUUGUCGACUCAGCUAGUUUAAAAGCAAGUUAGAUGAGUGGUAUAAAUAUAGUUUGAUUUUUAAUAUAAAUCUUGAGGUGACAUAAUUUUUUUAAAAACUAUUUAAAACUAUUGAGACUAUUAUAGAAUGUAUAGCAUGUAUAUCUCUGAAUAGAAAAUUAAUAUAGGAUUGUUCUAAUGUUGUAAUUCCUACGGUUACUGACAUGUUAUGCCCCACAUAUAUAAAUAAAAAAGGUUGGCUAAGGCCAACCUAAGUCAUUUUAUUAUUCUCAACUUGGUAUCAGAGCUCUAAAUAAACUAAAACACCUCUUCUCCUCUCUGCAAUGGAUUCCUCCCAGCCGGCAGCCAUCUCUCCCUCUACAGCAGCGCUAGUAGUGCCAUCCUCCUCUCCUGCCGCAGCACCACCUUCUUCUUCAGCUUCGGUUCCGUAGUGGCCACAACCUACAAAUGUUGGCCAUGCUCUUUUCAACCCCAAUAAUGCUCCUCUGUUGCCGUCCUUUUCUGCAGAAGCCAUUGUCACUUCUGCUGUGGCAAUUGUGUCCCUCUCCCACACUCAUUAGGUCAUCUCUUUGAAACUGACAAACACCAAUUAUCUGUAUUGGCAAAUACAUAUGAAAUAAUAUGUUUAAGGCCAAGGAGUUUUCAGCUUUGUUGAUGGUUCAAACUCCUGCCCCUCUCCACAUAUUCGUACUAUCGAUGAUGUCUCUCUGCAGGUAUCUCAACACUUUCUUCGUUGGAAACAACAAGACCAACUCAUUCUAAGUGCCAUGCUCUCUUCGUUAUCCAUGGAAGUUCUUCAUCUUGUUGUUGAUUGUCCAACCUCAUGCUCUGUCUGGCACACACUUGAGCAAGCUCUAGCUUCCGCAUCCAAUUCUCGUAUUAUACAACUUCACGGCUCUCUUCAAGACCUUCGACAAGGUGAUGAAUCGGUAACUCAAUUUCCACAAAAAGCUAAGGCUUUAUUUGAUGAGCUAGCAGCUGCCGGCCGGCUUAUUUCGCUGGCACAUUUCAACUUAUAUGUGUUUUGUGGCCUUCACAGAGAAUUUAAGGACUUAGUGACAAGUCUUGUUAUAAGGGCAGAUCCUCUUCCAUAUGCAGAUUUUCUUAGUAAUUUGCUAACACAUGAAUUUAUUCAUAAAUCCUCCCAUUUGUCCAUGGGGUCUACUGCAAUUCAUGCACCCUUGUUGCCUACGCCGAACAUCCCUCUUUCAGCACUUAUCUCUCACUGUCAGCCUGCUGCUUAAUUUGGUCGAAAUAAGGGUCGUUUUAAUGGCAGCUAGCAUCCUUAACAGUUCAAUCACAAAGGGCCUCGCAAUUCUGGUUCCAGACCUGAAUUUCGCAGCUUCCACAACACUUCCAGCAACGACAACAAACAAAGCAACUGACAGGGAAAUUGGCAAUGCAAUAGGGGAUCCAAAUCCCGCUACCAGUUAUGUCAAGCUUUCGAACAUACUACUCCUCAGUGCUCCCAACUUCAGCAACGCGGUUAUGGUUAGUAGUAUAGUGCCAAUCUAGCCCUACACAAUCAUGCAAGUACUGCUGAAUGGUUUUCGGACACCGGUGCAAAUCAACACGUCACACCUGACCUUGCAACCUUGACUGCUUUAGAACCAUACAAUGGUAAUGAUAAUUUGCAUGUUGGUGAUGGUAAAGGACAUCCCAAAUCUCAUAUCAGUCAUACCAAACUAUAUACCCCACAUCGUUCGUUCACUUUAUCUAAUGUCCUGCAUGUUCCUGCACGUUCCUGUGGCUGCACUUUUCCUGAUUUUGUUUUAGAGGUUGUUUUUUGUAACUUUUUAAAUUGUUUAUUGUAAUUUUUGUUUAGUUUUUGAAUAUUUUAUAAUUUGUAGUGUGGAUGUAAAAAAAAGAAGAAAAGAAAAACAUAGUGAAAGUGAAUGUGUUGUUUGUAUUUUUUUAUGAAUGUUUUUUUAUGAUAAAAUCGUAAAGAAUAAAGAAGAAUUUAAUAUUUUGAUUUGUUUACGAUUAAGAAUUAUGAACUUACACGUAAGUUGUAUUUCUAAUAUCCGAUGAAAAGACAAAAACAUUUAAACUUCUUUAACACAUCAAAGCCACGAAGCAACUUACCUCAGGUAGGGUGCAUUAGGGUUGCUAAUAUCUUUCCUAACCACAACCAGUCCCUUACCCGUGAAUCUUUGACAAGAUUAGUACAUGCGAGUUUCCUAGUAGCCCUCAAUUAAAUACUAGGUGGCGACUCCAACAAACUGGAACCACAUUGAGGACAAUGUCUCAUUUUGGUUAAGGCGAAAGGGUAGUAGUUGAUAUAUAUAUAAAAAAAAAAAAAAUUUGUGUUUUCUAUUUCAUAAACCAUUUGCAAAACUGUUGUUACUAGGAUGACAGAGUAAAAGGGAUUCUUUUGUUAAAGUGACUCUUGAGACGCAUCUUAGUAAACAUUCUUAACAAGGUCUAUCAGAAUACUUCUUGAAAUAUUCAGGUUUACAAACUCUCAUUUUGUUAUCACUUGAUUCUGCUCAUAUGCUCAUUUAACAAGUAUUUUUAAAUCUUCAUUUUCACACACACACUUUAACAUAUGAUUGUGGGUUGCACAUUGGAUUAUUACAUUAUUUAUGUUCUUUUGUUAAAGGUAACAACUAAGGGAAAGUGAUAGUAUAUAAUUUGCAAAAAAAAAAAAAAAAUAUUGAUGAUAAUAAAAACGUAGAUAAGUUUGGUUUCGUAGCCUCCCUAACCUAAGCAAUUAAGCCCGAAUGGGUGUUUUAACACCUAAUACCCUAAAGUCAACUAACUUGGGAGCUAUUGGCCCAAAGCUUGUUACAUGGGUUAAGGAGAAAAGCUUAAGGGAAUCAAACAUUGCACUAUCUACGUAUCAGUAUCUGCAACCCGAGUUACUAAGCUCGUAGGGGUGUCUCAACACCUAAUGCCCAAAGACCAACUGGUCUGGGAGUCAUUAGCCAAAACUCGUUACAUGGGUUAAAGAUGCAUUGUGUUGUAUGUGUAUAUAAAUAAAUAAAUAAAAAAAUAAUAAUAAUCUCAACCCAAGGAAGUUAACCUUAACAUUAGAACAUAAUAUUGUUUUCUUCCAACAAAAACCCCAUCAUCUAUGUUUUCAUACAUUGAGCACAUAAAAAGAAGGUUUAUUAAUAUCUUGUUUAAGAUAUAUGAAGCAGAAAUAUAAAUUUAAUGAGAGUUUGUUUAUCUAGAUAGAUUAAUGGAAGUUGAAUGAUGAAUGCCUUGCUUUGUGGAACUUGCAAAUUUUUUUCUAUUUUAACGCUUUGAUUACUAGGGACUAGUAAUAAGCUGGUUGGGGGUGUGAUUAGUACUUAAAAGUGCAUUUUUAUCAAGGUUUUAUAUCAUCAUUUUGCACUUGAAGUAUCAAUAACUCCUUAACUAAAGCAUGUUUUAUAAUAACAUCUAAUAUAUAAUACUUUAAUAUAUGGUAAAUGUUCAUCUUAAAUGCAGGCCUAUCACAUAAAUCAAAGGAUUGAUUGAUGAGUUCAAGUAUUGAAAUUGAAAGGACAACGAGAGGGCCAAACUUAGAAAAGAGAUGUUGGUGCAGUCCAAACUAAAACAUUGUUCAGCAAUUGGGUCAUAUCUCGAGUUCUAUAUGUCCAAAUGAUCUCAAAUUUUUACACAGAUUCAGUAAGACAUAGGCCUAUAACUUUCAUGUGGAGGCCAAUAUCUAAGAAAGUCGUUUUCAAGUCCAAAUUAUACCAACAAUGGAGAAGUCUGAAUAUGUCCUGCAACCCAGACAUUGUUCAGUGUUCAACCCAUAUCUCGAGUUCUAGAAUUUCAUAUGACCUCAAUUUUUUUUUCUAUAAAGCUAAGACAAUUUCCUACAACUUUUAUGAAUAUAGGUGGAUCCAGUUCUGAUGCUAGCAAUGACGUUUUAUUCAGACAAGAAGAUAAGGAUUUUUACCAAGUCAAGAGUUGGCCACCCACUCAACAAUUAGUCAUCAAAUCAAUAGUUUUAAAUUUUGGCAUAUAAAAAGAGGUAUUUGCCAUGCAUUUAGGGGCUUGGUUGUUCAGAUCAAGAACUUGUUCUUGCUCUCUCUCUUUAUGUUUUUUUUUUGUAAUUCUUAAGUUUUGCUUUCAUUAAUAUCUUGUUUAUGCUUUUCAUUUCCUUUCCUUUACUUAGUUAACUUGUAUCUUAUUUAUGUUCUUGUUUUGUUUAUUUAUGUUUCUCUUCUUCAUUAUGUUUAGCUAAGUUUAUUAUGUCAAGGUGAAAAGGUUACACUAAUGGUGUAAGAAUAAGUAUAGUGUAAACUCAACAUAAACCUUAAUGUUUAAUAUUAACAUGUCUUAUCUUUUUAUCUUACUAAUUCUUAAUAAGUAAAUUAAACAUGCUCCAAGAGGGUAUAUAUCUUGGUCAUGGGUCUCACAAGUGGAGUGUACAUAGGCUUGGAAUUUUGGCUGUCAAUGUUGCCAUUAGAUUUUGUAGAGUUGAAGCCAUUUGAUAGCUAGGCCAAUAAUAAACCAUUCAGCCAUUAUCCGAUUGCAUACCCUAAAGAGGCAACCAGAGUAUAAGAAGGAAUACUUCAUCACAAGGUAAUAACAGUGAAGAAAUUUGUGGUAAAAUAUAUGUAGCAGCAGCAGCAGAAAUGGAUAUUGAAGAACAGCGGAAAACGCUCAAAGUUCUUACAAACAGAUUUAAAAUUUCAAAAUGAAUGGAUGCAAAACCAUUACAAGGCAAGUCCCUUUAUGCUUCCAUGUAAAAGUUCCAAGGAACUUACUGUUUGGGAACCAUCUGCUUGGUAAUAAACUUGAUCAUCCAAUUGCGUGGAGGACCCACUGUAGCCUGCAAAAUAGAGUUAUCCUUCUGAAAUUAAGUAUGCUGAUAACAUAUUAAUGCUCAAUUAUGAAUUCAAAUUGGAAAUCACACUGCAAGGUGGGUAAACUAAAUGAAAUUUUACUAGACAGCUUCAUUGUUAACAAAGAAACUAAAUGAUUAUAAGAAUUUUCCAUUGUACUAUUUUCAGGCAAUGCACCAGCAUGGGGAUGCUUCCAUGAUGUUUAUCACACAAGGCAAAAGAAGCCUGGAGCUAUCUCAGUUUCUUGCCCAGCUAUAUUACCCUGGCCACAGCAGUGAUCUUGUUGAGUGUACUUUUUGACAUUAAAUCCGCAUAGACCAGUAGCUACCUGAUACCACCUUAACAAUAGAAUCUCAUCGACCACUAAUGUGAUCUGGCCACUAAGACUUUUGAUUAAGCAAAAGUAGCUUGUUCACCGACACUAGAUGCUCAAAAAUCCUCACCUGUUCAUACUCAUUGAGCACACCUAACCUGAUCCCAUUAAAUUAGUACUUUAUAAGUACUACUACACUAAAUCAUAGUCUAAGCUAGGCAAAAAUCUGUUGCUGUCCCAGCUACCCAACCCAGAAAGGAAAUCGAGGACUGAUCAGGCGACUGAGUUGCUACCUCCUACCACUUUAACAAUAGAAUCUCAUCCACCACUAAAUGUGAUCUGGCCACUAAAACUUUUGAUUAAGCAAAAGUAGCAUGUUCACCGUCACCAAAUGCUCAAAAAUCCUGACCUGUUCAUACUCAGUGACCAAACCUAGGCUCAAAAAUCCAGAAAUGUUCAUACUCAUUGACCAAACCUAUGCUCAAAAAUCCUGAAAUGUUCAUACUCAUUGACCAAACCUAAGUCGGAUGUUUGUAGGGGCUAGCGGCUGCUGAAGGUAUGAUUGUUUUUGCGGCGUGUCCGUUAAUUUUUAAAAUUUUUUAAUUUUUUUAAAUUUAAUUUAAAAUAAUUUGUUAAUAUUUUUAUAUUCUUUUUACUUUUUAAGUCAUAUUUAAAAUUUUAAAAAUUAAUUUUAUUUUAAUAUAUAUAUAUAUAAACAAAAAAUAAUCUGAAAAACAACUACUGUUACAAUGUCAAAUACUAUCUAUCUAACAAGACUUCCUCUUUUUUAAACCAUAAUGAUUGGCUUGGCAGUUGACUUGAAGCUUGAACAGUUCCAAUAAAAAAAUAUAAGUAAAAAUCAUGGUAACUUGGUUAUAAAUUCGAGUUGACAUUAUAAUCUAAUCAAACAAUACCUAACUCGAUCAAAACUUGACCUACCUUUGACUUUUUUGAGUUAAGACAAUAAAAAGAUUGGGUAUACAUUGAAUAAUGUUUUACUAGGCUUGGUGUUCGUGUUUCAUUGCAAGGUAAAACUAUUUUUUAUAUAAAAACAAUAAUGUUUAGGAGAAGUAAGCAUAUUUUUUAAAACAAAAAAUUUAUGGCUCAAGUUAUAAAUCUAACUGUGUAAUAAGUCAGCUUUAUUUUAAUUUGAUAAAAAAUUAAGAAAUGACAGUAGGUGAAUCAAAUUUAAAAAAAUAAUCAGAAUAACCUAGUGAAAAAAAAUAUUUUUUAAAAGACAACAAAUGAUGCAUCUCAAUUCAUAACCCAUUAAAUACGAAAGAACAAAAUGGGAUAAAAAAGACAUAAAAAACCUAGCAUGAUAAACUUGUAAUUCUAGUAAUCAAGGUCAAGCCAACUUAUGAUAUUCCGCCAAACUAACUUGGACCCUCGAUCAUGAGAUUAGAAUAAUCCAAUAGAAAAAAUAAAAAGAAUUAUAAAGCAUAUUUAAAAAAAAACAUUAACUUCUGUUAACUUUUCAAACUCAUGAUCCAGGUCAUUAAACUUAAAGUAACUUAUUUUGACAACCAUGAAGCCCAAUUUCUAAAAACUAAUUUUAAUUAUAUAAAAACAUUAAUAAAAUAACAAUUAAAAGAAUGAUGAUCAAAAUUAAAAUACAAAAUAAAUUUUAUAUUGGAUUGAAUGGUGAAAUUGAAAAAAAAAAUCAUUUUAGUAAAACGACCAAAAAAUUAAAAGAAUGAUGAUCAAAAUCAACAAAAAAUAAAAAAGAGUGAGGACCAAAUUGAUAAAAAAAAAAUAUAUCAUAAAUUUAGAUUGAAUGAUGAAAUUAAAAAUAAAUUAUUAUUUUUUACAAAAGAGUCGAGAAAAAAAUUAGAAAUCAAAACAACAUCGACCAAAUUAAAAAAUAUAAUACCAUAAAAUUAGAUUGAAGGAAAAGAUUGAAAACCAAUAAAACUUUUACAAAAGAGCUCAGGAAAAAAAUAAAAUCAAAAGAAUAAGGAUCAACUUGAAAAAAACAAUAUAUCUCAAAUUGGAGUUGAUGAAAAAAAUUGAAAACAAAUAAUUUUUUUAUAAAAGGGUCAAGAAUAAGAAUUAAAAACUAAAAGUGUUGUAACCUAUUUUUGGUUCCCUGCACAAAAAAUAAGAGAAAUACAAAAUAAAAAUAAAAAUCAAUCAAUAAAAAUAUAUAUAAAAAAAUAUAGCAGGAAAAGAGGAUGUUAGAGCGCCCAAAAAAUGACAAAAACAAAAAUUAGAAGAGGAUGUCAAAGCGCCCAUAAAAUGGCAAAAUAAUUAGUUGAGGAGGUUAAAAAAAUAAAAAGAUUGAAAUUUAACAGUAUAUCAUUGACCGAUGAGAGCUUUGUUGAGGAAGAAAAGAAAAUUAGUUGAGGAGGUUAAAAAAAUAAAAAGAAAAUUUGAUUUGAGGAAGAAAAGUACAAAAUUAGAUGUUUAUGGACUUAAUUAAAUUUUAUUGAAUGUUUAAUUGAAUUUAUGGAGGGUUGAUUGCAAGAAAAAUUAAUUUUUAAAUCAAUUUAGACUUUAAUUGGAAGAAAUUAAAGUUCUAGGGUCAAAGUAGAAUUUUUGAGAGUUGAUUUGGUCAAAUUUGGGGCUUAAUUGCAUAGAUAUUGAUGUUUGAUGGCCAAUCAGGGACUUGAUUGAAGAAAUCCAAAACCAAGGACCAAAUUGGAAAAGAUGCAUAAAUAAAGGGAUUGAAAUUGAUUAAAUUAGGGGUCAAAUUGAAGAAAUUACAAGUUUAUUGAUCAAUUAAAGGUCAAAUUGCAUAAAUCCGAAAGUAAGGACCAUAGGGAAAAAUGCGUCGAAAUCUGAGGUUUAAAUUGAAGUUCUUCAUAGGUAAAAUUGAACAAAAUUAAAAGUUUGAAGUCAAUCAUGGGUGUAGAUAGUAAUAAAUCACAAAUUGAAUGACUAAAUCGUUAGAUAUUGUUCAUUUUCUUCUCCGGUGAGGCUGAUUGGGUGGCCACCUUCCAAAGGCAUUUGACGCCUCAUUUCUUCACAAAAUUAGAUGAAACAUGCAUGCAAACGAUCAUGUGAUACUUGAUUACACGCUAGUGUAAGCCGUUCGGGCUGAUCAAGGCUGCAGAGGAGGUGACAUCGCUCUAAAGUGGCCAACCCAACCAGCCAUUUUCCUGCAUAAAACUAACAGUUCAUCAUUCCUACUUUGAGCCGAUGGUUGGGAUACUUUCGGGUCAAAUCAAGGGCUGCGAUUUUGCACCAGAAGAGACAAAAUGUCCCUCUUCCACCGCUUAUAAAUAUAUUUUAUCUUCAUGUUCCAAGGAGGGAGGAUCGUGGGUCCAAAGUUAAGAAAAAAUCAUCUUUUAUUGUCUAAUAAACUAAAUUCACCAACUAAUCUUGAUUCACCAAGAUAGACAUGUAAGUCCCCGUUUAAGAGUUUAUUUAAAUGGAGUAACCUAUCAUAGGCCUCUUAUGAGUAACAAAAUAAUGAAACAUUAUAUUUCUCGUGCUUUUCUCUUGUCAAACAUGAGAAUAUAUUUGCCUCAAGGAAGGGAAAUUUUAUCUUCACAUAACCCAAACUCUAAUACGGUCAUAUUCAAUGUUUAACCUAGUUAGGAAAUCAUAAACACAAUACUUGUCAAUAAGUUUUGAAACUUUACUACAUCACCUAUAUAAUUGGUCUAGAAAUCUUGGUUGAAUUCUAGCUCUUGCCAUAAACUACUUAGUUAGUAAAGUAUUGGGCAACAAAUAUACCACAAUGCUUGGUUUCAUGAACCUUUAAGAUACAAACUUUUUAGAUAAAUUAAAAAAAUAAAAUAAGUUCAAAAGGGAUAUAAGAAAACUCUAGAUCAUGUUUGCGUGUGAAAAAAAUUCAAUUUUCUAAAACACAAAUAGGAAAUAAAAAACUAAAAUAAACAUAUUCUCUAAUUAGAAAUAAAAAACUUACAUAUAACUAUCAUUAUUUGAAAAAAAAAAAACAAAUAAAAUGGAAAAAUAAAACAAGUCCAAAUGAUCACCAAAAAACCAAAAACCUCUAGCCAGGGAAAAAACACUAAGGUGAUAUUUGGAUGUUGAAAUUUUUUAGUUUUUUAGCAAAAAAAAUUCAGGAAAUAGAAAACUGAAGAAAACAUAUUCACUUAUUAAAAAUAUUUUUUUAACAAAACAUAUAAUUUUUUUUUCAUUUUUAAAAAAAUUAAAAAGUACAAAAAAGUAUUUAUUUUUUAAAUUCAUUGAUCAGCCUCAUUUUCAUUUUUUCAUUCGUUUAGAUGCGUUUCUAAAAAAAAAUUCUUGUUUUAUUUAAUUUUUUUAGGAUUCAGUAAUGUCGCAUAUUGUUUUUUAAUCGUUGUUAUUUCUUUUAAAAAUAUAUAAUAUUUUUUAUCAGCUACCCGUUAAGCCCGUGAUCUAUCAUGAACCGAGCUCGGAUAAUCUAAUAGAUCUAGGCCCACGAGAUCGGAUCCAACCUAGGAUGAGCAUUUGGUGGCCACAAUAAACUUUUGAAAAGCAGAAAACCCUAACACUAGGAGCAACCAUCCAUCUAACGGACAAUAUCAACCCCAAAGCACUAAUCCAACCGUUAAAUCUUAAUAAAAAAACACUAUAAAAAUCUAGGCAAGCACUUCAGAUUUUUGUCCAUCGCCUCGCAGCCAGCCACUGCCUCUCUCAAAACUUCUCUGCUCCUACUCUCUUAUCAUUUUGCCGAGGUAGUAUCGUUCUAUUGCUUUCUCGUUUAUCCGAAAUCUCUCAUUUUUGUCUUUUUAGCCUUGUGUUGCCGAUCUAGUAGGCUUUUUUGAUCUUUUUUUCUGAUUGUUUUUGCUGUAAAACUGAAGAAGAACUAGUUUUGUCAAGCUAUAUGUUAUUCGCUAUACGUUUAUUUGAUUGGUUCGUGACUGUGAUUGUGUACAUGCGAUGGUAUUUACUACUUUACAUGGUGAUGAUUUGAAAAGAAUUUUCCCUUUAUGAAAAGUGGUGAGUAAUCAGGGCUGGAGUCUCAGAAAUGGCUCUUUUUUUGCCGAAACCCUAGAUGGGUUUUUGGAAAGAAAUACCGAUGAGCUUGAGAAUUGGCAUGAUAAUGUCUGCCAUAGGCCUUUGGUUUUUUCGGGGAAAAAUCUUUUCUUUUCAUUUGCUGGUGUUUUGUGGUUAAUACCCUUGUAAGUUUACAAUUCAAAGGGUUGUUUUAUGGAACCAAUAGUGGUCCUUUCUUUUUCUUUAUUUCAUAUUAGUAUAUCUUAAUUGUAAAAAAAAACUUUGAAAUCAUUUUUAUUCAGUUUAAGCUUAUUUGUGAUUAGUAUUUUAGUUGUUAUUAUGAUGAUUUCAACUAGAUCUAUUUAAUGAUAUUAACAGCGAUUUAAUUUUUUGUGGGUCUUUGAAAUACUAGAUAAAAUUAUUAUAUUUUGAUUGUUAUGGUCCUUAUUGGUUGGAUUUUAUAUUUAAACAUUAAUUGAAGGAGAAUCUGAUUUAUUACUAUUGAUGUUUUCUUUGGAUAUAUUAUUUUUUGUUGAUAUUUUAGUUCUUGAGGUAAAACAAUAUUGAAGCUCACGAGUCUUGCAGAGGUUAUAUCAAAAGGUUGAAGCAUGUCUCACCGCAAGUUUGAACACCCUAGACAUGGCUCUUUGGGAUUUCUCCCAAGAAAAAGAGCCUCCCGCCAUCGAGGAAAAGGUUUCUUAUGCUCUUUAACCUGAAGUUAUAAACAUUACAGUUAAAGAUAACACAUUGGAAGCAUUCUAUUUCUACAUGAUUAAUGUGUACCUUCAGGCUAUGAUUUAAUUUUUAGUUGGGUUUUGUGAGAAGGUUGUCUUUUCUCCAAUAUGUACCUUCAAGUAUCAUUGCUUUAUUGCCUAAUGUGCAGUCCCAUGUUUGGUUUUUGCAACAAAGAACAACUCUGGUAAAGGAUUUAUAUGGGUCAUUUUAAUAUAGAACGAUAUAGAAUGGGUCAAGUGAGACAGCAAAGAUUGGUCAUCUGGGCUUCCUACUAUCAUCUCCUUAAUAACCAUUAAAUUUUAUUGUCCUAUCUUGCAAAUCGGGAGUUAGAUGAACUGCCUUGCAGUAUUAUAUUGUCAUAAUCCCUGACACAGAUAAGCUUGAUAUUAUUUCUAAUUUAUUUUUGUUAGACAUAGUGGUAUUUGCAUUUAUCAAGGUUGGCUUCAUAUAACUUAUUUGUAUCAACUUGCAUUCUCUGUGUAUUGAAUUUUGUUCUUUUUGAUGAUGUUACAGCAAAGGCCUUUCCCAAGGAUGAUCCAAAAAAACCUUGCAGAUUGACUGCGUUCCUAGGUUACAAAGCUGGGAUGACUCAUAUUGUCCGAGAAGUUGAAAAGCCAGGCUCAAGUGAAUUUCUUUAGUUUUUCUCGAUUAUCCUUCUGGAUGGUAGCUCUUUUUUAUCUCUAGGUUUGGUGAAGGAACUUGUUUGAUACGCUGUUGCCUAUAAUUUAUCUAGAUCUCAUCAUGUUUGAUUGGGUUAGAAUGCAGGGAUGCGUUGUCCUUGUAGCAUGUGUUUUGGACCAAACACUAUAAUAUUAACAAUGAGAGGCCAAAACUUUUAGCCUUGUUGUUGCCAGGGCCACCCCAGACCACUUGGAAUUGUCUCUGAUAGCAUGUUUAUAUUGAAUUUGAUGAUUUUACACCUCUUUUUCCAAUAAAACAUGUCUGGGUUGCUUGGAAUUGGGGAUUGAUUGGGAGUAUUAAUUUGAAAGUGUGCACAAUUGUAAUUUGCAGCCCUGCAUUGCUGCUUUCUGUUGUGCAAUUUGUUGUUUGUAUGUCCUUUUUGUGUACCCCUUUUUGAUGUUCUGUUUCUGCACAUUUUUAAAGCAGCCGGAAGGAAGAUUAAAAUAUUCAUUGUAACACUUUGAUUCACCUCUAGCUUAUGUGCUCAUUAAUUCGUUCUUCAUUUGUCUUCCAGAGCUCCACAAGAAAGAAACAUGUGAAGCUGUUACAAUCAUAGAAACACCACCAAUGGUUGUUGUUGGGGUUGUUGGCUAUAUCAAUACUCCUGGUGGUUCUCCGGUCUCUGAGCACUGUAUGGGCCCAGCAUUUGAGUGAGGAGGUUAGAAGGAGAUUCUACAAAAACUGGUGCAAGUCAAAGAAGAAGGCUUUCACAACGUACUGUAAGAAGUACGAGUCUGAGGAUGGGAAAAAGGACAUUGAGGCUCAAUUGGAGAAACUGAAAAAAUAUUGCACUGUGAUUCGUGUGUUGGCGCAUACUCAGGUAUUCUACACUUGCAUCCUUAUUUAAUGAGUCUGUUUGAUUAUUAAUAAUCUUACUCUGAAAUUACUGAGCUAUAAUAUCUGGAAUCCAAAUACCAGACAUCAAUAGCAAACUUUUAAUUGCUGACGUCUUAAUUUUGGUGUCCAUGCUCUUGAAUAUUUUUGUUUAUCUAGGCAGUUUCUUGAUGUUCAGAUUCCCCCUUGUUUGUUAUUACUGUGGUCUGGUUUAGACUCUAGAUGAAUGUGAUUUCAAGGAUAUCUAAAGGUGGUGUUGUUGGCAUGGUUUAUGUAGAUUCGGAAAAUGAAAGGACUGAAACAGAAGAAGGCCCAUUUGAUGGAGAUCCAGGUCAACGGCGGGGAUGUUGCCAAGAAGGUUGACUUUGCUUACAGUUUCUUUGAGAAGCAGAUUCCUAUUGAUGCUAUUUUCCAGAAAGAUGAAAUGAUUGACAUUAUUGGUGUAACCAAGGGAAAGGGCUAUGAAGGUGUGGUCACUCGUUGGGGUGUGACUCGACUCCCUCGCAAGACUCAUCGUGGUCUUCGCAAGGUAGCUUGUAUUGGUGCAUGGCAUCCAGCUAGGGUCUCAUUUACUGUUGCAAGGGCUGGGCAGAAUGGUUACCAUCACCGCACAGAGCUAAACAAGAAAAUUUACAAGCUUGGGAAGUGUGGUCAAGAGUCUCAUUCUGCAGUUACUGAAUAUGACAGGUAAAUGUAUCUUUUUUGUAGUUUGUCCCUACUGUGAUUUUAGUCCUUAGCAUUCACCAAGAUUGAUUGAUGUUGAGCAUCUGCCUCUUCUCACAAUAUUAUGAUAUUUGGUCAUGAACAACAGGACUGAAAAGGGCAUUACACCAAUUGGAGGAUUCCCCCAUUAUGGUGUUGUGAAGGAGGAUUAUUUGUUGAUAAAAGGAUGCUGCGUGGGCCCCAAGAAACGUGUGGUAACACUGAGGCAGUCUCUGUUGAAGCAGACAUCUAGAGUUGCUAUGGAGGAAAUUAAACUCAAGUUCGUUGAUACAUCCUCCAAAUUUGGCCACGGACGAUUCCAGACCACUGAGGAAAAGGCCAAGUUUUACGGGCGGCUCAAGACUUGAUUUGCAAUGGAGAG
rnacentral:lncRNA from 1 species